AAGUCGACAGCCUCCCUAACCUUUAGGGGUUUCAACUUUUCUAAAAUACGAAAUAAAGACUAGAUUGAAAAGACUUACCAUCGGUUCCUUCGGUUAAUGAUCCAAAUUAAUUUCUACUCAAUUCUGGUGCCGAUCUAAGCCCUCAAAUGAUAACAAAAGUCGAGCCUUCAGUGAUCUCACUAUUCGGCCAAGUCCCUAAUAGAGUGGGGUUUUCGGCUUUUGUUGAAGCUGUGUAAAGAAAGAUGAAAUAGAAGGGUUUUUCUAUGGCCUUGUCGACAGAACCUUGAGGUUUAUAGAACUAGAGAAUUGGUCAACAAUGAUGGAAAAGAUAAUAAAAUUGGCUAGGAGAAAUCGGUACAGAAGAAAGUAUAGUUUUCGGGAUUUCGGCUUUUUAUGGCAAUGGCUAUGAAGGUUUUAGAAACGUCUGAAGAAAAAGAUGGAGAUGCACAGGUGGUUAGAGAGAUUCGGCUAUGGAGGAAAAUAAGAAAAAGAAAAAUUUGAAGAGAAAAGGACAAAAGAAGGAAGAGGAGAAUGGUCAGCACACGGCACAACCUUCCCCCUCAUGCCGAAUUUAUACUGGCACUUAACCUUGCCGAAUUUUCCCAUGCUAGAGGCCCUUCGCCGGCCAAUUCCUGCUCCUUGAUCAGCUCCUAAAUCUUCUCCUUUAUCAGUUCCUAAAUCCUCUCCCUUAUCAGCUCCUAAAUCCUCUCCCUUAUCAGCUCCUAAAUCCUCUCCCUUAUCAGCUCCUAAAUCUUCUCCUAACAGCCUUUCACUUUAGUUCCACUGCUUACCUUUUCUGUACAUAAAAAAUUAAUAUCACCAAUUUUCUUACCUUGUGACUCGAACCUUUGCUCUCCUUGGUCAUCCACACGCCACCUCUCAAGCCCCCAAGUGACGCCACAAGCCAACUUACCACGGUCUUCUUUGUGUUUUAUUUUACCUAGUUAAUACCUUAAAGCCCAGCUAACCAGAACCCUCUUCUUCUAUAGAAUUAAAAUUAACUAAAAUUACCAUAUUUUAACUUAAACUUGCGCCUUCUAGAGACCCACUAACCUGAUUAAAUCUACGCCAAGCAGACAGAACACCAAAAUUUAAAAUUUGCCAACACUCACAGAAUUCCCGAAAAUUGGGGCGUUACAUGUAAGGAAAGAAAGAGGAGGGCGAUCACCUUCUCAUGCAGCUAAUGUGAGAAGAAGAAGAAGAAAAAAAAGUUUUCCUUUUCUUAUAAUUUGGUCAUUCCACCAAAAAUUUACCAUUUUCACCUAGAAAUCAAAAGAAUUUUCAUAGCCAUCAAGAGAGAAAAAUGACAAGAAGACUAUGGGGAGUUAGAAUAUCAAGUUAGAUGAAAGAAAUAGAAGCUAGAGGAGAGAGAAAAUAAAGUUAAAGAUUGAAGUCAAUUGAACAAGGUAAGAACAUUAAGAUUUCAAUAUAUUUUUAAGAUUAAUAUUAUUAAAAAAAACAUGGAAUUGAUGUUAAUGUAGAGUUUUCUUAUAUAUUGUCCUAUGUUCUUGAUAUGUUAGUGAAGAGAAAAUAAGAGAAAGUAAUGAGAAAUAGUGUAGAGAAAGAAAAUAACGGUGUUAUAAACAUGGUAAAUAAACAUCUUGCACUAAAACAGUUUUAGACAGCAGCAGUAGGCUAACUUUGAAAAAUCACUAAAACAUUGAAUUAAAUCUUAUUGAGUCUAGUUUCUUAUAGAAGAAACAUUGUAGGCAAUGAAGUUGUGAAUCAUGAGAUAUAAUAAAUUUUGUUAGACAAGGGCAGAAUGAUUUUGGGUUCCCCUGUUCUGAUUUUGUAAUAUCAUAAACAAUUGGAGAAAAAUAAUUAGGCUCUUAAAGUUAUAUUUUUAAAAUCCUGAAUGAGUCUAUUUUCAAUAGAAACAAACUAGAAAAUCAUCUUAAUCUUGUACAAUGAGAUAAUUAAUUUUUAGUAAAGAAGGGUCGAAAUUGUCAGACAGCAGAAUAAGGGUGACUUCAAAGAAUAAACUGUACUCAUUGGAUAAACCAAAAAUUCUGAAAAUUUUAUGGUAAGAAGAAAUGUAAGUAUAGUUUCAUGGAAAAUUAGCAGAACUUAAUUUCUAGUUCUGUAGCUCAAGAUAUAUAUAAUUUAGUUACUAUGACACAAAUGGACAGUUUUGAAUAUACAUAUAAGUAAAUAGUGAAAUUAUUGAUAAUGUUACUUGUAGCAUGUUAUAUAAAUUAAGGAUGUGGAAUGGAGAGGAGGAGGAGAAAAAUAUGUAUGAAUAUUCAGCUAGCAUGGCUAAUUUGUAUGUUUUAGGCUUAGGGACUAAAUUGAAUAAAAGUAAAACUUUAUGGGUAAUUUUGUAAAAAUGUUAGAAAUGACCAAUUUGUAUGAAAUGGAUUAUUUUAUUAUUUAAAAUUACAAAAUUGAAUGAAAUCAUUAAUUUAGCUCAAGAUCGGGGAAAAACAUGUUUUAAGGAUUAAAUUGAAACGUGUUGAAAUUAUGGAAAAUUCUGAUAUUUUAUAGAAUUCAUGGGUUGUUAUCAAUUUGUAUGAGAAUAACUGCUGGAAAUAAGAAUUAAAUUGCAAGAAUUUUUUUUAGCCUAAGGAUGAAAUCGUUAUUAAUUAAAAGUUUAGGGGUAAAAUGGUAAUUUUGUUUAGAGCAUUAAUUGAAUGUAUUAGAACAUGAAAUAAAUGAAAACGACGAUCAAAUUUAUUUAUAAAGAUCUGGAUGACUCGAAUACGAGACUUGAACGUGGAAAAGAAAAGAUAUCGGAUUAAUGAAAUUAUAAACAUGAACACGCAACGAGGUAAGCUAGUGUAACUUGAAUUGUAUUUUUAAAUGCAUGAAAUAUUGAUAUAAUGAAUCACCUGAUUUAUGUUUAUGGAGAAAUGGCAAGAGAAUGAUAUUUACCAUGACAUGUAAAUAUGUGAUUAUCUUUGAUACGUUGAUACAAGGAAAUUAAGUAAAUUGAGACGAGUAAUAAAUUCAAGUAAAACAUAUCGAAAAAAAAAUAAGUAUGUUAAGGGACAAUAUGUUUGAUUUUAAUUAGUUCCAAAUAUGAACGUUAGAUGAAAUGAAAUAUCUGAUAAAUAAAUCGGCAACUCCGGUAAUGCUCCAUAACUCUAUUCCGAUGACAGAUUCAGGUUAGGGGCGUUAUAGUUUUCUUGUAAAUACUGUUCCUUGAUGGAUACAUACGAACUAAUCUUACAUUAGACGAAUUUCCAUUCUAGGUUUGAUAACUAUCAGACUACCAUUCAGAUCAUAUCUUGAACCUAAACCCAAAUCAAACGUAAAUUGAUGAUGAAGCAUUUUAGACCAUUCGGAAGAAUUUAAAACACAUUUGUUAAUGACACAAGAACGCCCAAACUAACAAAUGAUUCAAAUUCCAAAAACCUUAGAUCGAGAUAUAAUACUAUUCAGAUAUGGCGGAUACCAGAUAACUCAGAUUUCAACCUUAAUUAGCCUAGACAAACUCAAAACAAUGAAUACUUAUACCUUUCAUAACUACGAAUAUGCCCGUAUCCCAUACAUAUGGACUUCUAUGGCAGAUUAUCUCUUUAGAAAUAUGAUACAUACUUUUAUUUCGAAACCAUCCUUUAAGACUCAUUCAAAUUCAUCACAAAAUUAACUAACAAAGUCAACUUCAGAACAUCUCAGGUCAUUAUGAUAAAAUCAUCUAUAGGGGAGAUCUUAGAACUUACCACCUGAGUGAAUAACCAGAUUUUCCCACGUCGGCAUUCCUGAAUAUGCCACCUAGGCAUUGCGUAGUUUGCCACAAAGGCGACGCAAAGCAUGCCUCCAAAUCUUAGUAGACCAUGCCACAUAGGUAACACACAGAAUCACGUAUUUACUGUCCCUACAGACUUUCACAGAAGGUGUCAUGGGUUUUUCCCACAUGACUUAAACAUUUUCCCAUAUCGUGAUCUACUAAUCCAGUCUACAUACUACUAAAGACAUCACCAUGAGCAUUUUUAUAGUCAUACAAUACCAUAGGUCUCCACCACAUGGCCUCAUACAUAUUUUCAUACCAUGAUCUAUAUGUCCAGUCUACAUUUCAUUGAAGGCAUCACCAUGAAUAUUGUCUUUAAACAUGAUUUUUCUUUCUAGUUAGCAAUAUUUCUUCCAUACUAGAUGCGUCACAAAUGGAUAUUUGUUUAUCCAACACAGAUUACACUACCCAAUUCAUUUUUUUACCUUAUUUGUCCAUAUUCUCUUAAUAAAAUUCACCUUGAUCUACCAAUUUCAAUUAUGACUAUAUAUCACAUCAUUUCGAUCAUACAUUAGUAAUUUUAUCUCCAAAGUGAACAUGCAACAUCAUUACUUCGAUUCAUUUACAUACCACUUGUCCUAGAUAAUUUCCUCAUAUGUAUUCUAAGUUGAACAGUCCACAACAAGGUAAAGACUUGAUAAACCGUAAUUUAUACAUAUUUCUAUCCCAUGCUUAGCACAUUUUAUGGAUGAUUUUUCCUUGAAAUUGGUGAAUCUGAUGCUCCUAAAGCCUUAAUUUCAUAUUUUAUACUUAGGUGAGAAUAGGAGAGUGAAAGAAACGAGAAACGGGCCAAAAACGGAGAAAAUAGACCAACGUACGAAAUUAAAACGGCUUGGACUUCCUCACACGGGCAGACCAUACGGCUGUGUCAAUUUGGCAAAAUAGAAACACGACUCACACAGGUAGACCACACGCCCGUGCCUAUAUAUCAGGCUAGACCACAGCCUGAAGUAAUCGCACACGGGCAUGUCACACGGGCGUGUCCCUGUCGAGCCCACGUUUAGUCCAAUUUGGAAAAGGGCAAUUUUGAGGGCUCUUAGGCAUCCCAAAGCCUAUAAAUACACCUUAGAAGAGGAGAAUAGGGGGAAACAAAGGAGGAAGUAGGGAACUGCUCAAGGAAAGCCGAUUGAUCCAUCUUAGAAGCCAGAUUCAUCAUCAAGACUGAAGAUCUCCCCUCAAUUUUUCUUCAGGAGUUUUGGGUUUUUCUUUAUGUUUUUUAUUCAUUAUUCUUCUGAGAUGUUUACCUUUUUAGUUAUGAACUAAAACCCCUAAAUACCUAAAGGGAAUGAAACCUAAGACAGAUCUUGUUAUUAUUAUCUGAAUUUUAUGAUAAAUAUUUGACUUGUUCUUAGUUAUGUGUUCUUAAUUCUUGUUUUGAUAUUCUAGGAUAUUGAUUCAAGUUAAGCUCUUAUUCAGAGGAGGAAUAAACCCUGUCUAAGAGUACAUUUAUCAUAAUUAAGCGAAGUUGAUUGCGCGCCUAGAGAUAGGGUGACAAGAUUUUGCCAGAUUAGGGUGAAACCUAAUAAGGGGAUCCAUAGAUCGAGUUAAUGCAACCCUAGGGAGUUAAUCAGAAAGAGAUUUCAAUUAUUCAACCUAGGGUUAGACAUUGUUAGUCUCAAGAGAGAUAAUAAUAUAACUUAGGGAUUUCUACGAAUCAAGUCAAAUGAAUAAAUCGUUCGAUUCAGAGUCAAAUAACAAGUGAAGUCUAGGUGGAUUUUUCCUUAGGUAUUGUCUCAAUCAAUCGAGUUUUCCAAAAGUACUUUCCCAAUUCUAUUUUCUGUGAAUUCUUAGUUUAGUUAAUUAUUUAGUUAAAACAAACCCCAUUAUUCUUAGGCUAGAUAAUAAAAAGACAGUCAUUACUAGUACUUUUAGUUCCUUCGGGUUCGACAAUACGGUCUUACUAAAGCUAUACUACUGUUAGAUAGGUACACUUGCCUUCAUCGUGAUAAUAGUUAGUUUCAAGAACGAUUCAUUAUAAAUAUUUAAAACCUGUCACGAAUAUCACGCAUCAAGUUUUUGGCGCCGUUGUCGGGGAACUAAGAUAUUAGGAACACUCGAUUUUUAUUACUUUAGCCAUUUACUUUUACUGCAAUAUUUACUUUUACUGCAAUUUAAAUUUUACUCUAAUUUUUAUUACUAAUUGUUCUUUUUCCCUUUUUCUGGCAGGUUCUUAUAGUUUAUGACUAGAAGAAACCCGUCAGGACCAUUACUUUUUGACAGUGAGAUCGAUUGCACAGUUCGCAGAAACCAAAGAGAAAUAAGGAGAAGCUUAAGAUACACAGAGAACGAGCAAGAGGACAAUAUUCAAACCACAAUCGAGGAGAUGGCUGAAAACCACGAAAAUCUGCUACCUCCUGCAAUUGUUGUUAAUCAAAAUCCUGCUCUGCGCACUAUGUAUGAUUAUGCUAAACCUAAUUUAAUAGGAACUGAGUCAAGUAUAGUUAGACCUGCUAUUGCUGUAAAUAAUUUUGAACUGAAACCUAACACAAUUCAAAUGAUACAAUAGUUUGUUAAGUUUGAUGGUUUGCAGGACGAGGAUCUCAAUGCUCACUUGGCAAAUUUCCUAGAAUUUUGCGAUACCUUUAAAAUUAAUGGCAUUUCUGAUGACACCAUUCGCCUUCGGUUGUUUUCCUUUUUAUUAAGGAAUAAGGCUAAAUAAUGGUUGAACUCGUUACCACGAGGGUCAAUCACUAUUUGGGAACAAAUGACCAAAAAUUUUUUAUUAAAAUAUUUCUACUGGCUAAAACAGCCAAAUUACGUAAUGAUAUCUCUUCUUUUGUGCAGAUGGAUUUAGAAACACUCUACGAUGCAUGGGAGAGAUAUAAGGACCUUUUGCGAGGAUGCCCUCACGAUGGGUUACCACUCGAGCUACAGGUUCAAAAUUUUCAUAAUGGCCUGAAUCCUUCGACUCAACAAAUGAUUGAUGCAACCGCUGGAGGAACUAUCAAUAAUAAGACACUUAAGGCGGCUUAGGAAUUUAUUGAGGAGAUGUCACUGAAUAACUAUCAGUGGCAAGUUUUGAAAACAAAACUGACGAAAGUAGUCGGUGUUUUCAACCUCUACGCGGUUACUAUGCUAUCUAACCAAGUAGAACUCUUAAAUAAAAAGAUUGACGGUUUGUGUGGUUCUACUCAGGUACAUCUAGUGAUGAGGUGUGAUUCAAAUAGAAGAGGAGCAUGCAUAGAAUAUCAACCCUUCAACCCUAGCAUCGAGGAGGAACAAGUCCAAUAUAUGGGUAACAAUAACUCUAGAUCCCAAAAUAACCCAUAUAGCAAUACUUACAAUGCAGGUUGGAGGAAUCACCCAAAUGUUUCAUGGGGAGGCCAAGGAAAUUAGAAACCACCAUCCCCUCUAGGCUUUCAGCAACCACCAUACCAGCAGGAGAAAAAGUUGAACCUUGAGGAGAUGCUAACCAAAUUCAUCUCGGUGUCUGAGACUCGUUUUCAGAAUACCGAGACGACACUCAAAAAUCAACAAGCAUCGAUCCAAGGACUCGAAACUCAAAUUGGACAGCUAGUUAAGAUGAUUUUAGAAAGAGCACCAAGAAAUCUACCUAGUAACACCGAACCCAAUCCAAAAGCACAAUGAAAGCAGUUACACUGAGGAGUGGGAAACUGUUAGCUAAAUCGGAAAAGAAGCCACAACAAGAAGCUGAUAGAAGAAAAUGAGAGGAGAUAAAACCCAAAAGCAAAGACAAUCCAAUGUCGAAGGAAUAUAAACCACCAAUUCCAUACCCAGAAAAGUUGAAGAAAGACCGCAUGGAUGCACAAUUUGGCAAAUUCCUUGAACUUUUUAAACAACUACAUAUUAACUUACCUUUUGUGGAAGCUAUAUCGCAGAUGCCUACAUACGCAAAAAUUUUAAAGGAGCUCCUAACCAACAAAAGGAAGUUUGAAGACUUAUCUACAGUGGAACUUAACGAGGAAUGCUUGGCUAUACUCCAAAACAAACUGCCAACCAAACUAAAAGAUCCAGGAAGUUUUACUAUACCUUGCUUAAUUGGUAGUUUUAACGUUGAUAAGGCACUAGCUGAUUUAGGUGCUAGCAUUAAUUUGAUGCCAUAUAAAAUGUUUAAACAACUUGGUCUUGGGGAACCUAAACCCACUAGGAUGAGUAUUCAACUAGGCGAUAGAUCUGUUAAAUAUCCUAGGGUUAUUAUAGAGGACACACUUGUAAAAGUAGAUAAAUUUAUAUUCCCUAUUGACUUCGUUGUGCUUGAUAUAGAUGAAGAUGUUGAAGUGCCUUUAAUCUUAGGGCAUCCAUUUUAACCACUGCUAGGGCUGUUUUUGUAACACCCCAAACCCAGCUUAGAAGUUUGGCUCGAUUCUAGCGUGUCACAUUGAAGUGUUUUUCGAAAACCAUGUUUCCAUUAAAAACCCUUCUUAAUAAUUAAAAACUUAUACCCUUUUUAAACCUUGUUAGAAAACCUUAGCUAAAUAACAUUCUUAACAACUUUGUAAAAAUCUUGGUAGUUGUAGAAGCUUAAUUUAAAACUAAUUACGGAUACGUGAUGUUUUGAACAACAGUAGUUGCUUUGGAAAACCGUGUUCUAAUACUAGCAAUUAUAAGAACAAUAAGUAAAAUUUCAAAUUUGAAAUCCAGAAAAUUACAACGGCUUUACUACAACCCACAUAAAACAUUUAAAAGUAAUAAUCAAAACUAUAAAAUAAAUAGUGUGUGUGGCUUCCUCCGAGCCCCUCGCAGCUCCGAUCCGUCUAAGGCUGGAAAUUACCUGAAAGGUUAAUAAAUGGGGUGAGUUUACGAAAACUCAGUGUGAAAUCCUCUACUAUAAAAAGGAACAGUUAGUCAUAUAAUAGAAUUAAAAGUCUGGCCCUAGCCUUACUUACAGUUUCAGUAUCAAUUGGGCCUUAGCCCACUAUAACAGAUAGUACCAGAUCGGCCUUAGCCCAUUACAGAAUAAGAAACAUUAUCAGAACUAGAAUCAAAAUGAGAAUUACAAUCAGAAUCAGGUGACAGAAUCAGAAUCAAAAUCAGAAUCAGAAUUUGGUGACAGAAUUAGAAUCAGAAUCAGUAUCAGGUAAUAGAAUCAAUAUCAAAAUGUGAAUGCAAUCCCAACCCAAUCCAGCCGUAUACACCCUCAUACCAACCUUACACCAUGUGGGGAGACUACAUGACCCACCCAACCGCUACACAGCACAAAAAUUGCAGCGAAGCUGCCAGAUAUUGUGAUGAAGUCACCAAAUACAGAUAUUGUGGCUAGGCCACCAGAACAUAUAUAUAUAUGUGGCGAAGCCACCAGAUUGCAGCGAGGCUGCCAAAACGCUUCCUCCAUCAAUAUAACCCAUAUCCCAUACAACAGAUAUAUAUGUCAUGGCAUACAACAUACAGAAUCAGAAUAUCAUGCCCAUAUUUGAAUCAAACAGUCACAGUCAAGUCAUUCAUAUCACCAAUAUAUAUUCACAAUCAAAUCCGUCAACCACACAGUCCAAGUCAGUCACUUACCCACAAGGGCAAAACAAUCAUUUAACACCCUAGGGGUAAAAUGGUAAUUUUUUAAAUCGAGGGUAAAAUAGUAAUUCUGUAAAUCGAGGGCAAAAUAGUAAUUCUAUAAAUUGAGGGUAAAACAGUAAUUCUAUAAAUCAAGGAUAAAAUAGUAAUUUUUUAAAUCGAGGGUAAAACAGUAAUUUUGUAAAUCGAGGGUAAAACAGUAAUUCUGUAAAUCGAGGGUAGUUUGGUAAUUUUACAAGUCGAGGGUAUUUCAGUAAUUUUACAGGUCGAUGGUAUUUCAGUAAUUUCACAAAUCAGAGGUAUUUUGGUAAUUUUACAAACUAGUGGUAUUUUGGUAAUUUUACAAACCAGUGGUAUUUUGGUAAUUUUAUAAACCAAGGGUAUUUUGUUAAUUCUACCGUACAGGGGCAUUUCAGUAAUUCUACCCUACAAGGGUAGUUCAGUAAUGCUAGCCUAUAGAUAUGAGAUUCACAUAGUCCAACCCAAUAUUUACUACACAAUCAAACAACUUAUCCAAUUGGGCCUGUAAGCCCAUUAGGCCCACAUGGCCCCUUUCGGCCCAUGCGGCCCGAAGUAGCCAUCCUACAGCUAGAGUAGUAAGAAACACACACCUGAUAGGAGACUGGAGUUAAUCCGCGCUCUGAGCACUCUUAGCCGACGCCCAACCCAAACGAGCACGUCAUAAAGCAAAAGGGAUCAGCCAAGAAAAGUACCUUUACUCUCCUCAUGGUUCUCUUUAUUUAAAGCCAGCUCUCCAUCUACUCUUAUGUUAGCUUCCCGAUAUGGGAUCCCUCCAUCACAAGAGUUUAAAACCAACACCAACUCUUGCCGUCCCAACAUAGCAAAAUAAAUGCUCUUUGAUUGCCAUGAGUUUCAAACCCUGGACUCCUUGCCAACUCUAUGACACCACCUUCCUGCCUCUUAUGUGGCGCUACUUUGCCACUAGACCACAAGGCUUUUUGUGGCUCAAUUUCUCCAACAAUAUUCUUAAAGCCUACCUACUACACCCAGGUUUGAUUCACCUUAAACCAAAAUUUUUGCUAGAGUCCAGAUUUGAACCCAGGACUUCUCCAACAAUUCUCAGCACACUUAACCACUAAAACAAGCCUUCAUUAACGAAAUUUACAUGCACAACAAAAUAUUAUAAGCUGCCUUCAACUGCUCCUAUGCUCAAGGCCCAAAACUUCUAGGCCCAAAUUUAGGGUGUUACAACUCUACCUCCCUUAAAGAAAUUUUCUCCCCGAAAUUUCCAUCUAACAGGGUAGUCGUGUAACAUCUACCCACUACGCUACUAUUGCGCACUCUGAUCCUACUAUCACUAUCACACUUCAACUAGAACUUGAAACAUCUCAUACAUACAACACUUAUUCACUGAAGCAGACACAUAUUUAUCACACAUAUAUAAAAUUUCCAUAUCCAAACAUCAAAUCCACAUAAAAUAAAUACCAAAUUUAAAUUCAGACCAAUAUUUAAAGAAUCCACAGUAUUUUAAUUUCUAGAUAGACAACAGUAUUCAGAAGACUUACGGAUUCGGCGCCGGAGACUCGGUGUGCCACACUUUUUAAGAGAAAUACUUCAAACUAACAUGUGGUUGAAAGUAAUUUUCUGAAAUUCAACCUUUGAAAACCCAAUCCACAGCCGAGUUGUUGCAACUUGGCUCUGAUACCACUAAAUGUAACACCCCAAACCCGGCCUGAAAGUUUGGCUCGAAUCUGGCGUGUCACAUUGAAGUGUUUUUCGAAAACCAUGUUUCCAUUAAAAACCCUUCUUAAUAAUUAAAAACUUAUACCCUUUUUAAACCUUGUUAGAAAACCUCAGCUAAAUAACAUUCUUAACAACUUUGUAAAAAUCUUGGCAGUUGCAGAAGCUUAAUUUAACAAUAAUUGCGGAUACGUGAUGUUUUGAACAACAAUAAUUACUUUGGAAAACCGUGUUCUAAUACUAGCAAUUAUAAGAAUAAUAAGUAAAAUUUCAAAUUUGAAAUCCAGAAAAUUACAACGGCUUUACUACAACCCACAUAAAACAUUUAAAAGUAAUAAUCAAAAUUAUAAAAUAAACAGUGUAUGUGGCUUCCUCCGAGCCCCUCGCAGCUCCGAUCUGUCUAAGGCUGGAAAUUACCUGAAAGUUUAAUAAAUGGGGUGAGUUUACGAAAACUCAGUGUGAAAUCCUCUACUAUAAAAAGGAACAGUCAGUCAUAUAAUAGAAUUACAAGUCUGGCCCCAGCCUUACUUACAGUUUCAGUAUCAAUUGGGCCUUAGCCCACUAUAACAAACAGUACCAGAUGGGCCUUAGCCCAUUACAGAAUAAGAAACAUUAUCAGAACUAGAAUCAGAAUCAAAAUCAGAAUCAGAAUUAUGUGACAGAAUUAGAAUCAGAAUCAGUAUCAGGUAAUAGAAUCAAUAUCAGAAUGUGAAUGCAAUCCCAACCCAAUCCAGCCGUAUACACCCUCGUACCGACCUUACACCAUGUGGGGAGACUACGUGACCCACCCAACCGCUACACACCACAAAAAUUGCAGCAAAGCUGCCAGAUAUUGUGAUGAAGUCACCAAAUACAGAUAUUGUGGCUAGGCCACCAGAACAGAUAUAUAUAUGUGGCGAAGCCACCAGAAGCGAGGCUGCCAAAACGCUUCCUCCAUCAAUAUAACCCAUAUCCCAUACAACAGAUAUACAUGUCAUGGCAUACAACAUACAGAAUCAGAAUAUCAUGCCCAUAUUUGAAUCAAACAGUCAAAGUCAAGUCAUUCAUAUCACCAAUAUAUAUCCACAAUCAAAUCCGUCAACCGCACAGUCCAAGUCAGUCACUUGCCCACAAGGGCAAAACAAUCAUUUAACACCCUAGGGGUAAAAUGAUAAUUUUUUAAAUCGAGGGUAAAACAGUAAUUCUGUAAAUCGAGGGCAAAAUAGUAAUUCUAUAAAUUGAGGGUAAAAUAGUAAUUCUAUAAAUUGAGGAUAAAAUAGUAAUUUUUUAAAUCGAGGGUAAAACAGUAAUUCAGUAAAUCGAGCGUAAAACAGUAAUUCUGUAAAUCGAGGGUAGUUUAGUAAUUUUACAAGUCGAGGGUAUUUCAAUAAUUUUACAGGUCGAUGGUAUUUCAAUAAUUUCAUAAAACAGAGGUAUUUUGGUAAUUUUACAAACUAGGGUAUUUUGGUAAUUUUACAAACCAGUGGUAUUUUGGUAAUUUUAUAAACCAAGGGUAUUUUGUUAAUUCUACCCUACAAGGGUAUUUCAGUAGUGCUAGCCUACAGAUAUGAGAUUCACAUAGUCCAACCCAAUAUUUACUACACAAUGAAACAACUUAUCCAAUUGGGCCCGUAGGCCCAUUAGGCCCUCAUGGCCCCUUUCAGCCCAUCGCGGCCCGAAGUAGCCAUCCUACAGCUAGAGUAGUAAGAAAUACACACCUGAUAGGAGACUGGAGUUAAUCCGCACUGUGAGCACUCUUAGCCGAUGCCCAACCCAAACGAGCACGUCAUAAAGCGAAAGGGAUCAGCCAAGAAAGGUACCUUUACUCUCCUCAUGGUUCUCUCUAUUUAAAGCCAACUCUCCAUCUACUCUUAUGUUAGCUUCCCGAUGUGGGAUCCCUCCAUCACCAGAGUUUAAAACCAACACCAACUCUUGCCGUCCCAACAUAAAAUAAAUGAUCUUUGAUUGCCAUGAGUUUCGAACCCUAGACCUCCUUGCCAACUCUAUGACGCCACCUUCCUGCCUCUUAUGUGGCGCUACUUUGCCACUAGACCACAAGGCUUUUUGUGAGACAAUUUCCCCAAGAAUAUUCUUAAGGCCUACCUACUACACCCAGGGUUUGAUUCACCUUAAACCAAAAUUUUUGCUAGAGUCUAGAUUUGAACCCAGGACUUCUCCAACACUUCUCAGCAUACUUAACCACUUAAACAAGCCUUCAUUAACAAAAUUUACAUGCACAGCAAAAUAUUAUAAGUUGCCUUCAACCGCUCCCAUGCUCAAGGCCCAAAACUUCUAGGCCCAAAUUCAGGGUGUUACAAUUAUUGAUGUAGGUGAUGGUAAAAUGGUACCUAGAGUAGGUAAUGAAGAAAUCGUUUUUAAAAUUUAUGAUGCCAUGAUAUUUUCUAGGGAACAGGAUAACUCAUGUUAUUUUAUUGACUCUAUUGAUCAUGCUGCUCAAGAUUCUUUUCAGGAAAUCAUACAUAAAAACACGUUGGAACUGUGUCAUGCCCAAGGAGAGGAGAUAGAUGACGAUGACUCCGAGACAGGUAAAAUAAAAGCUAAACUGAACUUCAAUGAAUCUUCCCAAAGACAAGUAGAAUAUGAUGACAUUAAAAGGAACGAUGAUUUUAAGAAAAAACCCUUUAUUGAAGAACGUCCCAAACUAAAACUCAAACAGUUACCAAAUUACUUGGAAUACGCAUUCCUUGGAAAUAAUUCUACAUUACCAAUUAUUAUUGCAUCUAACUUGCAACCCAAGGAAAAAGAGGAAUUAAUCCAAGUAUUAAAAGAACAUGCAAAGGCCAUAGCUUGGAAAUUUUCUGACAUUAAAGGGAUCAGCCCUUCUUUUUGUACCCACAAAAUUUUAAUAGAAGAUGAAUAUAAACCAUGUGUGCAAGCUCAAAGACGACUGAACCCCAACAUGAAGGAAGUUGUUAAAGCCGAGGUAAUUAAACUUCUAGAUGCUGGAAUUAUUUAUCCUAUUUCUGAUAGUUCUUGGGUAAGUCCAGUGCAGGUUGUUCCUAAGAAAGGAGGCAUGACUGUGGUAGCCAAUGAGAAGAAUGAACUAAUUCCAACUAGGACAGUCACAGGUUGGAGAGUUUGCAUUGACUAUAGGAAGCUAAAUGAUGCCACGCGAAAAGAUCAUUUCCCCUUGCCAUUCAUUGACCAAAUGUUGGAAAAACUAUCAGGGCACAUGUACUACUGCUUCUUAGAUGGACUAUCUGGCUAUUUUCAAAUCCCAAUAGCUCUUGAAGAUCAGGAAAAAAUGACAUUCACAUGUCCAUACAGUACAUUUUCUUAUCGAAGAAUGCCUUUUGGAUUAUGUAAUGCUCUUGCUACAUUCCAACGCUGCAUGAUGGCCAUCUUUGACGAACUCGUAGAAGAUAUCAUGGAAGUAUUUAUGGAUGAUUUCUCGGUAUUCGGUAACUUUUUCCAUCUUUGCCUUAAAAAUUUAAAACGAGUUCUAAUAAGAUGUAAGGAAACGAACCUUGUACUUAACUGGGAAAAAUGUCACUUUAUGGUUCAAGAAGGUAUUGUGCUAGGACAUAAAAUUUCUACUAAAGGGAUUGAGGUUGAUAAAUCUAAAGUCGAAAUCAUUGAAAAAUUACCUCCUCCUAUUUCGGUUAAGGCUAUUAGAAGUUUUUUAGGACAUGCUGGGUUUUAUAGAAGAUUUAUUAAAGAUUUUUCUAAAAUAGCUAAGCCUUUGACAAAUUACUAGAAAAAGAUAUGCUCUUUAAUUUUGAUCAGGAAUGUUUAGAAGCAUUAAAUACUCUAAAGGAUAAAUUGAUUAAUGCUCCAAUUAUAAUAGCACCUGAUUGGAAUUUACCUUUUGAACUAAUGUGUGAUGUGAGUGACUUUGCAGUAGGUGCAGUUUUGGGACAGUGAAGGGACAAGCACUUUCAACCUAUUUAUUAUGCUAGCAAAACUUUGACAGCUGCACAAGAGAACUACACCACCACGGAGAAAGAAUUGUUAGCUGUGGUUUUUGUAUUUGAUAAAUUCAGGCCAUAUCUAAUAUUGUCUAAAGUUGUCGUUUAUAUUGAUCAUUCUACCCUUCGCUAUCUGUUAACUAAGACAGAUGCAAAACCUCGACUCAUUAGAUGGAUUUUGUUAUUGCAGGAAUUCGACUUGGAAAUUCAAGAUAAGAAAGGAAUAGAAAAUCUCGCAACUGAUCAUUUAUCCAGGCUUGAAAUUUCAAGUACUAAAGAGCUAGAUGAAGUGGAAAUAAAUGAUUCGUUCCCUGAAGAACAAUUUUUUGCUAUUUCUGACUCGGAGGUACCUUGGUUUGCAGACAUAUCAAUUUUUUUAGCAGCUAACGUUAUCCCAAAAGGGUUGACACAUCAGCAAAAGAAAUGAUUCUUUACUGAUGUGAAAAACUACUUUUGGGAAGAUCCUUUUCUUUUCUGUAUAUGUACAGAUCAAGUCAUUCGGUGAUGCGUUACAAGAACAGAAACAUUAAAAAUCUUGGAACACUGCCACUCAAGACCAGCUGGAGGACAUUAUGGUGGAAAUAAGACCGCACAUAAAAUACUUGAAUCAGGUUUUUAUCGGCCCACCUUAUUCAAAUAUGCCAACAGGUAUGUUAUUUCUUGUGACAAAUGCCAAAGGACAGGUAAUAUCUCUAACCGUGAUGAAAUGCGUCAAACAUAUAUGCUUUCAUGUGAAAUAUUUGAUGUUUGGGGUAUCGACUUCAUGGGUCCAUUCCCUAGUUCAUUUGGAAAUAAAUACAUCUUAGUAGCUGUCGAUUAUAUGUGUAAAUGGGUUGAAGCCCAAGCUUUGCCCACAAAUGAUGCUAGAGUAGUGGUAUGUUUCCUUAAAAAACUUUUCUCUCGAUUUGGAACACUUAGAUUAAUUAUCAGCGAUAGGGGGACUCAUUUCUGUAAUGCCCAAAGGACCCUCAAGAAAUAUAGAGUUUACCACCGAACAGCUACCCCUUACCACCCUCAAACUAGUGGCCAAGUCGAAGUGGCAAAUUGAGAACUUAAACGUAUCCUAGAAAAAAACGGAAGGAUUAAACAGGAAAGAUUGGGCAAUGAAAAUAGAUGACACAUUAUGGGCCUAUAAAACUGCUUUUAAAACCCCCUUAGGAACAUCACCAUACAAACUCGUUUAUGGAAAAAUUUGUCAUCUACCAUUUGAGUUAGAACACAAAGCAUUCUGGGCUAUAAAAUUUCUAAACUUUGAUCCCAAACUUGCAGCUGAAAAUAGGUUGAUGCAGUUAAACGAGUCAGACGAAUGGCGAACCUAUGCAUAUGAAAAUUCAAGACUAUACAAGGAAGCAACGAAACGACGUCAUAAUGCUCGGUUAAAACAAAAUAAACAAUUUGAAGUUGGAGAUCUUGUACUAUUAUAUAACUCGAGACUCCAAUUGUUCCCUGGGAAGCUUAAAUCACGAUGGUCAAGUUCGUUCAUAGUCAAAACAAUUUUUCUAUACGGCACCGUAGAAAUAAGUCACCCUUCGUAAAGUACUUUCAAAGUAAAUGGACAUCGCCUCAAACCUUACAAUGAUGAGAAAGUUAAAGAUGACAGGGAGGAGCUACGGAUCCACGAAUCUCCUUAAGUACACUCACAUGGUAAAGUCUAGCUUAGACUUUAAAUAAGCUCUUCUCGGGAGGCAACCCAAGCACUAACAAUAUUACUUUCUUUAAAUUUUAGUUUUUAAAAUCUAACAUACUAACCAAAUCAUUGAACACAGGCUUUUUAUAACCACACUGCCAGGCACACAGGCGUGCCGUAUGCUGUGCACAUACCAUGGGAUGUAACACGGCCAUGCGAUACGGCUGUGUAAAAACAGUGAAAAAAACUUUCUUGUGAUAAGUAGCCACGGCCGUGCGACAUGGCCAUGGGUGAAACUGCCAAAAUAACACGGGCGUUAGCAUGCCCCACGGCCAUGUGCCCCAAUUUCUCUAUAAACACCUAUUAUUUAUUUUAUUUUAUUUUUAUCCUUGUAUUUUGAAAUUAUUUUUUUAUUUCCUUUUAAUAUUAUUUCAUCCUGAGUUUUUACAAUUUUUAUUCUUCAGCUAUUUCAUUACGAGUAAUUAUGCUUCAGUAUACCUCUUAAAAAGUUCCUGAUUUUAUCACAGUUAUAAAGAGCUCCUCAGCUCAUCAUCACAUAGGAACUAAAAAAUCAACUAGGAAAGGUUUUUCACGACCAUAGCCAACUUGAGAUAUAAUAUUCUUUUGGUGCAGCAUUUGUGGAACCCAACCUCUACCACCAGCGGAGUAUCUUCCUCCACUCUCACGCUUAUUAUUAUCCAAAACACCAAUUCAAGGAGUUCAUUCAUCAUUCAAGAAGUUUCACUUCUCUCCCUAUCUUAUGAUUCUAAAUCUAUCUUUUUCAAUAUAUCUACCUUUGUACAUUGAGGGCAAUGUCCAUCUUAAGUGUGGGGGGUCUUUUAUAUCUUCAUAAGAAAUCCCUGAAUUUUGUCUUAUUCUCAUGUGAUCUUCUCAUGCCAUGAUUAAAAUGGAUUUUGAUUAAUUUAUGAUUUUUAUUGAUAUGUCUUGAAUUAAAACAUAGGCAUUUAUGCAUUGAUGUUUAAGCUUUAAGACAUUAGAGAAUCAAGCAUGAUAAGUUGAUUUUUGAUGAAUUAAAACUUUCAGGUUGUUUCCCCAAGUUUAGGUAUUAUUUUGAGUUGGAAUUCACAAGUUUAAACAUAAAAAAACCAUAAUUUUUGUGAGAUCUUGAGCCUUUAGAGCAUUUAUUAUUUCUUUCAUGCUCACUUUCAUUAUGAGUGAGUCAGUAUUGAAUUGUUAUUCUAGAACUUGCUUCAUUAUGCAUGUCAAGACCACACCAUUUGAUUUGAUAUGUCAAAAUGAUAAAGGCACUUAGGUUUAACCCACUCACUCCAUUAAAGCCUACAUUUACAAUUAACCCUUAGUGAACCCCCUUGAGCCUAACAACCCAUUCAUUAAUUUACCCUCAAUAUUAACCCAUAACUCAUUAUUGUUGAAAUCCCCUAAAUUAAUUCGAUCCCUAUUUUUGUCGAGAUUUGAGUUGGAAUAGUUUCUUAGCUAUGUUUUAUUCUAUUUUGUAAUUUGACUUGUUCUUAAAAAAAACAUGUAUACAUAUUAGUAGUAGUGAUCUUCUGAGCUAAAGAAGUUAAAUUCCAUAUUCUGAGAAAAAGCUCUCUUGUACGCAAUUGAUGACUAGUCAUUUUUCUAGUUAGGCAAUUUUUCAAUUCAAUCUCGAUUCUAACCCUUUCUUUCAGCUUGUGACCACACCCUCUAACCAAAGCCACGUUACAACCCUCUGAAGAACUUUUGAUUGAUGUUUCAUCUCAAUUUAUAGUGGUGGAGAUUUGAUUUUCAUGCAAGCCUAUGGUAAUGACUUUUCAUUAUUGACUAUUGAGUGCUUCAUUUAAUGUCUUUAAACACCUCGAGUGAUUUCAGUGAAUCUUUAGUGAGGAUGUGAAACUCUGUGAUAUUUUGAAUCAAAGGUAAUUACUUGGAUGAGGGGAGACACCCAUGUUUUCAUAAUAAAAUGCUCAACAAUGUUUGAAACUUUAAUGUUCUUUCAGUUGAAUUUUCAAUGUAUGAUUACCUAUGGAUUAUUUUGAGAUAUUAUCGAUGGAAAUUAUAAGUUGAGAAUAAUUUAUUUUGAUUAUGAGUUGAGGAUUUUCUUGAGGACAAGCAAAUGCUUAAGUGUGGGGGUAUUUGAUAAACCGUAAUUUAUACAUAUUUCUAUCCCAUGCUUAGCACAUUUUAUGGAUGAUUUUUCCUUAAAAUUGGUGAAUUCGAAGCUCUUAAAGCCUUAAUUUCAUGUUUUAUACUUAGGAGAGCAUGAAGAGUGAAAGGAACGAGAAAUGGGCCAAAAACGGAGAAAAUAGGCCAACGUACGAAAUAAACACGGCUUGGACUUCCUCACACGGGCAGACCACAUUGCCGUGUCAAUUUGGCAGAAUCGAAGCACGACUCACACGGGUAGACCACACACCCGUGCCUAUUUAUCAGGCUUGACCAUGGCCUGAAGUAAUCACACACGGGCGUGUCCCUGUCGAGCCCAAGUUUAAUCCAAUUUGGAAAAGGGCAAUUUUGAGGGCUCUUAGGCAUUCUAAAGCCUAUAAAUACACCCUAGAAAAGGAGAAUAAGGGGGACACAGAGGAGGAAGCAGGGAACUACUCAAGGAAAGCCGAUUGAUCCAUCUUAGAAGCCGGAUUCAUCAUCAAGACUGAAGAUCUCCCCUCAAUUUCCCUUCAGAAGUUUUGGGUUUUUCUUUAGGUUUUGUAUUCAUUAUUCUUCUGAGAUGUUUACCUUUUUAGUUAUGAACUAAAACCCCUAAAUACCUAAGGGGAAUAAAACCUAAGACAGAUCUUGUUAUUAUUAAAUGAAUUGUAUGAUAAAUAUUUGACUUGUUCUUAGUUAUGUGUUCUUAAUUCUUGUUUUGAUAUUCUAGGAUAUUGAUUCAAGUUAAGCUCUUAUUCAGAGGAGGAAUAGACCUUGUCUAAGAGUACAUUUGUCAUAAUUUAGUGGAGUUGAUUGCGCACCUAGAGAUAGGGUGACAAGAUUUUACCGAAUUAGGGUGAAACCUAAUAAGGGGAUCCAUAGAUCGAGUUAAUUGAACCCUAGGGAGUUAAUUAGAAAGAGAUUUAAAUUAUUCAACCUAGGGUUAGACGUUGUUAGUCUCGAGAGAGAUAACAAUAUAACUUAGAGAUUUCUACGGAUCAAGUCAAAUGAAUAAAUCGUCCAAUUCAGAUUCAAAUAACAAGUGAAGUCUGGUGGAUUUUUCCUUAGGUAUUGUCUCAAUCAAUCGAGUUUUCCAAAAGUAAUUCCUCAAUUCUAUUUUCCAUGAAUUAUUAGUUUAGUUAAUUGGUUAUUUAAAACAAACCUCAUUAUUCUUAGGCUAGAUAAUAAAAAGACAGUCAUUACUAGUACUUUUAGUUCCUUUGGGUUCAACAAUCUGGUCUUGCUAAAGCUAUACUACUGUUCGAUAGGUACACUUGCAUUCAUCGUGAUAAUAGUUAGUUUCAAGAACGAUUCAUUAUAAAUAUUUAAAACCUGUCACAAAUAUCACGUAUCAAAACUCACCUUAAAUUCACCAAGAUUGCAGCUUGGAGUUCCAAAACUUGAACAUCCUUCUUGAACUACCAGCAGCAACUGCUUAAACAACAUAGAACCACCAUUAGAACCCAUUUACAGACAAGUGACUAGUAUCUUAAUUACAAACAACCCUAUGGAGAUUUUCUUAAUCACAACUCAUUGUUCAUAAGUUUCUUGAUACCUUUAUUAUUUUCAAAGACAUAACAUGCAGAGCUAUCGAGCUUACCCUGAGGUGGAACAUCCACUCAUUAAUUUAAAAAUCUGUAGUUUCCAGAGAAGAAAACAUAUAAGUUCUAAAAGGAAGAACUAGAAAGUAGGAUUAAAGGAAGAAAAACCAUCCCGACUAAUCCUUCUCACAAUAUAUAUAUCCAGUGUCCCCUUAGUGGAACUCGACAAGUGUUAAUUGUAUCCAGAGUUUGUACUAAUAAAUGGCCUACAAAGUUCGAAAUAAAUAUAAAUGAGGAUCUUGUACAAAUAUUACUUGACCAGUCAAUUCAGUUGGCUCCCAACCAGGUCAUAUUACAAAGCCCAACUACGAUAGUACUCAAACAAGCUAGGCGUACUGUACAUUUGGCGGUAACUUUUACUAGGCUUACUCUUUGCUUGACACAUCCUUUUCUUAAAUAGUACGAUAACCAGAGAUAGAAUCUUUAAUUAACUUACAUGAUGGGUACCUUACCCUAAAUUCGUAUUCGCCAAAAAACUACAAAUGGGCAAACUACACUAUGCCAAAUAGGUAUCUUCACAUCUACAUUUCUUCAAAUCUAGUUCGCUAGAUUUGGGUUGUGACAACUCUUGCCUCUUAGAAAAAAAUUGUCCUCGAAUUUUUUUAACUUAAAAUUUUCCACUACAUAGAAUGCAUAACUAACUGUCUGCACCGACAAAUAAACCUAUUUGGCGAAUUACUCCACAAACUCAUAACAACUUCUCUUCAGUGAUGUAUACUUUAGGGUUCCUCUAUCGGUAAGAAUGCCAACAUUCUACUCAAAUUUAUAGAUUCAAAACUUGGCUUUUACUCUUAAAAUUUCAAGCGUUACUUAACUUACUCUUUAACAGAUGUCAAAUUUAUAUUAGAGAAUAUGAACAAUUACCACGAAUUAAACUUCUUGCACACGUUUGUUUCUCAAUAAAAUUAAAACUUAAACACCCUUUUUAAAACUCUUUGUUGCAUAUCGGAACCCUAAUUUGUUUUCUAUUUAAGCUUUCUACUUCCUUCGUCUUUAGUUCUCCUCUUACUCAAAGGUAAUCUUUGUUCUUCUUUUCUUUUUAUUUCAUUCAUACAAAAUGGUCAGAACCACCACACAAUGGAGGGGCUGAGGCCAGACUAAAUGAAAUGUCAAUCUCCAAAAUCCAACUAUCUUCAAACUCAAACGUUUUGAUAUAGGAUUGUAGCGCCACCGAAUAUGAAUUACAUUGGUACCUAGGAGCCUGAGACAUUUUUUAUCCCAACUUUACUUUAUGAUUUCCGACGAGGAUGAGCAUGUCCCCUGAGCGAUAAUUCCAGAGGUUUUAUCAUUCCUUUUAAUUUUUUUAGAGGUUAACUUCCACCUACCACUGAAUCUUUUCUUCUGCAUAGUGCUGAAUGAAUACGACAUCGCCCUAGGGUAGUUAUUGCCCUAUCCUGGAGGACACUAGUGACUUUCUUCGUUGACUAUUACAUGCAUAAUGAGCUUCCAAAGCUGGGAGUGUUCCAAAAGUUUUACCAGUUGAAGAUAAAAAUAAAAGGAAUUUUAAUUGGUAAUGCUCACUUUAGUAUAUGUCCAAGCUUCGAGCCUGUAAUAGUCCAUUUUUAAGUCAAAUCAAAAUAGUGGUUUCGAGACCGCAAGUCCAAAGUGAAAAUAUUUAUUUUAUUAUUAUUUUAAUUUCUACAGCAUGAUAGUGGAGUCAUAUGAAAAUUUCGUUAAGAAAUUUUAUCGUUUGCAUACUCAAUUUGAUAAAAAGGACUAAAUCGUGUAAAUUGCAAAACUUAAGUUAAAUCUCAAUGUGAUUAAAUGGUUGAGGGUUUUAUGUUGCAAUUAGACCAUAUAAAUUGCUAGUGGAAUUUUAUGACCAUUAAAAUGAAAUUAUAAAGGUUAUAAGAUAAGGAUAAAUUAGUAAAUAACCAAAUAACUUAAAAUUAAAAUAAGUAAAAUUAAAGUACCAGCUUUCCAAAAGCUAAACACCACCAAAUUUGAAGGUUAGGAAGCCAUGGUUAGGGCUUGAAGAAUUUGGCCAACAAUUCUAGUGCAUGUAACUGCAAUUUUAUUGUAACGCCCUAAUUUUCGGGUUUUCUGUGUUUCUGUGAUUUUUCAAAUUUGUGUGUGUUCUGGUUGGUUAAAAUAUAUAUUUUAGUAGGUUAGUGGGCCUUUGGAAGGCCCAAACUUAAGUUAAAUCCUUGGUAGUCUUCGGAAUUUUAAUUUUAUGAAUAAGUAAUGCAAUUAGCGUUUGGGCUUUUAAGACUAAAGGGGUAAAAGAUGACACAAAAAGGAGUGUGGUGUAGUGGCAAGGUGGCGGAACUUAGGGGACAAGGAAGUGACGCCAUAGAGGAAGCAAGGGGUCCAAGGUUCAAGUCUUGGCUCUUGCAAUAUAUUUUGGUUUUUCUUUUUAAUAAAUCUAGAAGCAAGUAGGUGCGCUUUAAAGUUUAAUGUGUUGGAUUUAUGACACAAAUGAGUUAAUGGCCUAGUGGUGGUGGCGUGAGUUGGCAUGUGAGAGGACUUUGGUUCGAAUCCCUUGGCAUGCAAAGGUUGAUUAUUUUGCUAUGUUGGGACGACAAGAGUUGGUGAUGGAGGGAUCCCACAUCGGGAAACUAACAUAAGAGUAGAUGGAGAGCUGGCUUUAAAUAGAGCAAACCAUGAGGAGAGUAGGCAUACCCUUCUUGGCUGAUCCCUUUCGCUUUGUGACGUGCUCUUUUGGAUUGGGCGUCGGCUAAGAGUGUUUGGAGCGUGGAUUAACUGCAGUAUCCUAACAGGUGUGUAUUUCUCAUUACUCUAGCAGUAGGACGGCUAUUUCGGGCCGCGAUGGGCUAAAAUGGGCCAUGUGGUCCCGAUGGGUUAGUAGGCCCAAGUGGAUAAGUUGUAGAAUUACUAAAAUACCCCGGUAGGGUAGGACUACCGAUUUACCCUUGGAGGGUAAAAUGACUAUUUUGCCCAUCGUGCGUAAAUGACUAACUUGUGUGAUGAUUGGGUUAGUUGACGUGGAUUUAUGCUAGUUAUUGUUAAUUCGUAAGUCUAAUGUGUUAGUGAUCAAUUGUAGGAUUAUCGCGUGGGAGAUAUCGUCAUCAAUCAUCAUCAACCAGGUGUGUAAACGACACCCUCCCUUAGACUGAAUCGGUAAAAGCCGAAAUACUGAAAUAUUGGUAUUUUGUGAACUCACGAGCGUGCGAGCGCUCGUGAGACAGUUAUUAAUGAAUAUGGUGCAUUUGGAUGAUUAGAGUGCAGAGUGUGCAUUUUCGUGCACAACGGUAUUUUUGGGCUUAAUGGGUGAAAACGGGCCAAUGGGCCAACGGGCCCACUUUGGUAAAAAGACAAGGUAAGUACUUCUGAUUACUUGGUAAACGUUAGAAUGAGCAUGAAACCUUAGCAAUAGGUAAUAAUUACUGGAAUACCCUUAUGCAUGCAAAAUUAUGAUUUUACCCCUAGGGUUUUUUUUCUGAAAAGCAUGAUGUUCUGUUUCUGUAUACGUAUGCCAUGACAUAUUAUUUCUGUUGCAUGGGAUAUGGGUUUAUAUUGAUGGAGGAAGCAUUCUGGCAGCCUCGCUGCAAUCUAGUGGCCUCGCCACAUAUAUCUAUUUUGGUGACUUCGUCACAAUAUCUGGUAGCCUCGUUGCAAUCUGGUGGCUUCGCCACAUAUAUAUAUCUGUUCUGGUGGCCUAGCCACAAUAUCUGUAUCUGGUGACUUUGUUACAAUAUCUGGCAGCCUCGCUGCAAUUUCUGUGGUGUGUAGCGGUUGGGUGGGUCGAGUAGUCUCCCCACAUGGUGUAAGGCUGGUACGGGGGUGUUAUGGAUGGCUCUGGGUUGGGAUUUCUGCAUUCAUGAUAUAUUUGUUCUGUAUAUGCUAUGGGCCUAUGGGUUUCAUUCUAAUUUCUGCAUUGGCCCAAGGCCCAGAUAAUUCUGACUCUGAGGUUUGAUCUGUUUUGGGCUAUGGUUGGGUUAUGUUACACACUGAGUUUACCGAACUCACCCUUUAUUUUCAUCUUUGAAGGAAAUCCCCAACCAUAGUGGGCUUGGAGCUGUGAGGGAUUCGGAGUGGCUACAUCAUCUGCAAAGUUGGUUUUUCUAAGUUAGUUUAUUUUUAUUAUUUUUAUAUUCUGAUUUAAUUUUGGGUUUUAAGUUGUAAUAAGGCCGCUAUUUAAAUUUCUUUUUUUCGCUAUGGUCUUAUUUUCUGAUUAUAUUUAUACUAUGACGAAACUGCUAGUGUUAGGCUGCGUGGGUUUUUAAAAUUAAUGAACGUUUUCAAGACUCAACAAACACAACAAAUGGAUAGCCUAAAGAUUGAUAAACCGGCUUUUCAUUCAACCGCUAUUUUUACAAAGACCAACCCAACCACUUAAACCAGCGAAUGCAUACUAAGUCGUAAGUCCAUAUGACACGUCAGAUUUGGCCAUACCAUCUGGGCCGGGUUUGGGGUGUUACAUUUGGUGGUUUCAGAGCCAAGUUGCAACAACUCGGCUGUGGAACUGGUCUAAAAAUGGGAGUUUGUAAAGAAACACUGAAUAAAAGAUUUCGAAAAUCUUUUUUUUUUUGAACUUGAUUAUAAAUUGUUUUCGAGAAUGUUUCCAAUAUUUUCUCUUUACAAAUAAAUGAUUUUAAAGAUUAAAAUCGGUUUUCUAAAAUUAGGUUUUUUAGAAGGUGGCACACCGAAUCUCCGGGCCAAGUCUGUAAGUUUUCUGAGCCUUUCUGAUUGUUUCAGAAAUAUCUGUUAUAUUCUUAUACAAAACCUUAUCAUGGUACUUUAGUUAGGGUAACACUGGAACUAUAGAAACUCUGAUAAGUAGACUGAGACUGUAGCUAGGCUACCGCAAAAAGAAACAAACUCAAACUCUGAAUUACUUUUAUUCAUAAGACAUCUGUAAUAAACACUGAAAUAUUAAACUGAUUCAUAAAAUUCUUAAUCAGAUAAUGCGAAAUGAGUACACGAGCAGCUCAUGGAAGAGGCCGUGGACGUGGCCGAGGUAAUGCUUAGGCUGAAUCUUCGUCUUCAGGACAUGUGCCAGUAGCAGAUGCACCGGUACCAUCGGCAACGGAGGUAGAGUCUCAUGAUCGAGGUACCAGGGACGAUGCUUUGUCCCAGGUAAUGCUCUGAGUUUUGGAAAGGGUUGCUGGGGCAAGUAUGGGAAACAGAAUUCGGGGGUCUAUUUUUGAGCGGCUCCGGGCUAAUGGAAUAGAGAUAUUUAGGGGCGUAUUUGGUGUAGCUCCAAAUGUGGUUGAGUAUUGGUUAGAAGCCACAGAGUGGAUUAUGGAUGAUCUGGACUACUCUGUGGAGCAGAAGCUGAAGGGAGCCAUAUCGUUACUCAGGGAUGAGGCUUAUCAGUGGUGGCUCACGGUGAGAGAUGGAACUCCUGCUGACAGUGUGACUUGGGAGCUGUUUAUGUAACAUCCUGAUUUUGGGCUUAGUCGGAAUAGUGGUUUCAGGACCACAAAUUUGACGAGGAAAAUUUUAUUUUUAUUAUAUUUUUAUGGUCUACGAUUUCACGGAAUGAUUUCGUGAAAAUUUCGUUCAAAAAUUUCGACGUUUGGGCACUCAAUUUGGUCAAAAGGACUAAAUUGAUAUCAUAUGAAAUGUGGCUACCUAUCAAAUGAUUAUUUGAUGUAAAUUAUGAAUUUAAAUUGAUUAUGGACAAUUUAGUAAAAUGUUGAAAAGUGUGGAAUUUCCCGGUUUAACUUUCAGAAUAGAAACGAUACCAAUGAGCUAUUGUGAGGUCACGUGUGUAGUACUAAGUGCAGGCUACUACGUGUACCAGAUAAUUGGUCGCAUGUGUAGUACUAAGUGCAGGCUACUAUACGUACCUGAUAACUUCGAUCACGUGUGUAGAGGCUACUACGUGUAUCAGAUGGUUAGGUCACGUGUGUAGUACUAAGUGCAGGCUACUACGUGUACCGAAUAAUUGGUCGCAUGUGUAGUACUAAGUGCAGGCUACUAUGCGUACCAGAUAGCUUCGGCUACAAGUGUGGAAAUGAGAAAAUGUGCAGGCAAUUGUGUAUCUAUUAUUAUUCCGAUGAGUUCAACGGGAAAUCGAUUAAGUGAAAAUAAAUGUGACAGUGAUUAUGUGAUGAACAAGUGCAAGUAUAUUUUUAUUUGAAUUCAUGAGCAAUAUGCUCGAUAUUUGAGCGAACCUCGGUAAAAUGGAAGGGAUUAAGUGAAAUUGUGCAAAAGUGAACUUUAGUAGUAAAACAGUGUUGGACAGCAACAGUGCAUGAAUUUGAAAAUUUACCAAAAAUUGUGUAAGUUGAAUUAAAUUUCAAAUAAAAUAUGUAAUUAAAUUUUAUUGAGUCAAUUUUCACAUAAAAUAAACAGGGGAAGCAAAAGAAUUCCAUAUUAUGUGAUAUUUGAAUUCUUGUGAGACAGUGUCUGAAUGAAUUUGAGAUCCCUUGUUCUGGCUUAGAAAAAUUGUUAAAAAUUAUAGAAAAAUAAUUUUGGGGUAUAAUUUAUAUUCCUAGAAUCUUGGGUGAGUCUACUUUUAAUAAAAACAAAUUAGAACAUCAUCCGAGUUUUUUACUAUGAGAUAAAUAAAUUUUAGUGAAGAAAGGUCGAAGCUGUUAAACAACAAAAUAGGGGAGAUUUUGAAUAAUAAACUGUACUUAUUUGCUGGACUAAAAAUUCUGAAAAUUUUAUGGUGGAAAGAUAUAUGAGUCUAGUUUUUUUGAAAAUUUACGAAUCUUAAUUUGGAGUUCCGUAACUCUAAAUAUAAAUGAUUUAGUGACUAUUACUCAAGAAAAUAGCUUAACCAGAACAUGUGUAAAUGUACAAAUGAGUUAGUUUUAUUGUGGGAAGCAUGUUAGUAAAUUGCUUAUUAUUAUUUCAUGUCAGCUUACUAAGCAUAAAACUUACCACCCUCCUUUCCAUUUCUUUUAGUGUUUUCAGGUUAGCUCAGGGUUGGAGACCGUUGGAGGCAACAUCACACUAUCAAGCCAACACUUUGACAGUAUAAACACAUAUGCUAGAUUUAUCAAGUGAGUGGCAUGUAUAGGGACCUAAUUUUAUAACAUGUGUUAUUAUUAUUUGGCCAAAUAUAUUGGUCUUUAGUGAGCUAAUGAUUCUGACUUAUAAAUCUAGCUAUUUAUGUUAUGUUUGAUAUUAGUGAUAUGCAUAUGCUUGGUUGUCAUGCAUGGUUGGUAAUAAGUUGUUUAAGUUGUUUAAUUGAUGAAUUAAGUUUAGAAACACUUCGUGCUUGACUCCGGCGAUGGUCUUGGGUACGGGGGCGUUACAGUUUAAGACAGACAGCCUUCAAAGGAAAGUAUGGUGGGGCUAGUUAUGUGGACGCUGGCCGGAAAGAAUUUCUGAACCUGGUCCAAGGGAGUAAGUCAAUGGCUAAGUAUGAGUCUGAGUUUCUGAGACUGAGCCGGUAUGUUUCUGGGAUUGUCGCUAUAGAGUAUGAGCGUAGCGUACGCUUCGAGGAUGGUCUGAGAGAUGAACUUAGGGUGCUGAUUGCUCCGCAGAAGGAGCGUAACUUCGCUGCUUUAGUAGAGAAAGCUAAGAUAGCUAAGGAAGUGAAGCAUACAGAAAGACAGAAUCGUGAAAAAGAUCGGAACCGUUUUAGGAGAGAUUUAGGACUUUCAGGUGGUAUGAACAGGAAUGUUAAGAGAGCAAGGGUAAUGGAGCCUGUUCGAGUAGUACCGAUGAAUGCUGUUAGACCGCAGGUGUAACACCCCAAACCCGACCAGGAAGUUUGGCUUGAAUCUGGUGUGUCACAUUGAAGUGUUUUUCGGAAACCAUGUUUCCAUUAAAAACCCUUCUUAAUAAUUAAAAACUUGUAACCUUUUUAAACCUUGUUAGAAAACCUCAGCUGAAUAACAUUCUUAACAACUUUGUAAAAAAUCCUGGCAGUUGCGGAAGCUUAAUUUAAAAACAAUUGCGGUUACGUGAUGUUUUGAACAACAGUAGCUGCUUUGGAAAACCGUGUUCUAAUACUAGUAAUUAUAAGAACAAUAAAUAAAAUUCCAAAUUUGAAAUCCAGAAAAUUACAACGGCUUUACUACAACCCACAUAAAAACAUUUAAAAGCAAUAAUCAAAACUAUAACAUAAAAAGUGUGUGUGGCUUCCUCCGAGCCCCUCGCAGGCCCGAUCCGUCUAAAUCUGGAAAUUACCUAAAAGGUUAAUAAACGGGGUGAGUUUACGAAAACUCAGUGUGAAAUCCCCUACUAUAUAAAAGGAACAGUCAGUCAUAUAAAAGAAUUAAAAGUUGGCCCCAACCCUACUUACAGUUUCAGUAUCAAUUGGGCGUUAGCCCAUUUUAACAGACAGUACCAGAUGGGCUUUAACCCAUUACAGAAUAAGGAACAUUAUCAGAACUAGAAUCAGAAUCAGAAUCAGAAUUAGGUGAUAGAAUCAGAAUCAAAAUCAAUAUUAUGUGACAGAAUCAGAAUCAGAAUCAAUAUCAGGUAACAGAAUCAAAAUAAGAAUUAGUAUCAGGUAAAAGAAUCAAAAAUCAGAAUGUGAAUGAAAUCCCAACCCAAUCCAGCCUAUAACCAACCGCUACACUCCACCCGUACCAGCCCUACACUCCAUGUGGGGAAUAGCUCAACCCACCUAGCCCUACACUCCACAGUUGCAACAUUGCUGCUCAGUUAUCAGAGGUAUUUACCCUACAGGGGUAUUCCGAUAAUUCUACCCUACAGGGGUAUUCCGGUAAUUCUACCCUACAAGGGUAUUCUAGUAAUUCUACCCUACAGGGGUAUUUCGGUAAUUCCACCCUACAGGGGUAUUUAGGUAUUUCUACCCUACAAGGGUAUUUCGAUAAUUCUACCCUACAGGGGUAUUUCGGUAAUUCUACCCUACACGGGUAUUCCGAUAAUUCUACCCUACAGUGGUAUUUCAGUAAUUCUACCCUACAAGGGUAUUUCGGUAAUUCUACCCUACAGAGGUAUUGCGAUAAUUCUACCAUACAGGGGUAUUUCGGUAAUUCUACCCUAUAGGGGUAUUGCGAUAAUUCUACCCUACAGGGCUAUUUCGGUAAUUCCACCCUACAGGGGUAUUUCGGUAUUUCUACCCUACAAGGGUAUUUCGGUAAUUUUAUAAAUCGAGGGUAAAAUGGUAAUUCUGUAAAUCAAGGGUACUUUGGUAAUUUUACAAGUCGAGGGUAUUUCAAUAAUUUUACAAGUCGAGGGUAUUUCAGUAAUUUCACAAAUCAGAGGUAUUUUGGUAAUUUCACAAAUUAGGGGUAUUUUGGUAAUUUUACAAACUAAGGGUAUUUUGGUAAUUUUAUAAACAAAGGGUAUUUUAGUAAUUUUACAAACCAGGGGUAUUUUGGUAAUUUUGUAAACCAAGGGUAUUUUGGUAAUUUUACAAACCAGGGGUAUUUUGGUGAUUUUAUAAACCAAGGGUAUUUUAGUGAUUUUACAAACCAAGGGUAUUUUGAUAAUUUGGUAAACUAAAGUAUUCUAAACAGGGAUAACAAUACGAAUGGCCCUAAAGCCUUUUCUAGGCCCAAAUGGGCCCACACGCUCGUGUGGCCCUCUUAGCCCAAAAUCUAGCCACAAAUAUGAGAUUCACCUAGCCAGUCCAAUAUUUACUACACAAUCAAACAACUUAUCCAAUUGGGCCCGUAGACCCAUUAGGCCCACAUGACCCCUUUCGGCCCAUCGCUUCCCGAAGUAGCCAUCCUACAGCUAGAGUAGCGAGAAAUACACACCUGAUUGGAUACUGGAGUUAAUCCACGCUCUGAGCACUCUUAGCCGACGCCCAACCCAAACGAGCACGCCAUAAAGCGAAAGGGAUCAGCCAAGAAAUGUACCUUUACUCUCCUCAUGGUUCUUUAUAUUUAAAGCCAGCUUCGCAUCCACUCUUAUGUUAGCUUCCCGAUGUGGGAUUCCUCCAUCAUCAGAGUUUAAAUUCAACACCAACUCUUGCCGCCCCCUGUUAGCAAAAUAAAUGCUCUUUGCUUGCCAUGGGAUUCGAACCCAUGCCUCCCCUUAAAUGCUCCACACGCUACUUGCCACUAAGCCACAAGGCUUUUUGUGUCACAAUUUCUCCAACAAUAUUCUUAAGGCCUACCUACUACACCCAGGGUUGAUUCACCUUAAACCAAAAUUUUUGCUAGAGUCCAGGUUUGAACCCAGGACUUUUCCAACACUUUUCAGCACACUUAACCACUAAAACAAGCCUUCAUUAACGAAAUUUUCACGCACAACAGAAUAUUAUAAGUUGCCUUCAGCCGCUCCCAUGCUUAAGGCCCAAAUUCAGGGUGUUACAGCAGGGUUGUAGAAAGUGUGGGAAGAUGCAUAUGGGCAAGUGUCAGAAACGUUCUGGUGCUUGUUUCCGAUGCAGAUCUAUGGAGCAUAGGGUUAAGGAUUAUCCCCAAGAACCAGAUCAGGUUCAAGUUUUAGAGCAGAGGGUUGCUCAACCAGUGAGGGGUGGACCAUAGUUUCCGAGAGGACGUGGGUAAGGCAGAGGUGGUAAUGGAAACGGUCGAGGAAGAGGAGCACCUGGCAGGGGUGUUGGAUUUCCUGAGGCUCGUCGCCUAGAGGAGGGUGAUGCACCUGACGUCAUAACUGGUACAUUUCUGAUUUCCAGUAAGCCAUACACUGCGUUGAUAGAUGUUGGAUCUACCCAUUCAUAUGUUGCAUGUACUAUAUCUGGGUUGCUGGGUGUGCGCUCUGAGGAGACCGUGAGUAGGGUAUCUAUACUAAGUCCUUUGGGUCACUCGGUUAGGUUAGAUAAACUGUAUAGAGAUGUGCCUAUAGAAACUCAAGGAAAAGUUUUCUCUAGAGAUCUGAUGGAGCUACCUUUCAGAGAAUUCGAUCUCAUUUUGGGAAUGGAUUGGCUUGUUAAGCAUAGGGCUACUCUGGAUUGUGCUAUUAAGCGAAUAAUGUUAAAGACCACAAAGGAUGAGGAGGUUUUGGUGAUAGACGAGCGUAGGGAUUAUUUGUCUAAUGUGGUGUCGACAUUGAGAGCCAAGAAGUGGAUUCGAAAGGGAUGUGAGGCUUAUUUGGCAUUUGUAAGCCAAUCGAAAACUGAGGAUCUGACAGUGGAUAAAGUUAGAACCGUCAAGGAUUUUCAAGAUGUUUUUCCAGAGGAGCUUCCAGGUUUGCCCCCGAACCGAGAGGUUGAGUUUGGAAUCGACUUGUUGCCUGGAACGGCACCGGUGUCCAUUGCACCUUAUAAGAUGGCACAGAAGGAGUUGGUGGAGCUGAAAGCCCAAAUUCAAGAGUUAUUGGAUAGAGGCUUCAUUAGACCAAGUGUGUCUCCGUAGGGAGCACCAGUGUUGCUCGUAAAUAAGAAAGAUGGGUCAAUGCGGAUGUGCAUUGAUUAUCGGCAGUUGAACAAACUAACGAUUAAGAACAAGUACCCACUACCGAGAAUCGAUGAUUUAUUUGACCAACUUAGAAGAGCUUCAGUAUUUUCCAAGAUUGACCUUCGAUCUGGGUAUCAUUAGUUGAGGGUUAAAGAGGUGGAUAUUCACAAGACGGCAUUCAGAACUCGGUAUGGCCACUAUGAGUUCUUGGUUAUGCCAUUUGGGUUGACGAACGCACCUGUGGCAUUUAUGGAUCUGAUGAAUCGAGUGUUCCAGCCAUACUUGGAUCGAUUCGUGGUCGUCUUUAUCGAUGAUAUUCUGUUUUAUUCUGAAAUUGAGGAUAAGCAUGAUGAGCAUCUUCGUAUUGUGUUGCAAGUGCUGAGGGAGAAGGAGCUUUAUGCGAAAUUCAGUAAGUGUAAGUUCUGGUUGAGAGAGGUAACUUUCUUGGGGCAUGUUGUCUCUGCUGAAAGGAUCAAGGUGGACCCUCGAAAGAUUGAAGCGAUUCUAGAAUAGAAGCCACCGAGGUCAGUGUCAGAAAUUUGAAGUUUUCUAGGUUUAGCUGGGUACUAUAGAAGGUUUGUGGAAGGAUUUUCUGUGAUGGCAGCGCCUUUUACAAAGCUUAUAACAAAGGGAGUACCGUUUGUUUGGACUGAGAAACAACAGGAAUUUUUUGAGAAGCUGAAGAAAGUUCUGACUGAGGCACCUGUACUGAUUCAGUCGGAGUUUGGAAAAGAUUUUACCGUAUGCAGUGAUGCAUCACAUGUAGGGUUGGGCUGUGUGCUGAUGCAAUAGGAAAAAGUGGUUGCUUAUGUAUCGCGAUAGCUUAAACCACAUGAAGUUAACUAUCCUACUCAUGAUCUGGAGUUGGCAGCGGUAAUUUUUGCGCUUAAGAUUUGGAGACAUUACCUGUACGAAGAAAGGUGUAUUAUAUACAUAGAUCAUAAGAGUCUUAAGUACUUGCUGACUCAGAAGCAGCUGAAGCUUAGGCAGCGGAGAUGGAUAGAGUUGCUUAAGGAUUAAGACUGCACAAUUGAGUAUCACCCAGGCAAAGCUAAUGUGGUGGCUGAUGCCCUAAGUCGUAGAACUGUAUCUAAUCUGAGAGCCAUGUUUGCUCGUUUGAGUCUGUAUGACGAUGGUAGUCUGUUAGCAGAACUGCAAGUUAGGCCAACUUGGGUGGAUGAGAUUAAGGAAAAACAGUCGAGGGAUGAGUCCCUGGUUUCUCGAUUCUGGCAGUUUAAGAAUGGGGAUACUUCUGAGUUCGAACUGAACAGUGAAGGAGUUCUAUGUUACCGAGGUAGAGUUUGUAUUCCGAAGGAAUCUGACUUGAGGCAAGCAAUUCUGAAAGAAGCUCAUAGAGGUCUGUGUGCUAUGCAUUCUGUGUGCUGUGCAUCCUGGAGGGAGUAAAAUGUAUCGCGACUUAAAGAAGUUGUAUUGGUGGCCUGGAUUGAAGCGAGAGGUAACGAAAGUUGUGGGAAAAUGUCUGACUUGCCAGCAAGUGAAAGUUGAACAUCAAUUACCUUCCGGACUUUUGCAUCCAGUGAAAGUACCAGUUUGGAAGUGGGAGAGGGUAACCAUGGAUUUUGUGAGUGGGUUACCCUUGACACCAUCGAAGGACUCGAUUUGGGUAAUUGUGGAUAGGUUGACCAAAUCUGCUCAUUUCAUACCUGUCCGCACUGAUUAUUCACUUUAGAAGUUAGCCAAAUUGUAUGUGGCAGAAAUAGUACGACUUCACGGAGUACCAGUGUCGAUUAUUUUUUAUCGAGAUCCUAGAUUCACAUCUCGGUUUUCGCAAAAGUUGCAUGAGGCGUUGGGUACGCGGUUGAACUUUAGUACAGCCUUUCAUCCUCAGACUGGUGGUUAGUUGGAAAGGGUUAUUCAGAUUCUGGAAGACAUGUUGAGGGGAUGUGUUAUCGACUUUCGAGGCAGUUGGGAGGAUUACUUACCGUUGGCAGAGUUUGCUUACAACAACAGUUAUCAUGCAAGUAUUCGAAUGGCUCCUUAUGAGGCACUAUAUGGGCGAAGAUGUCGUACACCUAGUUGUUGGACUGAGUUGGGUGAACGACAGGUUCUUGGACCUGAGUUGGUGGCAGAUACUGAGGAUAAGGUCAAGUUGAUUAGAGACCGGUUGAAGGAAGCAUCUGAUAGACAGAAGUCAUAUACAGAUUUGAAGUGCAAGGAAAUUGAGUACUCUGAGGGUGAUAUGGUCUUCUUGAAGGUUUCACCUUGGAAGAAAAUAUUAAGGUUUGGGAGGAAAAGCAAGUUAAGUCCGUGGUUCAUUGGGCCUUAUCAGAUUAUUAAGCGAGUGGGUCCAGUGGCUUAUCAGUUGGAGCUACCUCUAGAGUUGAAUAGGAUUCAUGAUGUCUUUCACGUCUCCAUGUUAAGGCGGUAUCGUUCUGACCCUACUCAUGUUGUUUCGGUUACAGAGAUCGAGGUCCAAACAGACUUGACUUUUGAGGAAGAGCCUGUGCAGAUUAUGGAUCGAGAUGUUAAGAUUUUGAGGAGGAAAUCAGUUCCGCUAGUAAAGGUUCUGUGGCGUAAUCAUGGCAGAGAGGAAGCUACUUGGGAGCCAGAAGUGGCAAUGCGUCAACAAUAUCCUCAUCUGUUUGAUUCAGGUAAAAUUUCGAGGACGAAAUUUCUUUAAGUAGGGUAGAGUUGUAAUGCCUCAAUUUUCGGGUUUUCUGUGUUUCUGUGAUUUUUAAAAUUUGUGUGUGUUCUGGUUGGUUAAAAUAUAUAUUUUAGUAGGUUAGUGGGCCUUUGGAAGGCCCAAACUUAAGUUAAAUUUGUGGUAGUCUUUGGAAUUUUAAUUUUAUGAUCAGGUGAUGCAAUUGGCGUUUGGGCUUUUGAGAGUAAAGGGUAAAAGAUGACACAAAAAGGAGUGUGGUGUAGUGGCAAGGUGGCGCCAUUUAGGGGACAAGGAAGUGACGCCAUAGAGGAAGCAAGAGGUCCAAGGUUCAAGUCUUGGCUCUUGCAAUAUAUUUUGGUUUUUCUUUUCAAUAAAUCUGGAAGCAAAUAAGUGCGCUUUAAAGUUUAUUGUGUUGGAUUUAUGACACAAAUGAGUUGAUGGCCUAGUGGUGGUGGCGUGAGUUGGCAUGUGAGAGGACUUUGGUUUGAAUCCCUUGGCACACAAAGGUUGAUUAUUUUGCUAUGUUGGGACGGCAAGAGUUGGUGUUGCUUUUAAACUCUGGUGUUGGAGGGAUCCCAAAUCGGGAAGCUAACAUAAGAGUAGAUGGAGAGCUGGCUUUAAAUAGAGCAAACCAUGAGGAGAGUAGGCAUACCCUUCUUGGCUGAUCCCUUUCGCUUUGUGACAUGCUCGUUUGGGUUGGGCGUCAGCUAAGAGUGUUUGGAGCGCAGAUUAACUACAGUCUCCUAACAGGUGUGUAUUUCUCAUUACUCAAGCAGUAGGACUGCUAUUUCAGGCCGCGAUGGGCUGAAAUUGGCCAUGUGGUCCCAAUGGGUCCGUAGGCCCAAGUGGAUAAGUUGUAGAAUUACUAAAAUACCCCGGUAGGGUAGGACUACCGAUUUACCCCUGAAGGGUAAAAUGACUAUUUUGCCCCUCAUGCGAAAAUGACUAACUUAUGCGAUGAUUGGGUUAGUUGACGUGGAUUUAUGUUAGUUAUCGUUAAUUCGUAAGUCUAAUGUGUUAGUGAUCGAUUGUAGGAUUAUCGCGUGGGAGAUAUCGUCAUCAAUCGUCAUCAACCAGGUGUGUAAACGACACCCUCCCUUAGACUGAAUUGGUAAAAGUUGAAAUAUCGAAAGUUGGUAUUUUGUGAACUCGCGAGCGUGCGAGUGCUUGUGAGAUAGUUGUUAAUGAAUCUGGUGCAUUUGGAUGAUUAGAGUGCAGAGUGUGCAUUUUCGUGCACAACAGUUUUUUUGGGCUUAAUGGGCCGAAAAUGGGCCAAUAGGCCAACGGGCCCACUUUGGUAAAAAGAUGAGGUAUGUACUUCUGAUUACUUGGUAAAUGUUAGAAUGAGGAUGAAACCUUAGCAAUAGGUAACAAUUACUGAAAUACCCUUAUGCAUGCAAAAUUACGAUUUUACCCCUAGGGUUAUUUUUUCUGAAAAGCAUGAUGUUCUGUUUCUGUAUACGUAUGCCAUGACAUAUUAUUUUUGUUGCAUGGGACAUGGGUUUAUAUUGAUAGAGGAAGCGUUCUGGCAGCCUCGCUGCAAUCUGGUUGUUUCGCCACAUAUAUCUGUUCUGUUGACUUCGUCACAAUAUCUGGCAGCCUCGCUUCAAUCUGGUGGCUUCGCCACACAUAUAUAUAUAUAUGUUCUAGUGGCCUAGCCACAAUAUCUAUAUUUGGUGACUUCGUCACAAUAUCUGGCAGCCUCGCUGUAAUUUCUGUGGUGUGUAGCGGUUGGGUGGGUCUAGUAGUCUCCCCACAUGGUGUAAGGCUGGUACGAGGGUGUUAUGGAUGGCUCUGGGUUGGGAUUUCUGCAUUCAUGAUAUAUUUGUUCUGUAUCUGCUAUGGGCUUAUGGGUUUCAUUUUGAUUUCUGUACUGGGCCAAGGCCCAGAUAAGUCUGACUCUGAGGUUUGAUCUGUUUUGGGCUAUGGUUGGGUUAUGUUACACACUGAGUUUACUGAACUCACCCUUUAUUUUCAUCUCUGCAGGAAAUCCCCAACCAUAGUGAGCUUGGAGCUGUGAGGGAUUCGGAGUGGCCACAUCAUCUGCAAAGUUGGUUUUUCUAAGUUAGUUUAUUUUUAUUAUUUUUAUAUUCUGAUUUAAUUUUGGGUUUUAAGUUGUAAUAAGGCCGCUAUUUAAAUUUAUUUUUUCCGCUAUGGUUUUAUUUUCUAAUUAUAUUUAUACUAAGACGAAACUGCUAGUGUUAGGAUGCGCGGGUUUUCAAAAUUAAUGAACGUUUUCAAGACUCAACAAGCACAACAAAUAGAUAGCCUAAAGAAUGAUAAACUGGCUUUUCAUUCAACCGCUGUUUUUACAAAGACCACCCCGAUCACUUAAACCAGCGAAUGCAUACUAAGUCAUAAGUCCAUGUGACACGUCAGAUCUGGCCAUAACAUCUGGGCCGGGUUUGGGGUGUUACAUUUACUCGGUUUUGAAUUAUUUCUAUGUUUUUUGAGUCGUUAUAGCUUAAUUUAACUAGCCUAAGGACUAAUUUGUGAAACUGUUAAAUUAUUAGGGUUUUACCAUUGAUGAAUGUGUACGUGUUUUGAUGUUUGAUGGAAGAAAAUGACCUUUGUUGUUAGAUAAACAACUUUUGUAAAGUGAUUAUUAAUGAAUUUGUUAAAUAGGGAUUAAAUUGAUAAAAUGUGAAAAUUAUUGGUAAAUGUGUGAAAUAAUUAAAUGUAUGGGCUGCUAUGGGUCUAUAUAGAAUUCGGCUUGCAUGGGUGUGGGUUAAAUUGCAUGAAUUUGCAUUUUUAUGAAAUAGGGACUAAAUUGUAAAGUAGUCAAAUGUUUAGGGGCAAAAUGGUAAUUUUUUCAUAAUAUGACAUUGGAUUGAAUUGAAUAGAGUAAAUAUUAGAGUUGUUAAUUUUGAUUAUAUAGAUUAAGAAAAGCCACGUUUAGAAUUAGAUUUGGGGGAAAACAAAGUAGUAGAUUGAUCAGCUGAUUUUCUUUGUAUUAAUUCGAGGUAAGUUCGUAUAUUAAUAAGCUUUAAAUUAUAUAUGUUUAUAAAUGCUUAAUUAAUCCAAUUGGGAUGAUAUGUUACUAUGGAAAUUCUCUACGAGAUGUCGUUAAUUAUUUGGAUCCUGAUUAAACCUUAGGAAUAGAUAGGAUACAAAUGACAUGUCAUUAAGGGGUAAUUGUGUUUUGGGUGCUAGUUCCGUACGUUUUACUGGUGGCUGAAUUUUUCGUCAUGUGUUGUGGUUGCUCAUUAGCUUGUGUGAACAACACCGUGUAGCUAUGUCUUGAUCGUUAGCUUGUGGAGCAAACCCAGUGAUAGCUCAAGAGUGAGCAUCUAUAUGAGAUAUGAGAUAGAGAUGGUCUCGAUCAUGUAUUGGCACUUUAUGUGCGAGAUUCUUGAGUAUCUAAUAUUAAUCCAAAUGGUUCAACAGGUAUAGUGGCAUUACGAGAGUAUAUGAGUUCGAUAUGAACCAAUACAAGUAUGUACGCGAAUCAUAUGGAAGUUGAAUCUAUGAGAUUUGUGAUUUCAUAAUUAACUUGUUGGUGGUUAUAUGUUAAGCUAAUGAAACUAAAUUGAAUUGCAUUAUGAUUUAAAUUACUUGCUUAAUUAUGGUUGAUUGGUAAGUUAUAUUUGCAGUUAUAUGAACUUAGUAAGCUUAAUUGCUUAUUUUGUUUAUUUUUCUGUGUUUUAUAGUGAUUCAGAAGUUCGCUCGUUUUGGAAGUUGUCGAAGAUUGUAUCACACUAUCGAACUCUUAUUUUGGUACUUUUGGACUUAAUGUAUUUUGGUUACAUGGCAUGUAUAAGUCAUUCGGCUAAUGAAAGCCUAUAUGGUUUGUUAUGUUUUAGCUAUUGAUGUGGCUUGACAAUGGUAUAUGUUUUGAUAUGUAAAUAGAUGUAAUUGGCCCUUAGAUAUAUGAUUUAUAAUUUCUAUGUGAUUGCCUCAUUUUGAAUUGCUAUGUAAGGUAGCAAAUGGUUGAAAUUGAGAAUGUAUACGCAUGCUAAGUUUUAGUUUAGAUAGUGCAUACAUGUAAUUGACUAUUUAAGUAGUUUUUUGAGGAAAUUUUGGCAUGUUUUAAAAUGAUCAUUUGAGAUGCCAAAGAACUUAGGAUUUUUGGUAAUGAAAUUGCAUGAUAUAGACUUAGUUGUGAUUGGUUUGAAUUCCUUUUGAUGAUAGGGUCAUAUACUAUCUGUUAUGUGCAGGAUGGUACCACAUUGGGUGAGAAAUAAGGCUUGGAAAAUGGCCUAUUUUUGUCCAUACAGGUAGAGACACGGGUGUGUGUCUCAGCCGUGUGUUACACACAGCCAGGUCACACAAGCAUGUGUCCCCUGAUACUUAGUUAGUAACNNNNNNNNNNNNNNNNNNNNNNNNNNNNNNNNNNNNNNNNNNNNNNNNNNNNNNNNNNNNNNNNNNNNNNNNNNNNNNNNNNNNNNNNNNNNNNNNNNNNNNNNNNNNNNNNNNNNNNNNNNNNNNNNNNNNNNNNNNNNNNNNNNNNNNNNNNNNNNNNNNNNNNNNNNNNNNNNNNNNNNNNNNNNNNNNNNNNNNNNNNNNNNNNNNNNNNNNNNNNNNNNNNNNNNNNNNNNNNNNNNNNNNNNNNNNNNNNNNNNNNNNNNNNNNNNNNNNNNNNNNNNNNNNNNNNNNNNNNNNNNNNNNNNNNNNNNNNNNNNNNNNNNNNNNNNNNNNNNNNNNNNNNNNNNNNNNNNNNNNNNNNNNNNNNNNNNNNNNNNNNNNNNNNNNNNNNNNNNNNNNNNNNNNNNNNNNNNNNNNNNNNNNNNNNNNNNNNNNNNNNNNNNNNNNNNNNNNNNNNNNNNNNNNNNNNNNNNNNNNNNNNNNNNNNNNNNNNNNNNUAUCUUGAGUUCAGAAACUUGGAAUCCAGUUCCGUAAAUUUUCCCUGAAACUAGACUCAUAUGCCCAUCUACAAAUUUUUCUCUAGAAUUUUUGGUUGGGCCAAUUAGUACAGUUUAUUAGUCAAAUUCUCCCAUUUUACAGGGAUCGACUACACUGAUCUUUGCGCAUUACGACUUGGAUAUCUCCCUGUACAGGGCUUCAAUACUGAUGCCGUUUGUGUCUAUAGAAACUAGACUCAAAGAGGAAUCUAUACAUAUAUGGCUUGACUCCUAAUUGUCUCUGGUUAAUUUAUAUUGAAUUUCCAAAGUCGGAAAAGGAAAUCCAGAAACCGUUUUGGCUCUGUCUCAGGAGAACCUGAAUAUCUCUUAACAUACUGUCCAUAUGAUCGUUUCGUUACUUUCCUAUGAAAAUAGAUUCAUCAAGGUUCGUUUACAUAAUUUAUUCACUAUUUAAUUCCAUUCCUACUAUUUUUAGUGAUUUUCCAAAUCUACAUCACUGCUGCUGUCAGCAUCUGCCUUUAAGGUAGACUUUACCUAUUUCAUGGUUUCCAUGAUUCAACUAGCCCUUUUUGCAUAAAUAGCACAAUUUAUGAUAGUGAUUAAUCAUUCCCAUGGCCAAUCCUUGUCAAGCAUAUCCACACCAAAUGAUUAUAACAUUAUACUCAAACACAUAUAAGCCAUUUUCGCAUGGCUAUCCAAAAUUAUACAAGUCCAAAGGGUCCAUGACCCACAACAAACGGGUAGUCCUAUACAUGCCAUUUCGAAGUUCAACCAAAAUUGUACCAAAAAGGGGGGGGCUUUGAUAGUGUGGGCGACUUUGACUUCAAAAUCCUGAGUCCGAUAGCUGGAGAACCAAAAUCUAUAAAACAGAGGAUCAAAGAAACGGAGUAAGCAAUUUAUGCUUAGUAAGUUUUGAGCAAGGAAUUCCAGCACAACAAAAGUAUAGCAUUCAUGUAGCUAAACGGAUAAUUUCAUAUGCACAAUUUUUCAAUAUCAUACUUGCUUCACAUUACCAAACCUUAUGUACAUACACAAAAGAUCAACUUAGCCAAAGGCCGAUAGCUCGUUUAUCAACUGAGCGAAUACUUAUUUGUAAGGGCUAAACUAAAUUCAAGCACAUACGAAACAUACCUCAAUGUUGGGAUGUUUCUAGAGUAUUUACUGAAAUUUUUACAGCAAGAUCAUUCAUUCCCAAAUCACGUACCUUCGGAAUUUAACCGGAUAUAGCUACUCGUUCAAAUGCCUUCGGGACAUAGCCCGGUUAUAGUAACUCGCACAAUUGCCUUUGGGACUUAACCCGGAUUUAGUAACUCGCACAAAUGCCUUCGGGCUUAGCCCGGAAUUAGUAUCUCGCACAAAUGCCUUCGGAUCUUAGUCCGGAUAUGGUCACUUAGCACAAAGCCUUCGGGACUUAGCCCGGACAUCAUUCAAAUAACCAUGCACAUUUAACAAUAAAUCAUGGCACAUUCGUAUUUCGUUCUCAAUAGCAAAACUCAAACACAAGACAUUUAUCAUUCUUGCAAUUUCGGCUCAAUAGCCACACAAAGAGCAUGAUUUUAAUUUGCUUAAAACAUGAUCUAAUCAAAUCAUAAUUUAAGCUCUUUUACUCAAGAACUUACCUCGGGUGUUGUCGAACGAUUCCGAUAGCUAUUCGACCACUUUUUCCUUCCCUUUAUCGGAUUUAGUUCCCCUUUGCUCUUGAGCUUAAUUAAACAAAUAAAUUGAUUUAAUCAUUUGAGCAUCGAAAAGAGGAACACAAGGCACUUAGCCCAUAUUUAUACAUUAGACAUUAAAGUCACAUAUGUACGGAAUCAUGAAUCAAACUCAACGUUUUAGCUAAUUUUCCCCCUUGGCCGAAUUUUCUAAGCCAAGACAAAAGCAUCAAUAUGCUUGCCUCUAACCGAAUACAUGCAACACCAAUCUUCUUCUUAUGGCCGAAUAUGCAUGUCUAUGUUGAGGCCGAUUAUAUACUUAAUACCACACAUAAAUGACAUACAUUUUACUAACUAAUGCAUUCCAUAUUAUACUCAAUACGCAUCCAUCAUUUAAUCCAUAACCGAAGCACCAUCAUGUGCAAUCAUAUAUAUAUAUGUGCAAGAGCCGAAUCCCAAAUUUUGAUUAUAACCAAAUUUAAACAUAUAUCCAAAACAUAAAUCUUACCUACCAUGCAAUAAGCAUAAAUCACACUCAUGGAUAUACCAUGGCCGAUACUUCCAACAACACCAAAUAAAAAUAUACUUCAUGGAUCUAAGGUAGAACCAAGAAAGAAACUCAUAAUCAUCAAGAUGUAAGUAACUACCAUUUUUCAUCUAGAUUUAGCAUGAAACACAACCAUCACCCUUAUUAAUCUCCAUAGCCGAAAACCUUACUUAUUCCAAAAAUUCAAAUCUCAACUUGGUCACGAAAAUAACUUGGUAUCUCACCGACACAACAUCAACACCAAGCAAGAAUGAUGCAUCCAUGGCCGAGUGUCAUUUCCAUCACAUAGCAAGAUUUAGACCAUGGGCUAGGUAGAACUCAAGCUAACAACUAAAACAUGCAUCCAUCUCAUGGAACAUCAUCAAACAUACCUUAGCCUAGUUACAUGAAUGGCCGAACCCCUUCAACCUUUCUUCUUCCUUCCUCCUUAAAUUUUUUUUUUGGCCAAAGAUGAACCAAAGGAUGAGCACUUUUUUUUUUGUUUUUCUUUCUAGUUUCGGCAAAAUGGGGGGGGGAGACAACCACACACUUUUUUUUUUGUUUCCAUCAUAUUCCCUUUCAUUAUUUUAUGCCCAUUCUCCUUAUUUUAUUUUUUUCCACCCAUGAUGCACCAACACAACAUGUCUAUGACAUGUCUUGCCCAUCACACUUGGUCUACCAUGCUUGUCAUGGCCGGCUACUACUAAUUAGGGGGGAAAUUUGACAUGCAAGUCCCCCCUUUUUAUUUCAUGCACUAAUAGGUCCUUAUGCUUCGACCUAUCACAUUUCAAAAAUGUCGCACAUAAGUCCUAUUGACUAAAUUCACAUGCAAUCGACUAAAUCGAAGCUUGAAAUUUUCACACAUUCAUAAUUACAUAUUCUAGACAAUAAAUAUCACAUUCAAACAUUUCGGUGACUCGGUUUAGCGGUCCCGAAACCACUUCCCGACUAGGGUCAAUUUUGGGCUGUCACAACUCUCCCCCACUUAAGAAAUUUUCGUCCCCGAAAAUCUUACCGGUAAAUAGGUUUGGGUAUCGUUCUUUCAUCGAGCUCUCGGUUUCCCAAGUAGCUUCCUCAAUCCCGUGUUUGAGCCAUAACACCUUAACUAACGGAACCCUUUUGUUUCGCAACUCUUUCACUCCACGAGCUAGGAUACGAAUCGGUUCUUCUUCAUAACUCAAGUCAGAUUGAAUUUCAACUUCUGAGGGAUUAAUCACAUGUGACGGAUCGGAUCUAUAACGUCGAAGCAUCGAAACAUGAAAGACAUCGUGAAUCUUUUGAAGUUCAGGCGGCAAAAUCAAUCUAUAUGCAACCGGACCAACUCGUUCGGAGAUUUCGUACGGCCCAAUGAAUCUCGGGCUCAACUUGCCCUUACGGCCAAAUCUGAGUACAUUUUUCCAAGGCGAAACUUUAAGAAACACUUUAUCUCCCACCUGAUAUUCAAUGUCUUUUCGUUUCAAAUCCGCAUACGAUUUUUGACGACCUGUGGCUGCUGUCAGACUUUUACGGAUUACCUUUACUUUCUGUUCAGCAUCCUUAAUCAAAUCAACUCCGAAAAUUUUACUUUCACCGAGAUCGGUCCAAAACAAUGGUGUACGGCAUUUACGACCGUACAAAGCCUCGUAAGGUGCCAUCUUAAUACUUGAUUGAAAACUAUUGUUGUAAGCGAAUUCAAUCAAAGGUAAAUACCGUUCCCAUGAACUACUGAACUCGAGGAUGCAACAUCUCAACAUAUCCUCAAGUAUCUGAAUUAUCCGCUCAGAUUGACCAUCGGUUUGGGGGUGAAAAGCAGUGCUAAAAUGCAGCUUGGUACCCAAAGCUUCUUGCAAUUUCCUCCAAAAUCGCGAGGUGAAUCUCGGAUCUCUAUCCGACACGAUAGAAAUAGGUACCCCGUGUAAUCUCACAAUCUGAGAAACAUACAAUUCGGCUAGUUUAUCCAAUGAAAAAUCCGUACGCACGGGGAUAAAGUGAGCCGACUUAGUCAGUCUAUCAACAACAACCCAAAUCGCAUCCUUCUUACUUGCUGACAAUGGCAGUCCGGACACAAAGUCCAUUGUGACUCGAUCCCAUUUCCACUCGGGUAUCAUGAUCGGCUGAAGUAAUCCUGAAGGCACUUGAUGUUCCGCUUUCACUUGUUGACAUAUUAAACAUCUCGAAACAAAGUCGGAGAUGUCUCGUUUCAUACCAUGCCACCAAAACCAACGUUUCAAAUCGUUGUACAUUUUCGUACUCCCCGGGUGAAUUGACAUUCGGCUACAAUGGGCUUCGUUCAGAAUCAUCGAAAUGAGUUCCGAAUUCCUUGGAACACACAAACGACUUCUGAACCUCAAACAAUCAUCAUUAUCAAUUUGAAACUCUGAUUCCUUGUUCGGAACACACUCAGCCCGUUUUGCAACCAAUUCAUCAUCAACUUUCUGGGCUUCACGAAUUUGAUGAAUCAAUAAUGGUUUGGCUUUUAAUUCAGCUACUAACACAUUGUCGGGUAGAAUAGACAAGUGCACAUUCAUCGCUCGUAAAGCAAACAAUGAUUUCCGGCUUAAGGCGUCCGCAACCACAUUAGCCUUUCCCGGGUGGUAAUCAAUGACAAGCUCGUAAUCUUUCAGCAACUCAAGCCAACGUCUUUGUCGCAGGAUUUAAGUCUCUUUAAGUCAUCAAAUAUUUGAGACUUUUGUGAUCCGAAAAUACAUGGCACUUUUCACCAAAUAAGUAAUGUCGCCAUAUUUUUAAAGCAAAUACGAUGGCAGCUAGUUCAAGAUCAUGGGUCGGAUAAUUUUUCUCAUGUGGCUUUAAUUGUCUCGACGCAUAGGCCACCACUCGACCUUCUUGCAUCAAUACGCAACCCAACCCAAGUAGUGAUGCGUCACUAUAAAUGACAAACUCUUUGCCUGAUUCGGGUUGCACUAAAAUUGGAGCUUCAGUCAAAUAAGUUUUUAGUUGAUCAAAACUUUUCUGACAUUUCUCCGUCCAUUCGAACUUAACAUCCUUUUGAAGUAGCUUCGUCAUUGGUGUGGCUAUCAUCGAGAAAACUUUGACAAAUCAUCGGUAAUAACCGGUGAGCCCCAGGAAGCUCUGAACUUUGGUAAUAUUUCUUGGAGGCUUCCAGUUAAGUAUGGCUGAAAUUUUGCUCGGGUCAACUCGAAUACCUGAUGCGGAUACCACAUGACCCAAGAAGCUAACCUCUCUUAACCAGAACUCACACUUACUGAACUUAGCAUAUAACUGCUUAUCCCGCAAAAUUUGCAACACUAGUCUCAGGUGCUCAGCAUGUUCGGUCUCAUCUCUUGAAUAGACCAAGAUGUCAUCAAUGAACACAACUACGAACCGAUCCAAAUAUGGUCUGAAGACCCGAUUCAUCAAAUCCAUAAAUACCGCAGGGGCAUUAGUGAGCCCAAACGGCAUCACUAAGAAUUCGUAGUGACCAUAUCUCGUUCUGAAGGCAGUUUUUGGUAUGUCCGAAUCUCGAAUUCGCAACUGAUAAUAGCCCGAUCUCAAAUCUAUUUUUGAGAACACUGAGGCUCCCUUCAGUUGGUCGAACAAAUAUUCGAUACGCAGUAACGGAUAUUUGUUCUUUAUCGUCACUUUAUUCAGUUGACGAUAGUCAAUGCACAACCUCAUGGUUCCGUCCUUCUUUUUCACAAACAAUACUGGUGCACCCCAAGGUGAGAAACUUGGUCGAGCAAAACCUCUAUCCGUCAAUUCUUGCAACUAAGCUUUCAACUCUUUUAACUCGGUUGGUGCCAUACGAUACGGAGCCAUCGAAAUCGGCGUAGUCCCAGGUACAAGCUCAAUACCAAACUCUAUCUCCCGAACAGGUGGUAAACCCGGUAAUUCUUCAGGAAAAACAUCCGGGUAUUCACAAACCACCGGCACAGAUUCGGGUUUCUUUUCUAAUUCUUUGUCAUCAAGUACAUACGCAAGGUAUGCUUCGCACCCUUUUCUUACAUAUUUCUGGGCCAACAUUGAGGAUAUUACAGCUGGCAACCCAUCCAAGUCCGUAGACUCAACUCGGAUUACUUCGUUAUUUGCGCACCUCAAUUCAAUAGUCUUGCUUUUGCAAUUCACAACCGCAUCAUGCACGGUCAACCAAUCCAACCCGAGAAUAACGUCAAAUUCAUCAAAUGGCAAAAGCAUCAAGUCCGCCGGAAAACAGGAACCUCGAAUUACUAGGGGACAUUCCUUACACACUUUGUCGACAAGCACGUAACGACCCAAGGGAUUUGACACCCGAAUUACGAACUCAGUAGACUCAAUAGGUAAAGUCUUACUGGAUGCUAAGGUUUCACAUAUGUAAGAAUGAGUAGAACCGGGGUCAAUCAAAGCAAUUACAUUAGUAUCAAAGAGAGUAAAAGUACCGGUAAUAACAUCAGGCGAAGAAACAUCCUCGCGGGCACGUAUAGCAUAAGCUCUAGCAGGCGCAUGAGCCUCGGAUCCGGUCGUAGCAUCUCUAGAUCCUCUCUGACCACCACUAGCAUUGCCCGUAUUUCCAGAUGGUCUACCUCGAGCAGUGGUAGCACCCGGUUUCCCACUCUGAUUUACAUUCUGUUCAGACAACCUCGGGCAAUCUUUAAUGAAGUGGUCAACUGAUCCGCACUUGUAACAGGAGCGGUCAGGGAAUCUACAACUCCCCGAAUGCCAUUUACCGCAAUAUCGACAUUUCGUUCUGUCUCGACGUUCAUUCCCAACACUGGCGACCGAAGUGCCUCGUGUACCCACAGGGGGUCGAUCACGAUCUCGUCUAAAAAGGCCCGAAGUGCCUCUAGACCGGCCCACAUCAUCUCGAAAUUUCUUCGAUGCCUGUUGAAGAGACUUUCCCGAGGAUCUUUUACGAAACUCUCCGGUUCCCACAUCAACCUUUUGUUUUUCUUUUCUAAGCUCUUCGGCUUUACAAGCUCGCUCGACAAGUACUACGAACUCUCAUAUUUCAAGAACGCCAACGAAUAUUUUUAUAUCUUUAUUCAGCCCAUCCUCGAAGCGUUUACACAUGAUAGCCUCGGACGAAACACAUUCCCGAGCGUAUUUGCUAAGUCUAACAAAUUUUCGCUCGUAAUCAGUAACCGACAUGGAACCUUGAUUAAGCUCAAGAAAUUCCUUCCGUUUUUGAUCAACAAAUCUCUGACUGAUAUACUUUUUCCGAAACUCAGUUUGGAAAAACUCCCAAGUUACUUGCUCUCGGGGUACAACAGAAGUCAGAGUACUCCACCAAUAGUAGGAAGAAUCACGUAGCAAGGAGAUAGUACACUUUAGGCAUUCAUCGGGUGUACAAGAUAGCUCAUCGAGUACCCGAAUAGUGUUGUCUAACCAAAAUUCAGCUUUCUCGGCAUCGUCGCUAUCCGUAGCUUUAAAUUCAGUAGCCCCAUGUUUUCGGAUUCUGUCAACUGGGGGCUUAUUUGACCUUAUUUGGUCAGUUACCAGAGGUAUUGUAGGUGCGGGGUUGGUAUUUGUCGAGAAUGGAGGUUGUGGAAUAGCCGUAUUAGUUCGAAUGUAUUGGUUGAACCAAUCAUUCAUCACGCUAUAGAAAGCUUGUCUAGCUUCAUCAUUCGGGUUACUAGCAUUAGGUUGAGAGUCCACCGGUGCUGUCUUUGGUGCGGGAGCAGGCGCUACACUCUCAAGAUCAUCAGCUACCACUCGGUCGGGAUCGGGAUCCAUUACUAUAAAUAAACACAUUUGCAAAUGUCAGAAAUCACCACACUAUCAAAUAAUCACAUAAAAUGGCAUGUAUAGCUAGACCCAACGCAUUACGGUAGUCCUAGAAUGGACUAAACCGUAGCUCUGAUACCAAUCAAAUGUAACACCCCGAACCCGAGUCCGUCGCCGGAGUCGGACACGAGGGGUUUACAGACUUAAGUCACUUCUUUGCACAAUCCAUUUUAAAAUUUUCCAGGCAAGCUGGCUAACUGCGUCACUGUCACCUUAAAAAUCAUAUCUUGAGUUCAAAAACUUGGAAUCCAGUUCCGUAAAUUUUUCCUGAAACUAGACUCAUAUGCCCAUCUAAAAUAUUUUUUCUAGAAUUUUUGGUUGGGCCAAUUAGUACAGUUUAUUAGUCAAAGUCUCCCAUGUUACAGGGAUCGACUACACUGAUCUUUACACAUUACGACUUGGAUAUAUCCCUGUACAGGGCUUCAAUACUGAUACCGUUUGUUUCUAUAGAAACUAGACUCAGAGAGGAAUCUAUACAUAUAUGGCUUGACUCCUAAUUGUCUCUGGUUAAUUUAUAUUGAAUUUCCAAAGUCGGAAAAGGAAAUCCAGAAACCGUUCUGUCCCUGUCUCACAAGAACCUGAAUAUCUCUUAACAUACUGUCCGUAUGAUUGUUUCGUUACUUUAAUAUGAAAAUAGAUUCAUCAAGGUUCGUUUACAUAAUUUAUUCACUAUUUAAUUCCAUUCCUACUAUUUUUAGUGAUUUUCCAAAUCUACAUCACUGCUGCUGUCAGCAUCUGCCUUUAAGGUAGACUUUACCUAUUUCAUGGUUUCCAUGAUUCAACUAGCCCUUUUUGCAUAAAUAGCACAAUUUAUGAUAGUGAUUAACCAUUCCCAUGGCCAAUCCUUGUCAAGCAUAUCCACACCAAAUGAUUAUAACAUUAUACUCAAACACAUAUAAGCCAUUUUCGCAUGGCUAUCCAAAAUUAUACAAGUCCAAAGGGUCCAUGACCCACAACAAACGGGUAGUCCUAUACAUGCCAUUUCGAAGUUCAACCGAAAUUGUACCAAAAAGGGGGGGGCUUUGAUAGUGUGGGCGACUUCGACUUCAAAAUCCCGAGUCCGAUAGCUGGAGAACCAAAAUCUAUAAAACAGAGGAUCAAAGAAACGGAGUAAGCAAUUUAUGCUUAGUAAGUUUUGAGCAAGGAAUUCCAGCACAACAAAAGUAUAGCAUUCAUGUAGCUAAACGGAUAAUUUCAUAUGCACAAUUUUUCAAUAUCAUACUUGCUUCACAUUACCAACCCUUAUGUACAUACACAAAAGAUCAACUUAGCCAAAGGCCGGUAGCUCAUUUAUCAACUGAGCGAAUACUUAUUUGUAAGGGCUCAACUAAAUUCAAGCACAUACGAAACAUACCUCAAUGUUGGGAUGUUUCUAGAGUAUUUACUGAAAUUUUUACAGCAAGAUCAUUCAUUCCCAAAUCACGUACCUUCGGAAUUUAACCGGAUAUAGCUACUCGUUCAAAUGCCUUCGGGACAUAGCCCGGUUAUAGUAACUCGCACAAUUGCCUUCGGGACUUAACCAGGAUUUAGUAACUCGCACAAAUGCCUUCGGGCUUAGCCCGGAAUUAGUAUCUCGCACAAAUGCCUUCGGAUCUUAGUCUGGAUAUGGUCACUUAGCACAAAGCCUUCGGGACUUAGCCCGGACAUCAUUCAAAUAACCAUGCACAUUUAACAAUAAAUCAUGGCACAUUCGUAUUUCGUUCUCGUUAGCAAAACUCAAACACAAGACAUUUAUCAUUCUUGCAAUUUCGGCUCAAUAGCCACACAAAGAGCAUGAUUUUAAUUUGCUUAAAACAUGAUCUAAUCAAAUCAUAAUUUAAGCUCUUUUACUCAAGAACUUACCUCGGGUGUUGUCGAACGAUUCCGAUAGCUAUUCGACCACUUUUUCCUUCCCUUUAUCGGAUUUAGUUCCCCUUUGCUCUUGAGCUUAAUUAAACAAAUAAAUUGAUUUAAUCAUUUGAGCAUCGAAAAGAGGAACACAAGGCACUUAGCCCAUAUUUAUACAUUAGACAUUAAAGUCACAUAUGUACGGAAUCAUGAAUCAAACUCAACGUUUUAGCUAAUUUUCCCCCUUGGCCGAAUUUUCUAAGCCAAGACAAAAGCAUCAAUAUGCUUGCCUCUAACCGAAUACAUGCAACACCAAUCUUCUUCUUAUGGCCGAAUAUGCAUGUCUAUGUUGAGGCCGAUUAUAUACUUAAUACCACACAUAAAUGACAUACAUUUUACUAACUAAUGCAUUCCAUAUUAUACUCAAUACGCAUCCAUCAUUUAAUCCAUAACCGAAGCACCAUCAUGUGCAAUCAUAUAUAUAUAUGUGCAAGAGCCGAAUCCCAAAUUUUGAUUAUAACCAAAUUUAAACAUAUAUCCAAAACAUAAAUCUUACCUACCAUGCAAUAAGCAUAAAUCACACUCAUGGAUAUACCAUGGCCGAUACUUCCAACAACACCAAAUAAAAAUAUACUUCAUGGAUCUAAGGUAGAACCAAGAAAGAAACUCAUAAUCAUCAAGAUGUAAGUAACUACCAUUUUUCAUCUAGAUUUAGCAUGAAACACAACCAUCACCCUUAUUAAUCUCCAUAGCCGAAAACCUUACUUAUUCCAAAAAUUCAAAUCUCAACUUGGUCACGAAAAUAACUUGGUAUCUCACCGACACAACAUCAACACCAAGCAAGAAUGAUGCAUCCAUGGCCGAGUGUCAUUUCCAUCACAUAGCAAGAUUUAGACCAUGGGCUAGGUAGAACUCAAGCUAACAACUAAAACAUGCAUGCAUCUCAUGGAACAUCAUCAAACAUACCUUAGCCUAGUUACAUGCAUGGCCGAACCCCUUCAACCUUUCUUCUUCCUUCCUCCUUAAAUUUUUUUUUUGGCCAAAGAUGAACCAAAGGAUGAGCACUUUUUUUUUGUUUUUCUUUCUAGUUUCGGCAAAAUGGGGGGGGGGAGACAACCACACACUUUUUUUUUGUUUCCAUCAUAUUCCCUUUCAUUAUUUUAUGCCCAUUCUCCUUAUUUUAUUUUUUUCCACCCAUGAUGCACCAACACAACAUGUCUAUGACAUGUCUUGCCCAUCACACUUGGUCUACCAUGCUUGUCAUGGCCGGCCACUACUAAUUAGGGGGGAAAUUUGACAUGCAAGUCCCCCAUUUUUAUUUCAUGCACUAAUAGGUCCUUAUGCUUCGACCUAUCACAUUUCUAAAAUGUCGCACAUAAGUCCUUUUGACUAAAUUCACAUGCAAUCAACUAAAUCGAAGCUUGAAAUUUUCACACAUUCAUAAUUACAUAUUCUAGACAAUAAAUAUCACAUUCAAACAUUUCGGUGACUCGGUUUAGCGGUCCCGAAACCACUUCCCGACUAGGGUCAAUUUUGGGCUGUCACAUCGGCUAUUGAUUUGGUGAUUAAGGUAUGGUUUUUGAUCAGUUUUUUAUAAUUUCUACGUUUUUGUGAUUGUUGCUUAGAGUUCUAUCAAGCCCAUGUCUCAAUUUCUGAUUUUGAUGAUGAUUUUUAAAUAUGCCAUUGAUGAAAUUAUAAGCUUUGUGAAGUUAGUUGUUAGUAAAUGAAAGACAUGCUUUGGGUUAACAUAUUUUGUACUUGAAUAUUUGAUGAAUUUGAGUAAUUUGGACUAAAUUAUGAAAUUUGUAGAUUGAGGGACUAAAAUGUAAAAUAAAUGAAACAUAUGGGCUUAUGUGAACACAAUGAGAAUUCGGCCCAACAUGGGUAUAUGCAAAUUUUUUGUAUUUUGUGAUUUUUGUGAAAUAGGGACUAAAUUGUCAAAAUAUGAAAAUAUAAAGGCUAAUUUGUAAAAUGCCAUAAAUGUGUGUUUGUGGAUUGAUUUGAAUGAUUUGGUAAAUAAAAGAAUUAAAUUUGAAUUUAUAUAGAUCAAGAAUUAAAAAAAAUGGAAUUAGAUCGGGGAAAGUCAAAAGUCAUCGAGUAGCCGAUUUCGUCUUUCCGAAUCCGUACGAGGUAAGUCUAUAUACAAAUAAAUGUAUUUUAAAUGGUUUAUUUAUGCUUAUAUGUUAUUGAACAAUGAUGAAUGGCUUUAUGCUUUGAAUAUGAGACAUCUAAGAAAGUAUCGACAAAGUUUCGACGUCUAAAAAGCCUCGUACGAACCUUAGGAAUAGUUAGGAUACAUAUGUCAUGACAUAGGAUCCGAUAUGUGUUAUCAUGUAAGACCAUGCCUGGGACGUUGGCAUCGUACUUGAUUUCGUGUAAAACCCUGUCUGGGAUAGUGGCAUCGAUAUUUGAUUACUUGUAAGACCACAUCUGGGACGUUGGCAUCGUACGAGCUUUCCGAGUUAUCCGCCUAUCCUUAUGAUUUCAAGCGGUUCAAUAGGCAUUCCGAGAAAUGAAUGAUAAUAUGAAAUGUGUAUCUGAUUCAGGUACGUUGGAACUUGUAUAUCAUAUUUGAUGUUGAAAGGUAAGUAUAUGUAUCUUUAUGAUCAAGUGAUUAUAUGUGACAAAAGUAUAUGAAAAUAUGCAUUAUGUGCAAAUGAAUGGAGAAUAUGUGAAAUGUAUUUGAGCUAUGUGUUUUGUGAUAGCAUGUGGUUAAAGAUUAUAUGUAUAUUAUGAUGCUCAUAUGUUUGUAUUGUUAAUUUUAUUUGUAUAUAGCUUACUAAGCUUUUGAAAGCUUACUUUGUAUGUGUUUGCUUUGUUUUACAGAUAUCGUAACUAUUGAGAGCUCGGGGAUCGUCGAGGAUCGUCACCACACUAUCGAACUAUAUUUUGGUACCUUUUGAAAAUGUAUAUAUUGAAGUAUGGCAUGUAUAGGCUAGAGGUAUGUUUUGUGAACUGUAUAUUUAGCCAUAUGAAAUGGCUUAAUUAUGGUUAAAUUUAUGGUUUGAUUUUGGUAUAUGAUAUAUGAUGCAAUAGUGGUAUGUUUGAUGUGUUCAUGAUUGGCCAAAGAAAUUGGUCAAAUUGGUAAGUUUUUGAAUUGUGCUUAUUUGAAAAAAAAAUAAGAUUAUGGCAUGAGAGAGAAUAAUGUAUAUUACAGUUAUAAAUCAUAUGUUUUGGUAUGUAUUUGGCUUAUGGAAUGAUAUGAUUUGGUAUGUGCUUCAAUCAUGAAAUAUGUGGAUAAUGAGUUGGUAUAAAUGGUGUAUGUUUUGGUUGUGAAAUGGUUGAAAUUUGAUGUGCAAUUUGUGCCUAUAUUAUGAUUGUAGGGAGGACCCUUAUGAGUGGCAAGUUGGCCUUAUAAAUGGCAUAUUUUUGCCCACACGGGCAGGGACACAGGCGUGUAUCUCAGCCGUGUUGCUCGAGGGCCAUCUCAAAAUGAGUCUGAGCAGACCACACGGUCGCACACAUGGGCGUGUGCUAGGCCGUGUGUCCAAGUUAGUUUCGACCACGAGCUAGACACACGGGCGUGUGACUGGUUGUAUAAUUCAAGCCAGUAGCCUCCCUAAUUUUCACAUGGCCUGGCACACGGGCAUGUAUUGUGGCUGUGUGGACAAGUCAGUAUUUUUGCCCUAUUUUGACAUGGCCUAGACACACGGGCGUGUCUAGUCGUGUGAGGCACACGGCCUGUUCACACGGGCGUGUGACCUGUACAACUUUGAAAAUAACGUUUAAGUUUUGAAAAAUUUUGUAUGAGCUUAGUCUAGUCCCGGCCCCUUCCUAAAGCGUGAUUAAGGUCUUGAUGACUUAUAUAAGGGACUCUAAAAUAAUGUUUGACUAUGUUUGUGGAUGAAGUUAUUGAAUUGUUCAUAAAAUGUUUCGAUUUGUCUGGUAAUGCCUUUAACCCUUGUCUGGCGACGGAUACGGGUUAGGGGUGUUACAUGAAACAUGAGCAAAAUGAUUGUAAGUUUCCAAGAACUUAGUUAGUUUGAAUAAAAAAUACCUUGAAGCCUUUCUAGUUGAAAUCUUCAUUAUGAAUAUUCAAAUUAUUGAUCUUUCUUUGGCGGACACCUUCAAAACAUCGAAUAUAUAUUCUUAUACGCCACUAAAUAUACUUAACGUGUCACUCUCACUUUACUACUUGGCUGACUCUAAGUCUUACCAGAUAAAAUCUACAUCUUUUCUUCUCCUAGAACAAUCGAUGGUGAUUCUUCAAAGAAUAUCUACAUAGAGCCUAUUUUCUGCAGAUCUUCUCUUUGAACAACAUUUAACAUUUUUCUCCAAAAUGGUUUUCGUAGAUACUAUUCCUUGGGAGAUACAUACGAAUUGAUCUUACACUGGAUGGAUUUCCAUACUAAGUUUGAUAACUGUCAGACUACCAUUCAGACCAUAUCCUGAACCUAAACCCAAAUCAAACGUAAGUUGAUGAUGAAAUAUUCUAGAUCAUUUGGAAGAAUUUCAAACUCCUUUGUUGCAUGACACAAUAAUGCCCAAACUGACAAACGAUUCAUAUUCCAAAAACCUCAAAUUCAGAUAUAAUACUGUUUAGAUAUGGUAGAUACUAGAUAACACGGAUUUCAACCUUACUUAGCGUAGACAAACUCAAAUCAAUGAAUACUUAUACCUUUCAUAACUAAUAAAAUGCCUGUAUCCCAUACUGAUGAACUUCUUUGGCGGAUUCUCUCUUUAGAAAUACUGAUAUAUACUUUCAUUGUAAAACCGUCCCUUAAGACUUCUUCUACUUCAUCAUAAAAUUAACCGGCAAAGUUAACUUUAGAAUGUCUCAAGUCAUUAUCAUAGAAUCAUCUAUCAAAGAGAUCUCAUAAAUUACCAUUAGGGUGGAUAACCAGAUUUUACCACGUAGGCAUUCUCAAAUACACCACAUAGGCAUUUCGUAAUUUGCCACAAAGGCAAUACAAAUUACAUCUCUAAACCUUAGUAGAUCACACUACAUAGGUAACACAUAGAAUCAGAUGUUUUCUAUCUGAGUAGACUUUCAAAGAAGGUGUCAUGUGUAACACCCCUUACCCGUGUUUGACACCGGAACAGGGUAUAAGGUAUUACCGGAUAUAAACACAUGCAAUCGUAUAAAACUGGGUCAUGAAUUUGCGUUCAAAUUUAAAAAAUUUCACAUUUCAUCUUAGAGUCCCUAAUAUGGGCCUACGAAGCCCAAAUCAUGCUUUGGAAACGGUUCGGGACCAAACUGAGAACUUUAGAAAACUUUAAAAAAUUUCAUGAAAAACAGGGGCACACUCCCGUGUGAUAUUAGGACACGACCGUGUGGCUCGCAUGGCCAUGUCCCUAGGUCGUGCACUAAUAUGGCUUGUCGUUGCAAAAAAAUUUACGUCACACAUAGAUAUCACCACUCAUUCAUCCUCAUAUGUAAGCAUACACAUCCUUGAAAUGCAUCAUCAUAGACUUAUAAUAUAGCCUAUAUACCAACAUCAAAUGGCCUUACACAACAAUGAACUUUCAAAUAGCAUAGGCCAACAUUUUAGGCCAAAAGAAUUAUGACAAAUACAUAAAUAACCAAGUCCCCUAUACAUGCCAUGACCUUAAGUAUAAGAAUUAUCAAUACCCAAUUUGUUAGUUUGAUAGUGUGAUAGGUUCUUUGGUGACUUCCAACCCGAGCUAACCUAAGGUCAUUAUAAACACAGAAAAUAAAUAGAGUAAGCUAUAUAGCUUAGUAAGUUGGUAUGUAAAUAAUAACAAAUUUAUUAUCAUGCUUUUACCAAUUCUCACAAUAUGUUCUCAAGAUCAUACAAUCAUAAUUGCACAUAGCUCCACUAUUUACUCUUGUUCAUCUCAAGCUUUCUACUCAAGUCACAGCCACUAAAUUAUUUAUAUCUUCAGCUAUGGAACUCAAAAUUAAGAUCCACUAAUUUUCCCUAAAACUAGACUCACAUAUCUUCUUAGCGUAAAAUUUUUAGAAUUUUUGGUCUAGCCAAUAAGUACAGUUUAUUCUUUAAAAUCUCCCCUAUUCUACUGUUUGACAGUUCCAACCCUUCUUCACUAAAACUUAAUUAUCUCAUCAUAUGGGAUUCAUAUGAUGUUCAUGUUUGUUUCUAUUGAAAAUAGACUCAAUAAUAAUUAAAAAAUCUAAACUCUAACUAAUAAUCAUUUUUAUAAAAUGUUUAAUUAUUUUCCAAAGUCAGAACAGGGGAUUUCAAAAUCAUUCUGACCCUGUCUAACAAAAAUUCAAAUAUCUCGUAAUAUUAAAUUCUUUUUUACACCGUUUCUUUUAUGUGAAAAUAUACUCAAUAAGAUUUAAUUUCAUAUCUUAUUCAACCUCUAAUUUGGUUUCCACCAUUUUUGAUGAUUUUUCAAAGUCACACAACUGCUGCUGUCCAAAACUAUUUUAUUGCUAAUUUUAGUCUCUCACGUUUUCUUUAUAUUAACUUUCAUUCAACAUUCACAUAGAUUUCGUAUGUACCUGUAUCACUUAAAUCAGUUAUACUUUCAUUUUUUUUAUCUUGGCUAUGUCGGUUGAUACACUUAAACCUCAAUGAAAACACAUUAUUUCAAUUCAACAUUAAAUAAUAUUAUUGGUUCAUAAUUCUUUCACAUUUAAUCAUCACAUAGUCAUAUUCGUUUACGCUUAGUCAUUUCGCGUUGAACACAUCGGAAUAAUAACGGAUACACAGUGGCCUUCACAUAGUACCACCCUUGUAGCCAAAGCUAUUUUAUUCACAAAGUGGCCUUCACAUAGUACUACAUUUGUGUCCAAAGCUAUUUUAUUAACAAAAUGGCCUUCACAUAGUACCACACUUGUGUCCAAAGCUAUUAUAUUCACAAAGUGGCCUUCACAUAGUACCACACUUGUGUCUAAAGCUAUUUUAUUCCUCAGGUUCAACCGAAAAAAUUCUCGCUUAGCACAAUGCCAUGGACUUAUUUCACUUAGCACAUUACCAUUGACUUAUUUCACCUAGAUGCCAUGGUCUUAUUUCACAUAGCACAAUGUCAUAUCCAUAUAUGAUCUUACAUGUGAAUCACUUAUUUUACUUAGCACAUUGCCAUGGUCUAACCAUGGUCAUUUACCGUCAAUUCAUAUUUCACUACGCAACGAUCGUGAUCUAUCCUGCGUUUUUACUCAAUUCGAACAUUUACUUUAAUUUUCACAAUUUAAUCAAAUAUAUAAUAAUAUUGCAUAAUUAACACAAAUCAAUAACGUUUAUUAACAUACGAACUUAGCUCGACCUAAAAUGGCGAAAAGGACCAAAUCAUUCAAUACUCAUUUUUCCCUUGUUCUAAGUCCGAACUUCAUUUUUUUAUCAAUAAUAUCACAUUCGACUUAUUAAAUUAUUAUACUAUUCAAAUCAGUCCAAAAAUCAUAUUAUGGUAAAAUUAUAUUUUUGCCCCUAAAGUUUCACAUAUUUACAAAUUUUCCUCUAGGCUCAUAAAAUGAAAUGUAAUCAUUUUUCUCAAUACCCAAGCCUAGCCGAUUCAUAUUCCCUUUAUAGCAGCCUACAUUUUUCACUAAAUCACAUUUCCUACACAUAUUUUACAACUUUUAUAAAUAGGUCUUUUUAUGAAAUUUCAUCAAAAAUCACUUAGUAAAAGUUGUUUAUCACACUCCAAACUUUCAUAUUUUUCCAUAAAACAUCAAAACACAUGUAUGUCAUCAAUAGGUAAAUUUUAAACACAAACCCUAUCUCAAAAUAAUGGUAGAAAUAGCUAAACCGAGUUACGAGGAUCUCAAAAAUGUAAAAAUCAUUAAAAACGGGGCUAGAACAGAGUUACAUCGAGCUUGGAAGCUUGAAAAACCCUAGCCAUGGUUUCCCCUUGUGAAAUUAGGCCAUGGGGUUGAAGACGGACAAAAAUUGGUUUUUAAUAUUUUUUUAAUUCAUUUAAUUACUGAAUGACCAAAAUGCCUCUAACUUAAAAAUAUUAUAUUUCACCUAUUUCAUGUCCAUUUUUGUCCAAAAAAUUAACCAAUGGUAUAAUUACCAUUUAAGGACCUCCAAUUUAAAAUUUCAUAACAACUGGACACCUCUAACAUGUAGAACUCAACUUUUACACUUUUUACAAUUUAGUCCUUUUAACUAAAUUGAGUGCCCAAACGUCGAAAUUUUUGAACUAAAUUUUCACAAAAUCAUUCCAUGAAACCUUAGACCAUAAAAAUAUAAUAAAAAUAAGUUUUUUUCCUCGUCGAAUUUGUGGUCCCGAAACCAUUAUUUCGACUAGGCCCAAAAUCGGGCUAUUACAUCAUGGGUUUCUCCCACAUGACUUAUACAUUUUCGCAUAUCAUGACCUGCCAUUCUAGUCUACAUACUACUAAAGGAAUCACCAUGCGUAUUUUUAUAGUCAUACAAUACGAUGGGUCUUCGCCACAUAGCCCCAUACAUACUUUCAUGUUGUGAUCUAUACGUCCAAUCUACAUUUCUUUGAAGGCAUCACCAUGAAUGUUGUCUUGCAGCGUGAUCUGUCUGUCUGGUUAGCAAUAUUUCCUCCUUACUAGAUGCAUAACAAAUGGAUAUUGGUUUAUCCCACAUAUAUUACACUACCCAAUUCAUUUUCUUACCUAAUUUGUUCAUAUUCUCUUAAUAAAAUUCAUCUUAAUCUACCAAUUUCAUUUACGACUAUAUCUCAUAGCAUUUUGAUCAUACAUAUGUAUUUUUAUAACUAAAGUGAACAUGCAGUAUAAUUAUUUUGAUUCAUAUAAAUACUAGUUGUCCUAGAUAUUUUCUUCAUAUGUAUUUUAAAUUGAGCAUCCCACAGAUAAGAGUCAAGAUACAGAUUCACCUUAAACUCAUCAGGAUUGCAGCUUGGAGUUCCAAAACUCAAACAUCCCUUUUGAACUAGCAACAACAACUGUAAAACCCAACUAGCACAGUACUUAAGCAAACUAGGCGUACUAUACAUUUGGUAGUAACUCUUACCAGACUUACUCUUUGCUUGACACAUUAUUUUCUUAAAUAGUAGGAUAACUUGAGAUAGAAGCUUUAAUUACUUAAACGAUGGGUAUCUUUAAUUACUUACACGACGGGUACAUUAAUCCAAAUUCUUAUUUGCCAAAAAACUUUAAAUAGGCAGACUAUUCUAUGCCAAUCAGGCAUCUUCACAUCUACACGCCUUCAAAUCGAGUCUAUCAGAUUUGGGGUGUGACAUAUUUAAUUGGAAAAUUAAUUAAUUAAAAUUAAUUUAAUAAAAUAUUUAUUUUAGAAACGUGUAUUGGGUUGGAUUAAAUUAUACAGUGUUGGAUUAAAAGUCUAUGAAGCACAUAUAAUUGGACUCCAUAUAAGAGAGGCCCAAAACUCCUUUCAAUAAGUAUGAGGGGCGACAACCCUAGUAUAAUUAACUAGUUCUAGUCACCCCUCUCUCUUAAUUAAACUAGGAGACCGGAUUUUAUAUUAAAUAAGUAUUUUUUGUAUUCUACUGAAUCAACUAAGGUUCCUCUAUCUCUCCCUAUAAAUAGAUGAAAUUGGUAAAGAUAAUGUUAAAUAUGACUCCUAUUUUCAGUCAAAUUUGAGAAAUGAUCUUUUAGUUAAACUCUAUUUAUUUGUUUCAAUCAAACACUGAUUAGUUUAGAUUAUUUUAUUAUUACUUGACCUAUGAAUUUAGCCUAUAAAUAGGCUCUUUUACAACCUUAGAAAAUACACCCAUUAGAUAUUAGAACUCAUAAUACAUUUAGAGAAUUUUGUGUUUAUGUUUUGAGGGUUCUUUGUUUUCAGGUUUUCGAGGUUUAGUUUUAUCUCCAUCUUUUAUACUCUUCAUUCUUUUACCAUUAUAGUAAAAUUAUCUUUGCCCGUGGUUUUUUAUCCUCUUUGGAGGGGUUUUUCCAUAUUAAAUUUGUGUGUUCGAUUUCUCAAUUUAUUUCACUAUUUUUUUACUUGUUACUUAAUCGGGUCGAUCCUAACAAGUGGCAUCAGAGCUAGUUCAAUUUUCAUAGAUUAGUCCAUUCAGAUAUGACAUCAACAAGGUUUGAAAUUGAGAAGUUCAAUGGUGAGACAAAUUUCAAUCUGUGGCAAGUUCGGAUGAUGGCAAUUCUAGUUCAAACCAGCUUGAAAAAGGUUGUUACUGAGAAAAAGCCUGAGAAUCUAAAUCAAACAGAAUGGGAAGAGCUUGAUGAAAAGGCUUUGUCUGCAAUCCACUUGUGCCUUACGAAUACGGUAUUGCAACAGGUAUUUAUGGAGAAAACCUCAUCCGCAUUGUGGAAAAGGUUAGAAACUCUUUAUGCGACUAAGUCUUUGGCUAACCGUUUAGUUUUGAAACACGUCUAUUUACGUUUCACAUGAAUGAAGGUAAGCUUCUUAAAGAUCACAUCAAUCAAUUCAUUACUCUUUUAAACGAUUUAAAGAAUGUUGAGGUUUAUAUUAACAAUAAAGAUCAGGUUAUGCUAUUAUUGUGCUCUUUACCCUCUUCAUACAAGUCUUUCAGGGAGACCCUGAUUUAUGGCAGAGAGAAACUCUCGUUCGAAUAUGUGAAGGGUCAUUUGUUGAGUAGAGACAAACUCGACAAUGAGUUUCAUUUGGAUAGCAAGAAAGAUAGGCAAGCUUCCGUUUUGGUAGCAUUAAAGAAACGAGACAAAAGGAGUUGCUAUUGUAAAAAGUUAGGUCAGGUCGAAGCAAAUUGUUAUAAACUGUGAAAUAAAAGAGCUGUUGAGAGUGACGAGGAAGAUGUAGCUAGUGCUUAUUUGGCCGAUGAAAAAGAUGAUGAUUUCUUGUUAGUGUCAACAAGUGAUAACUUCAAGCUCACGUCCGAGUGGAUCUUAGAUUUGGGAUGUUCUUUCCACAUGUGUCACAAUAGAGAAUGGUUCUCCACAUACAGUUUGGUUGAAGGUGGAGUUGUGCGUAUGGGAAACGAUACAUCUAGUAAGGUAAUUGGUAUUGGUACUGUUAAAAUUAGGAUACACGAUGGGAUGAUUAUGACACUCUCAAAUGUCAGGUAUGUACCUGAUUUACGAAAGAAUCUCAUCUCAUUGAGUAUUUUAGACUUGAAAGGAUGCAGAAUCAACAUCAAGUCGAGUGGUAUUAAUGUAUCUCGUGGAGCUCUCGUUUUGUUAAAAGGUAAAAUAAUCGGCAGUCUUUAUAUUCUAGAAGGUUCUAUAGUGACCGGUGAAAUCGGACGUCCCUCGUCCAUUAUGGAGUCGAAUUCAACUUGUUUGGAGUAGAGGUAACUUGGUCAUAGUAGGGAAAAAGGUAUGACUGUUUCACUGAAGAGAGGUUCUCUUUUGGAUGCAGGUUUUGAAAAGUUUGUGCACUGUGUUCAUGAAAAUCUGACUCGGGUUAGUUUUGAUUUGGUAGUGUACAAGUCGAAAGAAGUCUUCCAGUUUCUAAGCAAAAAUUCAACUCAGUUUACUCCUUGCAUAGUUCAAGAUAUGCUCGUGGCAGGCUUUGGCAAAGAUGGCGUUGUGGAAAUAUGAGUCAAAGUGGAGAUUUUUUAAAUAUGACUCCUAUUUUCAGUCAAAUUUGAGAAAUAAUCUUUCAGUUAAACUCUGUUUAUUUGUUUCAAUCAGACAUUGAUUAGUUUAAAUUAUUUUAUUAUUAUUUGACCUAUGAAUUUAGCCUAUAAAUAGGCUCUUUUACAACCUUAGAAAAUACACCCAUUAGAUAUUAGAACUCAUAACACAUUUAGAGAAUUUUGUGCUUACGUUUUGAGGGUUCUUUGUUUUCGGGUUUUCGGGGUUUAGUUUUAUCUCCAUCUUUUGUGCUCUUCAUUCUUUUGCAAUUAUAAUAAAAUUAUCUUUGCACGUGGUUUUUUAUCCUCUUUGGAAGGGUUUUGCCACGUUAAAUUUGUGUGUUCAAUUUCUCAAUUUAUUCCGCUAUUUUUUUACUUGUUGCUUAAUCGGGUCGAUCCUAACAGAUAAAAAUACAAGUUAUAAACAACUUUGAAAUAUUGUUAUUCUACUAGAAAAGAGUUAGAAUUUAUUUCUAAGUAUAAAUUCUAUUUUCCAGAAAUAACAACUAAUUUUUUUUUUUACUUUCAGUUUCUAUAAGCGAGAUUUACUUUCCUGCUGAAAGUAAAAAAAAAUGUUUUUAGUUCUAUGUUUGAUUUAUAAUUGUUGGAGCCCACACUAGAAACAAUUUGUGGUACGAGAAAUAGUGGAGAAGGUUGUUCAAUUGAAAGUCUGGAACGUCAAAGAUCCGUCUCACUCAAAGCAGAGGUAAUUUUUGGAAAAAAAAAUUAGUGUUAUGAGUAUUACAAACCAACUCGAUUUUUAAUUUUAUUUUUUCGUUAUACAAGAAAACUAUUCCGAAUCGAAUAUUUUUCAACAUUUACAUGCAUUAGAGUUUUGAUAUCGUAUAUGGCUCAAGUGUGCAAUUCUUGUUUUUUUUUGGAGGAAUACCUAGUGUGUUUGAAAUGUCAUCCAUGUAUCCAAAUUUCUUUUUCCAUGUUCGAUCAAUUAGGGCAACAUUUAAAUGGCAAUUUUUAAAGUGGUGUGACAAAUGAAAUUUUAUAUGACUGGUGUGGUUUGAUGGAAGCUUAAUUCGAAAUGUGACAUUAAGAUAUAUAUGAAUUGAUGAUUAUUGUUUAUAUGAUUUAUAUGUUAUGAAGUGUUAACAUAUUUGUUGUUUUGAGCAUGUUUGAAUUGCUUGAAAGGAUUUAUAUAUAAAUUGUUAGUAUGCCUAUUGUCUAUUGUUUAUUAAGCAUGUAUGGUGUAUAUGGAUUUCGAGUGCACAAUUAAGCUUUUGAGAAAAAGUUGAGCGUGCAGAUUUUUUCCAUGCGCGGGUUACAAGGAGAUUGGAGGUUGAUUUCCAUAUUUGUGCAGCAACAAUAUAAGGAGUUCUCAACGAGUCUACUUAAUUUGUAAAGACUUUUGGCUUUUUAGUAAUCUAUGGCAUGUACUUGUCUAAUUACGCUUUAAUCUUAUCAAUUGGAAUUUUUAUUUGGAAUUUUUAGUUUUUUCUUUUUUUUUUAAAUCUUUUGGCAUAUUGAUAUUUGUACGGACACAUUAUAGUGACUUUUGGUACUAAUUUUUAUGUGAUUUCUAAUGAUAUGUUUGAAAUAGCAAGUCUUUUUUUACUAGCAUGACUAAAAUUUGAUUUGAUAUGUUUCUAGGCAUGAAUUUAUAUGUUAUGGUGAUGUUUUAGUAUGUCUAACUUCCUGAAUGUAUUAGGUAACAUGUUUAGGAUAUUUAAAGGCAUGAUUGCAUGACAUUUUUUUUACUACAUUUUGUAAGCUUAAGUCUCGAGAUAAGAUAAACAUGUUUCAAGACGUGAAACAUUACUUAAACUGUACAUUUUUAAGUGCAUGUUUGAAGAUAUAGAGAGCUAAGUCUCGGCACAUACAAGCAAGUCUCAAAAUAUUAGGAUUUGUCUUGAUACUUUGGCCUGGGUAUUGAGACCUGACUCCUCAUUUGAUUAAUUUUGGCCCUAGAACUUUGUAAUAAGGUCAUUUGAGCUUGAUUUUCACUAAUAUUGAUAUGUAAUCAUCCAAAUUGUUGUGUAACAUGUUUUUAACUCAAAUUUAUAUGCAUUUUGACUUUAAGUUUGAUUGUUUGAGUUGCUUCAGCAAUGUAUGUGAUGCUAUAUAUUCAGUUGUCUUUACAGAUCAAAUGUAGAGUGUUUCAUGUAUUUUUAAUAAUUGUAUUAAAUUUAUAAAAAUGAAAUCAUUAAAAAUAGAAUAAUUUAGGUUAUAGAAAACUAAACAAAUCCUAAAAAAAAAAAUUCAUAAACUAAGGUGAUACUAUUUUAGUACAAACAUUAUAGGGAUGCUAAUCAUUCUUUACCCAUAAUCAUUUUUUUAGGAUUUUCCUUAAAUUAGUUCUAAAAUAAAUCAUACCUAACGUAAUUAAUUAGUGAAGACUCUAGCUAUAAUUUCCAUGUCCAACUUAUUAGAAAUAACCAACAUCUAUUCGUAACACUAGCUUAUACAAAUUGUAAAAUUUUAAAAAUGAAACUUGUAAUUAUCGUAUUGUCUAUCAUAACUUACUAAUUUGUUAUAAAUUAGUAAUGAUUAUUUUAUCUACCAUUUACUACAAUAUUAUUAAUAUAUCACUACAAUCUAUAUAAUUAUUUGUUACUAUAUUAAGUAUCUAAUAAAUAUUUUACAAAUUUAAGGGUCUUAGUAAAAGGAUUAUUUAGGACGUUAAGUGAAUUGUGCUUUAACAUGUAAAUUAAAAUAAUUUCAAAACUUAAAAUUAUAAUUAAAAUAUCAUAUUACAAAAAAUAGAUAUUAGUAAAUAGAGAAGUUACUUAUUUUUUUAUUAAUAGAUUAUAUAAUUUAUAUAGGUCUAAUUAUGAAAUUUAUUAUUACGUUGUCAAUAAUUUAAUUUAAUUUUAUAAAAAUUUUAGUUAUAAUUCUACUUUGAUAAACAUCUUUUAAUUAAAAAAAUGUAAUGUAGACAUGAUUGUGAGCCACCCUAUUAAGUUAUCAUAAUUUCAAACUCAAAUAUGUAUUAAUAGUUGUAUCCUAAAAGAUGAUUAUGUUUUUAAGUGUACAACUUUUAAAAGUUAUAUAUAAAUUUUCUAUUAGAUAUAAAUUUAUUAUAGUUUUAUCUAUAAAUUAGUAAAUUUUAUUAAAAAAUCAAUCUAAAAGGUUUAAAAUUUAAUUACUUAAUUAACCAACUUUAUUUUUUUUGGUAUAUUUAGUUCAUUUAUAUUUAAAUAAAUUAAUAAAAUUAUUAUGCCAAACUCUAUUCUUACAUAUUUAUUAAUUUAAAUCUAAAUAAAAAAUAUAUAUGUAUAUAUAUUUAAAUUGAAUAAUUUUGUUUAUUUUAACCUUUUAAAAGAUAUUUUUAUUAUUCACUAAUAGUUGCUUAUAUCUAUACGGAUGAUACAAGAGAUACUAGAACAUGAGAAUUAUUAGCAGAGUUAAGUGGCUAUAUAUGUGGCUUUAGCUUCACCACCAAAAACAUCAACAAGAUUUUUCCAAAUCCACGAGGCAUAAAAUCAACCUAUACAACUCUCCAAAAAAUCCAAUUGCAAAUCCACACCAAUGCAGCAACCAAUAGACUGCUGCUGACAUGUACAUUUCCUGAUCCACAACAUCUUCUCAUUUCCAUUAUAACCCCUUCUCUCCUCCAAACCAAAAUAGACUACAAUAACCAUCGGCAAACAAACCAAGUCAACCUAAAGCCUUAGGCACCAUGGCAACCUCUGCUAUCCAACAAUCUACUUUUGUUGGCCAGACCGCUUUGAAGCAGUCCAAUGAGCUCUUACGCAAAGUCGGAGCUUUCAAUGGUGGUCGUGUUACCAUGCGCAGAACUGUGAAAAAUGCCCCUACUAGCAUCUGGUAUACUUUUGUUACUACUUCCUAGUACUAACUAGUAGCAUUUUGUUAUAAGGAUCUUUUCAGUCUAAUCAUUGAUGGUUAACCCAAAUAUUGUGAAACAACGGACUGUAAAAAAUUCAAUUUGUACAGUACAUUCUAGCAGCAAUCUGCCUUAUUUUAAGCCAUACAUUUAAAGAGAAAUAACAUGUACAAGCGAAAUCAUGCAACUGAACUAUAUUUCUGCUUUUUGAUCUGAUUACCUACGGUUUGGUUUUAAAAACAGGUAUGGCCCUGACCGCCCAAAGUACUUGGGUCCAUUCUCAGACCAAAUCCCAUCAUACCUGACAGGUGAAUUCCCUGGUGACUAUGGGUGGGACACUGCUGGGUUAUCAGCUGACCCUGAGACAUUUGCUAAGAACCGUGAGCUUGAAGUGAUCCACUGCAGAUGGGCAAUGCUUGGUGCCCUUGGUUGUGUCUUCCCUGAAAUUCUUUCAAAGAAUGGAGUUAAGUUCGGAGAGGCAGUUUGGUUCAAAGCUGGAUCUCAAAUAUUCUCCGAGGGCGGCCUUGACUAUCUUGGCAACCCAAACCUUAUCCAUGCUCAGAGCAUUCUUGCAAUCUGGGCAUGCCAAGUUGUGCUCAUGGGAUUUGUUGAAGGAUACAGAGUUGGUGGGGGACCACUUGGUGAAGGACUGGACCCAAUUUACCCAGGUGGUGCUUUCGACCCACUUGGACUGGCUGAUGAUCCUGAUGCGUUCGCAGAAUUGAAGGUUAAGGAGAUCAAGAAUGGCCGCCUUGCAAUGUUCUCCAUGUUUGGAUUCUUUGUCCAGGCUAUUGUCACAGGAAAGGGUCCCAUUGAGAACCUCUUUGACCACCUUGCCGAUCCGGUGGCCAACAAUGCAUGGGCUUAUGCCACUAACUUUGUCCCCGGAAAAUGAACUUAGAUUAUAGAUACGUCUCUGAAAGCUGUAACAUUAAUUACUAUGUAGUGUCUGUUGCUGUGUACUGAUGUAAUUCACUGCUAGUCUUUUGAGCUGUUGUAUCAUUAAAGCCAUAUCCUUUUUCCCUGAAAUAGCACCUUUCUUGAAAUGAGAUGAGAUCAUAAAUCAAAUGUUUUAUUUUGUAGUAAGAGGCUGCUUCAGUUUGUUGAUAUAAAUAAAGCGCAAGAAACAUAUCUAGCCAUUUCUAUAAACCCUCAAAAGUGAUGACAAAACACAACCUGAAGACCAUAAAGUUAUCAUGGGGGUCUUCCCUUUCAGUCCUGUUGAAAGAUGGCAAUAAUACCAGCCAACAUCUGAGGUAAUCACCAAAAAUAUUUGCAAGAACACAAUCCAUCUUUAAAAUGAUGAAACCGGCUAUUAUCUCUAACAAUAAUCUCACGACUAUAGAUUUUAGAAAGCAGUUUAGUGACGGAAUGGCAAUCACUACAAACACGAAGGUUCUUCAUGAUGCGAAUGGGACAUCCAGCUUCAGUGUUGAUGAGACCAAAGGCAAUAGCCAACCUCUCACUAUGGUUUUCCAAUUCUGCUUCUUUCUCUUCCUCCUCUUCGAUAUACAACAACACUUGGCUUGUGUCAGGAACAUGUCCUGCCAAUUUCAACUUCUCUCCCAUCUCAGCCAAUUUGGAAUAAAUUUCUUUUGUUUCCGGAUGUGAUUUAUCUCCCACAAUAAAGUUAUUAACCACACAUUUAUGCUCUAUUGAACUGCAGCCGGGAUCUUUUCUUAAUCCUCUCUUCUUCAUCAUUUCUCUUACCUCAGAAACUUUCUCCCACUCACCUGCUAGAUCAUACAUAUUAGAAAGGACAACAUAACCACCAGUAGUCUCUGAGCCAAUUCAAUCAAAUGUUGAGCAGCAUAUUCACCUAUUUUUGUGUUUCUAUGGUUCCUAGCACCACUAAGCAAUGUCAUCCAGAUUACUUUGUUUGGUCUCAUGGGCAUUUCUUCAAUGAUAUCUUUUGCUUCUUCAAGACAACCAGCUCGGCAUAAUAUGUCCACCAAACAUCCAUAAUGUUCUAUAGUAGGUUUAAUUCCAUAUUCAUUUAUCAUCGUAUUAAAAUAUUUGUGACCAUCGUUAAUCAAUCCAACAUGACUACAAGCAUUAAGCACACCAACAAAAGUUAUAGCAUUAGGCUUCACAUCAAUUCUGCGCAUUUCAAGAAAUAGCUUCAGAGCAUGGUCAGCCAUGCCAUGAGUACUCAAGCCUACGAUUAUAGCAGUCCAAUGCCCCAGCUUUUUGUGGCUUAUUGUCCAAAAAACAGUUACUGCACUAUCAAUAUAUGUUUUAAUAUUAUCAAUACUAGAACAAAUUAAUUCGAGACUAUAACUUGUCUUUUCUUAAUACAUACAUAGUGUACGAGCCAGAACCGCACCUUUUCCAGCAAUGGAUGACUAGACUUGAGGGUGCAAGGUGAACGAACACUCUUUUCCGAUAGUGGUUGGGUACCAUAAAGCCGUGGCAAUGGGCUCAAUGUUUCAAUGACGGGUUUCGAUGUAAUCAUAUGACCACCAACUUGGUAGAGGCAGUUAACUCCGUAUUGAAGAACACACGAUAUCUUCCGAUUUUAUUUGUGUUCUCGGCUAUGUUCUACAGGUUGGCUACCUUGAUGCCAAGAAUGGGGCUGAAACAAGUCAACCAGAUUAAUGCGGGACACGUGUUUGUCGAAGAUGCCAGGGAUGCAAUGGAUGCAAACAAUUGGAGGACGAGGUCGAUAAAUAUAGAAACAUAUUCACAACAGUCUAAAACAUUUCAAGUUACAGAGACCACCGAUCGUUGACCUGAUAUCCCAUCUAGGUCCUAGGAGUUGAUUUCUGAAACAAACGGUGCGAUUGUGGGAGGUUCCAAACACUUCAUUGUCCUUGUGUGCAUGUCAUGACAGUCUGUGCUCGCGACUCGUUCAAUGUUGAAUAGUUUAUCGCUGAGGUGUAUACUCUCGAGCACAUGUUGCAUGUUUGGGAAAACGAGUUCCCCAUCCUACUUGAUUUGUCUAUAUGUGAGGUGCCUACAACUACUUUUGAGCUUGUCCUGGACAAGAGGUAGCGUAGUAAUCCGAAAGGUUAUCUGCAAUCAACCAGAAUCCAUAAUAAAAUGGACAUUAGCGAGAAAACCAAUGGAAAUCUUUGUGGCCUGUGCAGAUUAGCUGGGCAUAAUCGGAGUAAAUGCUUACAACGAACCUACCAUAUAGGUCAAUCAUCGCAAUCAGGUGGAAAUUGAGCCAAUGUACUCCACUGCAUCUAAUUUAUAUUACAAUGUUUGUAAUUUUGCAUUUAUAUUAUAAAGUUUGUAUUUUUUUCAUUUAUAUUACCAAAUAUAUAUUUUUGCAUGUAUAUAAGUUGAUAAUUUAUACCUUAGACCAUCUCAUUUAAAUUUAGUACCAAAAAACCUGAAAGUUAAGUAAAAAAUAAGUUUAAAUGCCCAAAUUUUACUACAAUUAAAUACAUACAAACUUGAUCAUUGAAAUGACAAAAACCCUAAAAAUUGAUAGUUUGAUGGUGUGGUCCUAGGGGUAAAUUGUUGUGGUGGUUGGGUUCACGUUGAGGGUGCUCGCGGUGAUCAAUGUAGUCCUCACCCAAACCUGGGGGUGUGUUAAAAAUAGUGGAAAAAUCGUAUGCCCCAAACGUUUGUUUGGGAGGAGCAGAGUAUUGCAGUGGUAAGGGCUGAAGAUAUCAAACGUCAUCGAUGAUAUCGAAUCAGGUAUAUUAGAACUGGAUCCGAGAAACCCUGAAUGAUAUCAGUAACCUGAUGAGCCCGGAAAAUAGUCAUCGACCCCUAGGUCUAGAUGAUAAGAACUAUCCCCAGACCGUGUAUGAGACCUCGGGGGUUUGGGCGUUGGCUCGGGUUCGGACGAAGGCUCUGGCUCGAGUACAGGAGACAAAUGUGGAAGGGGAUGGGCGGGUUGCCCAAGCCGUGGUAUGUGUAGGCGAACUACAGUCGAUUGCCCACUAAAUAUAUAGGGUUUUCCCUUCUUGGAGUACCAUAGUAUGUAUUGUAACGAGGGCUGCAAAUCCAAUGAAAGAUCCAUCUGAGGUCUCCACCCUAACCAGUUGUUCCACACUGCAAUAUAUUGUUGAUGCACUACUGCCCAAUUAUUUCCCUAUUUUUCCCUCUUAUUAAUCCUGUGAAUCUUCCCCAAUUGCACUGGCGGUACCGAGAUAUACUAUAUGCAUCUGAACUAUCAGAAUAUUCGAUCCCCAUUAUACCAUUCCACUAUCUAGAAAUUGAUAAUGGCUGCGUUAAUACACCAUAGGUGUGAAUGGAUGUGGGCAAAUGAGGGAAUCACAGCCAUAAUUUGCAGGAAGGAAUAAGACAUCCAGAUGAACUGCACAAUUAAUAACAUGGUUAUAUUAACAUGGUUAGAGUAAGAUAUAUAAAGUAAUUACAUGUCAGGAAUAUUGGAAUAGCUUACCCUUUCCCUAACAUGUGUUUCAAUCAUCAGACGAUAUAUUGGAACCAUGUAUGUCCUCCCGAUACCCAGAUUAGUACUCCAUCUAUGAAAACAAAAACUUGUUAAAAUAGUAUCAUUAGAAAAAAAUGUCAAAUAAUUGUUAUAAUUGGACAAAUUGUGUCACCUAUUCACGAGUGGAAAUACAUAUGCUUGGUGACUAAUCGAUGCUGAGAAUGACAUCCGGUAAACCACCCAAGACUACAGCAAUAUGAGGCAUCCGCCUAUGUCCGUGACAAAAGGAUUUGUCGCCCGAUAAAGCUCGCGAUAUAGCAUAGCUAGUACUACAGAACCCUAACUAUAUGAACGGAGGUUUUGCAAAUCAAUUAACAGGGGCAAGCACAUCAAAUAGACCUUGUUGUUGUUUGCAUCUAGUAUGAGUACACCCCCUAUAAUGUGUAUAAUGUAUGCUCAAGUGACGCACAUCACUUCUCGCUCAGUGGCAUUAAUCGGUAAAUUCUCGAAAUUGGCCUUCAGCUAUGAAAACCUCAAACCCAAAAAAUUUAACUUAACAUCACCGAGCGAGACUCCCAGUAGGUUAUAGCAAAGGGUGGCUGGCUCAAGGAUCGUGUAACACCCCGUACCCGAGACCGUUGCUGGAGUCGGACACGAGGGGUUCACAGACUAAGUUCGCUUACUAUUGCAGUCCAUUUUAAAAUUUUUCCAGGCAGUCGGCUAACUGCGUCACUGUCAGCUUAAAAAUCAUAUCUUGUGUUUCACAACUCAAAAAUCAGUUUCGUGAUUUUUCACUGAAACUAGACUCAUAUUCCCAUCUAUAUAUUUUUUCUAGAAUUUUUGGUCGGGCCAAUUAAUACAGUUUAUUAGUCAAAGUCUCCCAUGUUACAGGGAUCGACUACACUGACCUUUGCGCAUUACGACUUGGAUAUCUCCCUGCACAGAGCUUCAAUACUGAUGACGUUUGUUUCUAUAGAAACUAGACUCAGAGAGGAAUCUAUACAUAUAUGGCAUGACUCCUAAUUAUCUCUGGUUAAUUUGUAAUGAAUUUCCAAAUUCGGAACAGGGAGUCCAGAACCCGUUCUGGCCCUGUCACACGAGAACCUGAAUAUCUCUUAACAUACUGUCCAUAUGAUCGUUUCGUUACUUUCCUAUGAAAAUAGAUUCAUUAAGGUUCGUUUACAUAAUUUAUUUAUUAUUUAAUUCCAAUCCUACUAUUUUUAGUGAUUUUCCAAAUCUACAUCACUGCUGCUGCCAGCAUCUGCCUUUAAGGUAGACUUUACCUACUUCAUAGUUUCCAUGAUUCAACUAGCCCUUUUAGCAUAAAUAGCACAAAUUAUGAUUGUGAUUAACCAUUCCAUACCAAAUGAUUAUAACAUUAUGCUCAAACAUAUAUAAGCCAUUUUCGCAUGGCUAUAUACAUUAACCAAAAUAUUCCUCCGCCACUAGUCUAUUUUAUACAUGCCAUAAGAUAAUCCAAAACAUAGCAGUACCAAACAGUGGAUAGUGAUAGUGUGACUAGUUGCUGACGAUCCCCGAGCCUGUAGCUUCGCAAUGAGAUCUAUAAAACAGAGGAAACAGAGUAAACGGAGUAAGCAUUACAAUGCUUAGUAAGUUUUAAGCAGUGUCAACAGAUAACAAUCAAAUUAUAACAUAGUUGUUCGUAUUUUUAUUUCACUCUUCCUUCGGGCAUACCAUCCCUUUACCGAAUACGCACAUCUCAUAGAUUGCUCUCGUAUGCAUCACAUAACUACCUUAUGAUUUAGUGCAAAUCAAGCUCACAUAUAAACUUGGAGUACAUACCUGUUUAACCUUUCGCAUUGAAUAUAUUUAUAAGCAAUUCUUAUUACGAAGUCUUACCCGGACAUAAUCUCCACACGAAGUUAUCGGGUCUUACCCGGACAAAAUCCCCACACGUAGUCAUCGGGUCUUUAGAGCUCGGAUAUAGUACGAGCACGAAGCUUACGGACAUUAAUCAGUGAUAAUAUUCUCGCAUAAAGCCUGCGGGGUUUUAACCCGGAUAUAGUACUGACACAAAUGCCCUUCGGGACUUAUCACAUUUAUACACUUUCACAUCCAUCACGUUGGCCACUCAGCCCUGUCACAUAUAUAUACUUUCACAUUCAUCACAUCGGCCAUUAGGCCUUAUCACAUAUAUACACUUUCACAUUCAUCACAUCGGCCAUUAGGCCCUAUCACAUAUAUAUACACUUUCACAUUCAUCACAUCGGCCAUUAGGCCCUAUCACAUAUAUAUACACUUUCACAUUCAUCACAUCGGCUAUUAGGCCUUAUCUCAUAUAUACACUUUCACAUUCAUCACAUCGGCCAUUAGGCCUUAUCACAUAUAUAUACACUUUCACAUUCAUCACAUCGGCCAUUAGGCCUUAUCACAUAUAUAUGCACUUUCACAUUCAUCACAUCGGCCAUUAGGCCUUAUCACAUAUAUAUACACUUUCACAUUCAUCACAUCGGCCAUUAGGCCUUAUCACAUAUAUACACUUUCAUGUUCAUCACAUCGGCCAUUAGGCCUUACUAUCAUUUCAUAUUCGAAUACUCAUAAACUUACAAUACCACGAUUUAUAAUUAAAGUAUGGGUUUAAUCAAUAGCUUAUGAGCAACUAAAACAAGUUUAUCAAGGUUCACAACAUAAUCUCAAAUUCAGGACAAGCUGUUUUUCCUGAGCAAUAGUCACUAAAUUAUUUAUAACUGGAGCUAAAAAACUCCAAAUCACUUUCCGUUAAUUUUUCCUGAAUAUAGACUCGUAUAUCUUCCAUCCAUAAAAUUUCCAAAAUUUUAGGUUUGGCCAAUCAAUACCAGAUUUUUCUUAAAGUUUCACCUGUUUCACUGUUUGACUAAUCUGACCACUCUUCACUACGAAUCAAAUUUCUCAUUUUACAGAAUUCAAAAUGUGUUGUAUUUGAUUUCAUUUGAAACUAGACUCAUUAAGGAGUCCAAGUAUAUAAAUUUUAUCUUAUAACCAUUUUUGUACAAUUUUAUCUUAUAACCUUUUGAAGUAGCUUCGUCAUUGGUGUGGCUAUCAUCGAGAAACCUUUUACAAAUCGUCGGUAAUAACCGGCGAGCCCCAGGAAGCUCCGAACUUUGGUAAUAUUUCUUGGAGGCUUCCAGUUAAGUAUGGCUAAAAUUUUGCUCGGGUCAACUCGAAUACCCGAUGCGGAUACCACAUGACCCAAGAAGCUAACCUCUCUUAACCAGAACUCACACUUACUGAACUUAGCAUAUAACUGCUUAUCCCGCAAAAUUUGCAACACUAGUCUCAGGUGCUCAACAUGUUCGGUCUCAUCUCUUGAAUAGACCAAGAUGUCAUCAAUGAACACAACUACGAACCGAUCCAAAUAUGGUCUGAAGAUCCGAUUCAUCAAAUCCAUAAAUACCGCAGGGGCAUUAGUGAGCCCAAACGGCAUCACUAAGAAUUCGUAGUGACCAUAUCUCGUUCUGAAGGCAGUUUUGGGUAUGUCUGAAUCUCGAAUUCGCAACUGAUAAUAGCCCGAUCUCAAAUCUAUUUUUGAGAACACUGAGGCUCCCUUUAGUUGGUCGAACAAAUCAUCGAUACGCGGUAACGGAUAUUUGUUCUUUAUCGUCACUUUAUUCAGUUGACGGUAGUCAAUGCACAACCUCAUGGUUCCGUCCUUCUUUUUCACGAACAAUACUGGUGCACCCCAAGGUGAGAAACUUGGUCGAGCAAAACCUCUAUCCGUCAAUUCUUGCAACUGAGCUUUCAACUCUUUUAACUCAGUUGGUUCCAUACGAUACGGAGCCAUCGAAAUCGGCGUAGUCCCAGGUACAAGCUCAAUACCAAACUCUAUCUCCCGAACAGGUGGUAAACCCGGUAAUUCUUCAGGAAAAACAUCCGGGUAUUCACAAACCACCGGCACAGAUUCGGGUUUCUUUUCUAAUUCUUUGUCAUCAAGUACAUACGCAAGGUAUGCUUCGCACCCUUUUCUUACAUAUUUCUGGGCCAACAUUGAGGAUAUUACAGCUGGCAACCCAUCCACGUCCGUAGACUCAACUCGGAUUACUUCGUUAUUUGCGCACCUCAAUUCAAUAGUCUUGCUUUUGCAAUUCACAACCGCAUCAUGCACGGUCAACCAAUCCAACCCGAGAAUAACGUCAAAUUCAUCAAAUGGCAAAAGCAUCAAGUCCGCCGGAAAACAGGAACCUCGAAUUACUAGGGGACAUUCCUUACACACUUUGUCGACAAGCACGUAACGACCCAAGGGAUUUGACACGUGAAUUACGAACUCAGUAGACUCAAUAGGUAAAGUCUUACUGGAUGCUAAGGUUUCACAUAUGUAAGAAUGAGUAGAACCGGGGUCAAUCAAAGCAAUUACAUUAGUAUCAAAGAGAAUAAAAGUACCGGUAAUAACAUCAGGCGAAGAAACAUCCUCGCGGGCACGUAUAGCAUAAGCUCUAGCAGGCGCACGAGCCUCGGAUCUGGUCGUAGCAUCUCUAGAUCCUCUCUAACCACCACUAGCAUUGCCCGUAUUUCCAGAUGGUCUACCUCGAGCAGUGGUAGCACCCGGUUUCCCACUCUGAUUUACAUUCUGUUCAGACAACCUCGGGCAAUCUUUAAUGAAGUGGUCAACUGAUCCGCACUUGCAACAGGAGCGGUCAGGGAAUCUACAACUCCCCGAAUGCCAUUUACCGCAAUAUCGACAUUUCGUUCUGUCUCGACGUUCAUUCCCAACACUGGCGACCGAAGUGCCUCGUGUACCCACAGGGGAUCGAUCACGAUCUCGUCUAAAAAGGCCCGAAGUGCCUCUCGACCAGCCCACAUCAUCUCGAAAUUUCUUCGAUGCCUGUUGAAGAGACUUUCCCGAAGAUCUUUUAUGAAACUCUCCAGUUCCCACAUCAACUUUUUGUUUUUCUUUUCUAAGCUCUUCGGCUUUACAAGCUCGCUCGACAAGUACUACGAACUCUCGUAUUUCAAGAAUGCCAACGAACAUUUUUAUAUAUUCAUUCAGCCCAUCCUCGAAGCGUCUACACAUGAUAGCCUCGGACGAAACACAUUCCCGAGCGUAUCUACUAAGUCUAACAAAUUUUCGCUCGUAAUCAGUAACCGACAUGGAACCUUGCUUAAGCUCAAGAAAUUCCUUCCGUUUUUGAUCAACAAAUCUCUGACUGAUAUACUUUUUCCGAAACUCAGUUUGGAAAAACUCCCAAGUUACUUGCUCUCGGGGCACAACAGAAGUCAGAGUACUCCACCAAUAGUAGGUAGAAUCACGUAGCAAGGAGAUAGUACACUUUAGGCAUUCAUCGGGUGUACAAGAUAGCUCAUCGAGUACCCGGAUAGUGUUGUCCAACCAAAAUUCAGCUUGUUCGGCAUCGUCGCUAUCCGUAGCUUUAAAUUCGGUAGCCCCAUGUUUUCGGAUUCUAUCAACUGGGGGCUUAUUUGACCUUAUUUGGUCAGUUACCGGAGGUAUUGUAGGUGCGGGGGUUGUAUUAGUCGGGAAGGGAGGUUGUGGAACAGCCGUAUUAGUUCGAAUGUAUUGGUUGAACCAAUCAUUCAUCACGCUAUAGAAAGCUUGUCUAGCUUCAUCAUUCGGGUUACUAGCAUUAGGUUGAGAGUUCACCGGCGCUGUCCCUUGUGCGGGAGCAGGCGGUACACUAUCAAGAUCAUCAGCUACCGCUCGGUCGGGAUCGGGAUCCAUUACUAUAAAUAAACACAUUUGCAAAUGUAAGAAAUCACCACACUAUCAAAUAAUCACAUAAAAUGGCAUGUAUAGCUAGACCCAACGCAUUACGGUAGUCCUAGAAUCGAAUAAACCGUAGCUCUGAUACCAAUCAAAUGUAACACCCCGAACCCGAGACCGUCACCGGAGUCGAACACAAGGUGUUAACAAACUUUAAAAAUUUUCCAGACACUGGCAAUCUGCAUAAUAGUCGUUUUAAAAAUCAUAUCUUGAGUUUAGAAACUCGGAAUCCAGUUCCGUAAAUUUUCCCUGAAACUAGACUCAUAUACCCAUCUACAUAUAUUUUUCUAGAAUUUUUGGUUGGGCCAAUUAGUAUAGUUUAUUAGUCAAAGUAUCCCAUGUUACAGGGAUCGACUACCCUGACCUUUGCGUAUUACGACUUGGAUAUCUCCCUGUACAGGGCUUCAAUACUGAUGCCGUUUGUUUCUAUAGAAACUAGACUCAGAGAGGAAUCUAUACAUAUAGUGCUUGACUCCUAAUUGUCUCUGGUUAAUUUAUAAUGAAUUUCCAAAUUCGGAACGGGAUAUCCCGAAACCGUUCUGGCCCUGUCUCACAAGAACCUGAAUAUCUCUUAACAUACUGUCCGUAUGAUUGUUUCGUUACUUUCCUAUGAAAAUAGAUUCAUCAAGGUUCGUUUACAUAAUUUAUUCACUAUUUAAUUCCAUUCCUACUAUUUUUAGUGAUUUUCCAAAUCUACAUCACUGCUGCUGUCAGCAUCUGCCUUUAAGGUAGACUUUACCUAUUUCAUGGUUUCCAUGAUUCAACUAGCCCUUUUUGCAUAAAUAGCACAAUUUAUGAUAGUGAUUAACCAUUCCCAUGGCCAAUCCUUGUCAAGCAUAUCCACACCAAAUGAUUAUAACAUUAUACUCAAACACAUAUAAGCCAUUUUCGCAUGGCUAUCCAAAAUUAUACAAGUCCAAAGGGUCCAUGACCCACAACAAACGGGUAGUCCUAUACAUGCCAUUUCGAAGUUCAACCGAAAUUGUACCAAAAAGGGGGGGGAUUUGAUAGUGUGGGCGACUUCGACUUCAAAAUCCCGAGUCCGAUAGCUGGAGAACCAAAAUCUAUAAAACAGAGGAUCAAAGAAACGGAGUAAGCAAUUUAUGCUUAGUAAGUUUUGAGCAAGGAAUUCCAGCACAACAAAAGUAUAGCAUUCAUGUAGCUAAACGGAUAAUUUCAUAUGCACAAUUUUUCAAUAUCAUACUUGCUUCACAUUACCAACCCUUAUGUACAUACACAAAAGAUCAACUUAGCCAAAGGCCGGUAGCUCAUUUAUCAACUGAGCGAAUACUUAUUUGUAAGGGCUCAACUAAAUUCAAGCACAUACGAAACAUACCUCAAUGUUGGGAUGUUUCUAGAGUAUUUACUGAAAUUUUUACAGCAAGAUCAUUCAUUCCCAAAUCACGUACCUUCGGAAUUUAACCGGAUAUAGCUACUCGUUCAAAUGCCUUCGGGACAUAGCCCGGUUAUAGUAACUCGCACAAUUGCCUUCGGGACUUAACCAGGAUUUAGUAACUCGCACAAAUGCCUUCGGGCUUAGCCCGGAAUUAGUAUCUCGCACAAAUGCCUUCGGAUCUUAGUCUGGAUAUGGUCACUUAGCACAAAGCCUUCCGGACUUAGCCCGGACAUCAUUCAAAUAACCAUGCACAUUUAACAGUAAAUCAUGGCACAUUCGUAUUUCAUUUUCGUUAACAAAACUCAAACACAAGACACUUAUCAUUCUUGCAAUUUUGGCUCAAUAGCCACACGCAAAGAGCAUGAUUUUAAUUUGCUUAAAACAUGCUCUAAUCAAAUCAUAAUUUAAGCUCUUUUACUCAAGAACUUACCUCGGAUGUUGUCGAAUGAUUCCGAUAGCUAUUCGACCACUUUUUCCUUCCCUUUAUCGGAUUUAGACCCCCUUUGCUCUUGAGCUUAAUUAGACAAAUAAAUUGAUUUAAUCAUUUGAGCAUCGAAAAGAGGAACACAAGGCACUUAGCCCAUAUUUAUACAUUAGACAUUAAAGUCACAUACAUGUGAAAUCAUGCAUCAACUCAACAUAUUAUCCCACACUCCUUUUAGCCGAUUGUCUAAGCCAAGAUAUAAGCAUUAAUAUGCUUGCCUCUAACCGAAUACAUGCAACGCCAAUCCAUCUCAUGUGGCCGAAUAUGCAUGUCUACGUUGAGGCCAAUUAUAUACUUAGUACCACAUAUAAAUGACAUACAUUUUACUAACUAAUGCAUUACAUAUUACAACUCAAUAUGCAUCCAUCAUUCACUCCAUAACUAAACCAUCACCAUAUAUAAACAUAUACCUUGGGAUGACAUAUAUAUGUAUCAUACCAAUACACCAUGUGCAAAUAUAUAUAUGCAAAAGCUGAAUCACAAGGCUGAUUAUAGCCAUCUCAUAUUUUUUUUUUCAUCCCAUACCCGAAUGCACAAGUACAUUAUAAUAGCUUCCAACUUAAUUCAUCAUAAAUUUCCCCUUUUUUUUUUUUCAUGGCCGAAUGCUCCUUCUGCACCAUUUACCUUCACAAAGCAUGAAUUUCAUCAUCCAACUUACAAGCUUACAAUCUCAUGAAGUUUAACCUCAUAGUACCUAUCAAACUCUCACUCAUUAGCUUCUAUCAUAAACCUCCAACAACACCAACUAAACAUAUACUUCGUGGGUCUAUGGUAGAGCCAAGAAAGGAACUCAUAGAUAUCAAGAUGUAAGCAACUACCAUUAUUAAUCUAAGUUUUGCAUGAAACACAAUCAUCACCCUUAUUAAUAUUUUAUAGCCGAAAACCAUACUCACCUCCAAAAUCAAAAUUUUAACAUGGUUUACAAAAAUCACUUGAUAACUCACUCAAUAUCAACUAAAAUUUCAAAAGCUAGUACAACUUCCUUACCUUCAUAGUGACCUAAGAUUACCGAUUGCUUCACUCCCUUCUUCUUCCUUUCAAUUCGGCCAAGAAGAACCAAAGAACACAACUUGUUUUUUUUUUUCUUUCUUCCUUAGAACAUUCGGCCAAGAGAAAUGAAGAAAGAUGGACACUUUUUUUUUGUUUUCUUUCUUACAUUCACGGCAAUGGAGAGGGGAAGAACAAUCAUACACAUUCUUUCCUUUUUUUCCAUUUCUUUAUUACCCAUACUCCUUAUUUUAUUGUUCCUAACAUACAUCACUAACAUAACAUGUUUGUGACAUGUUUCCACUCAUAGCAUGGCCGGCCACUAGCUCAAAUAUUGGGCAAUUUGACAUGCAAACCCACCAUUUCUAUAACAUGCAUUAAUAAGCCACUUUACAUUUGCCUAGCACAUUUCUAAAUUCUUUCACAUAAGUCCCAUUUACUAAAAUUCACCUACAAUUAAACAAAAUUCAAAUAUGAAAUUAUCACACAUGCAUAUAUACAUACAAUAAGUAUCAAAUAUGACAGCUAAUUAUUUUUAUGACUCGGUUUAGCGGUCCCGAAACCACUUCCCGACUAGGGUCAAUUUUGGGCUGUCACAAUACCUGUAUUUGCUCAUAUUGAACAUUUAUUGUUUCCUUUCCAAUUCAUGCCUGUUGAACCGAAUAGAAUAUCGUUGGAUAUCUAGGAUAGCUCACACAAAGUGUGCUAACUCAUAUAAUCGUAAUUCGUCAAUUCAUGUACAUAUUGCUCACAAGAGCUGUGAAUAAGUAUGCUCAUACGAGCUAUGAAAAUGGGUCUGCUCACACGAGCUGUGGGUCGGAACAUAGCUAUACAAUGCUGCUCAGACAAGCUAUGGAGUAUCUACAACACAUGUCAAACCUCAUGUCGUAUUACAGGCCGUGUAGACAUUAGAAAUGGGAGCACAUGGUUGUGUCCCAGCCCAUGUCCAACCCCGUGUAACUCUCUGACUUGGGUCACACGGCCAACACACACGCCCGUAUGACUAGCCCAUAUGCCCUAAAAAUGGCCACACACCCCCGUGUGCCAGGCUGUGUGCUAGGCUGUGCCAAACCUAUAGGGUAUACUGACUUAUGCCAAACGCCCAAGUCACACGCCCGUGUGUGAGGCCGUGUGGAGCAUAUUGACUUGUUUUCAAAUUCAACACCAGGGGACACACAGCCGUGUACUUGACCGUGUGUCACACACGAUCGAGACACACGCCCAUGUCUCUGCCCGGUGGACAAAAAUAGGCUAUUUACCAAGCCAAUUUGCCACCCAAAUAUUCAUAUACCUACACAACCAAAAUGGCACCAAAUCAAAGCAUAAUUGAACAUCUCAUUUGGCUAUAAUCAAGUCUAAUUCAUACAAUUUCCAAUACUAACAACCAACAUGCUUAUAAACUCAUGUUUUACUCAUUCAAAACAUACCAAAUACCAAUUACUUCAACAUCAAUAUAACUAAACUCAAAUAUGCAUUAUUUGGUCUAAUUUCAAUAACAUACCAAUUCAAAAAUCAUCACCUAUUGAUAUUCAGUUUACCUAUUCACAACAAGCAUUGUAACACCCCUUACCCGUAUUCGACACCGGAACAGGGUACGAGGCAUUACCGGACUUAUACACAAGCAAUCGUACACUUUCGAGCCAUGGAUUUUCGUCCAAAUUAAAACUUUUUACAAAUAAUCAUAUCGUCCCAAAGACGAGCCUAUGAGGCCUAAAACAAUCUGUGGAAGCGGUUCGGGACAAACUGAGAAGUUUAGAAAAUUUUACGACACUUAGAGAAUUUUUGCUAUAACAGGGGUCACACACCUGUGUGGCUUGGGACACGCCCGUGUGAGCAGGCCGCGUGGUCACACACGCCCGUGUCCCUAACCCAUGUAACUUUCUAUUUGUCACCCAAGAGCAAAUUGAAGUCACACGGCCAAGACACACACCCGUAUCCCGAGGCUGUGUCCUUUACACAACUGAGACACACGCCUGUGUCUCUGCUCGUGUGCUCGAUACUGAGCAUUCUGUUUUGCAACAAUUUAGGUAUAGGGGACACAUGGCCAGAUCACAUGCCCAUGGGGCUGACCAUGUGUCACAAAUGGCCUAGACACACACCUGUGUGGACAAAAAUAAGGCUAUUUACCAAGCCAUUUGCAACCAUUAUUUUCACAAACAGUUAUACCAAUUCAAUAUCACAAAACAUAAUAUAUUUAGGCAACCAAAAACAUACACAACAAUGUCCAACAAAUGGCCAAUUAAUAUCAACAUGUAUCAUAUUCAUAACAUUUAUUAUGCCCUAACUCAAUCAUGCCAGUUUCACAUUUAUUAAGCUUCAUUUAUUUCCUUUCAAGAUACCUAAUUGUACACAAAUCUAUCAUCUCAUCCAUGAAUCACAUUGCUAAACAUUUCACAAUCAUACUAUAAAUCACAUUCCAUCAUUCAACUUCACAAUCAUACUAUAAAUCACAUUCCAUCAUUCAACAAGCAUACCAUGACCAUAUCACCAAAGACGUAGGCACAUAUAUGGAUAUACUUAGGCUUACAACCAUGUUAGCCAAAAUAAACCAAUUUACAUCGCCAAAUAUCAAAGCAAACCCUUGACAAUUACAAGCCAAUACUUUUGGCCAAAACAUAAUGACACAUAUAACAAAAUGAUCAAGUCCCUAUACAUGCCAUAAGCUCAAAAUACUUGAAUUCAUCAAUAUCCAAAUGAUAGCUUGAUAGUGUGAUAGGAUCUCCGGCGAUCUCCAAUCUGAGCUAGCUUGACGGCACUAUAAAACAUAGGAAAGAAAGGGAGGUAAGCUAUAUAGCUUAGUAAGUUUGCAUGUAAAUAAUAAGCAACUCUUACCAAUUAUUUACCAAGUUUAACAAUAUAAACACAAGGUAAUAUAAAUUGUUAUAGUCCUUACAAUUAUAAUUUAUUCAAUCACAUAGUCUGCUCUAUCAAAUUGCAAACAUAGUUUAAAAUAUUUUGACAUUAGCCUAAUAGCAAUAAUCUCUCCAUUAACACAUAUAUCCAUAAUCAACCAAUCAUUUUGAGCCUUAUAAUAACCAUGCACAUUACUCAUUAGUAUUUAUCUCUCAAGCAUAUAUUUAAUAUCUUUCACAUGUUUAAAACUUAUAUCUCCUCACUUCUAUAAUCGUUUUAAUAGGCAUUUAUGCCAAUCUUUUCUUUUUUCUCAUAUCCAAUAAAUCACAUUUUGUGCUAAUAAAACUUACCAUAUCAUAAAUCAAUUUUGGCCCGAAAGCCAAUUACACAUUUGCCAAUCCAAUUUACCUUGUAUUUCGUACAUCACAAGUAUAUACCAAUAAUUACAAGGCUUUUACAAAAACAUUCUUAUGAAAACCAUGAACUCACCAUAUUAUGAAAUGAAUACUUAUAAACUUAUGUACAUACCUGUACAAAUUCGUAACAUAGUCACAUACUUUGUCAUCUUUGACAUAAUCUUUAGAUUACCCUUGGAAUACUAUUGGAUACACGAAAAGUCUCGCACAUAAGUGUCACAUAUGUAGCCAAUGCUACCUUAUAUCUCAUAACACAUAGUCCUCGUAGACGAGCUAAUCACUGGCCUAUUCACACAAGCUGCCAGUCAAGACGUAGCUACACAGGCUGCUCCCACAAGCUGUCAGGCAUUCGCAACAUAUGCCGGACAACCCACCCACCGGUAGGAUGUACAUGACCAGCACCCGGAUUCUCAUAUCACAUAACACAUGACUUCCUAGUGACAUGUCACUUGUAUCCUAAACUAUUCCUAAGGUCCAACUGGGAUUUUCUCAUCAUCGAAAAUUCGUUGAAUAUUUCCAUAGAAACAAUCAUACAAUUUAUGCGAUAUUAAACAUUAAAUACAUAAUACAACAUUGCAUUAUUUACACACAAACUUACCUCGACAUAAAAAUUGUAACACUCCAAACCCAGCCCAGACGUUAUUGCCAGAUCUGACGUGUCACAUGGACUUACGACUUAGUAUGCAUUCAUUGGUUUAAAUGAUUGGGGUGGUCUUUGUAAAAACAACGGUUGAAUGAAAAGCCGGUUUAUCAAUCUUUAGGCUAUCCAUUUGUUGUGCUUGUUGAGUCUUGAAAAUGUUCAUUAAUUUUGAAAACCCGCGCAGCCUAACAUUUACAGUUUCGUCAUAGUAUAAAUAUAAUUAGAAAAUAAAACCAUAGCGGAAAAUAGAAAUUUAAAUAAUAGCCUUAUUACAACUUAAAACCCAAAAUUAAAUCAGAAUAUAAAAAUAAUAAAAAUAAACUAACCUAGAAAAACCAACUUUGUAGAUGAUGUGGCCACUCCGAAUCCCUCACAGCUCCAAGCCCACUAUGGUUGGGGAUUUCCUGCAGAGAUGAAAAUAAGGGGUGAGUUCGAUAAACUUAGUGUGUAACAUAACCCAACCAUAGCCCAAAACAGAUCAAACCUCAGAGUCAGACUUAUCUAGGCCUUGGCCCAGUACAGAAAUCAGAAUGAAACCCAAAUGCCCAUAGAAGAUACAGAACAAAUAUAUCAUGAAUGCAGAAAUCCCAACCCAGAGCCAUCCAUAACACCCCCGUACCAGCCUUACACCUUGUGGGGAGACUACUCGAGCCAUCCAACCGCUACCCACCACCGAAAUUGCAGCGAGGCUGCCAGAUAUUGUGACGAAGUCACCAGAUAUAGAUAUUGUGGCUAGGCCACCAGAACAGAUAUAUAUAUAUGUGGCGAAGCCACCAGAUUGCAGCGAGGCUACCAGAUAUUGUGACGAAGUCACCAGAACAGAUAUAUGUGGCGAGGCCACUAGAUUGCAGCGAGGCUGCCAGAACGCUUCCUCCAUCAAUAUAAACCCAUGUCCCAUGCAACAUAAAUAAUAUUUCAUGGCAUACGUAUACAGAAACAGAACAUCAUGCUAUUCAAAAAAGAAAUAACCCUAGGGGUAAAAUCGUAACUUUGCAUGCUUAAGGGUAUUUCAGUAAUUAUUACCUAUUGCUAAGGUUUCAUGCUCAUUCUAACGUUUACUAAGUAAUCAAAAGUAUUUACCUAGUCUUUUUACCAAAGUGGGCCCGUUGGCCCAUUUGCCCAUUUUUGGCCCAUUAAGCCCAAAAAUACCGUUGUACACGAAAAUGCACACUCUGCACUCUAAUCAUCCAAAUGCACCAUAUUCAUUAACAACUGUCUCACGAGCGCUCACACGCUCGCGAGUUCACAAAAUACCGAUGUUUUAGUAUUUCGACUUUUACCAAUUCAGUCUAAAAGAGGGUGUCGUUUACACACUUGGUUGAUGACGAUUGAUGACGAUAUCUCCCACGAGAUAAUCCUACAAUCGAUCACUAACACAUUAGACUUACGAAUUAGCGAUAACUAACAUAAAUCCAGGUCAACUAACCCAAUCAUCACACAAGUUAGUCAUUUACGCACGAGGGGCAAAAUAGCCAUUUAACACCCUAGGGGCAAAAUGGUAAUUUUACCCCACCAGGGUAUCUCGAUAAUUCUACCCUACAGGGGUAUUUCGGUAUUUCUACCCAACAAGGGUAUUUUGGUAAUUCUAUCCUACAGGGGUAUUUUCAUAAUUCUACCUUACAGGGGUAUUUCGGUAAUUCUACAACUUAUCCACUUGGGCCUACAGACCUAUUGGGACCACAUGGCCAAUUUCAGCCCAUCGCGGCCCAAAAUAGCCGUCCUACUGCUAGAGUAAUGAGAAAUACACACCUGUUGGGAGACUGCAGUUAAUCCGAGCUCCAAACACUCUUAGCUGACGCCCAACCCAAACGAACACGUCACAAAGCGAAAGGGAUUAGCCAAGAAGGGUAUGCCUACUCUCCUCAUGGUUUGAUCUAUUUAAAGCCAGCUCUCCAUCUACUCUUAUGUUAGCUUCCCGAUGUGGGAUCCCUCCAUCACCAAAGUUUAAAACCAACACCACUCUUGCCGUCCCAACAUAGUAAAAUAAUCAACCUUUGCGUGCCAAGGGAUUCGAACCAAAGUCCUUCACAUGCCAACUCACGCCACACCACUAGGCCAUCAACUCAUUUGUAUCAUAAAUCCAACACAUUAAACUUUAAAGCGCACCUACUUGCUUCCAGAUUUAUUGAAAAGAAAAACCAAAAUAUAUUGCAGGAGCCAGGACUUGAACCUUGGACCCCUUGCUUCCUCUAUGGCGUCACUUCCUUGUCCCCUAAGUGGCGCUACCUUGCCACAACACCAUACACCUUUUUGUGUCAUCUUUUAUCCCUUUACUCUUAAAAGCCCAAACGCCAAUUGCAUCAACUAUUCAUAAAAUUAAAAUUUCGAAGACUACCACGGAUUUAACUUAAGUUUGGGCCUUCCAAAGGCCCACUAACCUACUCAAAUAUAUAUUUUAACUAACCAGAACACAUACAAAUUUUAAAAAUCACAGAAACACAGAAAACCCAAAAAUUGGGGCGUUACAACUCUACCCUCCUUAAAGAAUUUCAUCCUCAAAAUUUUACCUGAAUCAAACAGAUGAGGAUAUUGUUGACGCAUCGCCACUUCUGGCUCCCAAGUAGCUUCCUCUCUGCCCAGAUUACGCCACAGCACCUUUACUAGUGGAACUGAUUUCCUCCUCAAAAUCUUAACAUCUCGAUCCAAAAUCUUCACAGGUUCUUCCUCAAAAGUCAAGUCUGUUUGGACCUCUAUCUCUGCAACCGGCACAACAUGAGUAGGGUCAGAAUGAUACCGCCUUAACAUGGAGACGUGAAAGACAUCAUGAAUCUUAUUCAACUCUGGAGGUAGCUCUAACUGAUAACCCACUGGACCCACUCGCUUAAUAAUCGGAUAAGGCCCAAUGAACCGUGGACUUAACUUGCCUUUCCUCCCAAACCUUAAUAUUUUCUUCCAAGGCAAAACCUUCAAGAAGACCAUAUCACCCACAGAGUAUUCAAUUUCCUUGCGCUUCAAAUCUGCAUAAGACUUUUGUCUAUCAGAUGCUUCCUUCAACUGGUCUUUAAUCAACUUGACCUUAUCCUCAGUAUCUGCCACCAACUCAGGUCCAAGAACCUGUCAUUCACCCAACUCGGUCUAACAACUAGGUGUACGACAUCUUCGCCCAUACAGUGCCUCAUAAGGAGCCAUUCGAAUACUUGCUUGAUAAUUGUUGUUGUAUGCAAACUCUGCCAACAGUAAGUAAUCCUCCCAACUGCCUCGAAAGUCGAUAACGCAUCCCCUCAACAUGUCUUCCAGAAUCUGAAUAACCCUUUCUGACUGACCAUCAGUCUGAGGAUGAAAGGCUGUACUAAAGUUCAACCACGUACCCAACGCCUCAUGCAACUUCUGCCAAAACUGAGAUGCGAAUCUAGGAUCUCGAUCAGAAAUAAUCGACACUGGCACUCCGUAAAGUCGUACUAUUUCUGCCACAUACAAUUUGGCUAACUUCUGAAGUGAAUAAUCAGUGCGGACAGGUAUGAAAUGAGCAGAUUUGGUCAACCUAUCCACAAUUACCCAAAUCGAGUCCUUCUUCGAUGGUGUCAAUGGUAACCCACUCACAAAAUCCAUGGUUACCCUCUCCCACUUCCAAAGUGAUACUUUCACUGACUACAAAAGUCCGAAAGGUAAUUGAUGUUCAACUUUCACUUGCUAACAAGUCAGGCAUUUUCCCACAACUUCUGUUACAUCUCGCUUCAAUCCAGGCCACCAAUACAACUCCUUUAAGUCGAGAUACAUUUUACUCCCUUCAGGAUGCAUAGCACACAGAUCUCCACGAGCUUCUUUCAGAAUUGCUUGCCUUAAGUCAGAGUCCUUCGGAAUACAAACUCUACCUCGGUAACAUAGAACUCCCUCACUGUUCAGUCCAAACUCAGAAGUUUCCCCAUUCUUAACCUGCCAGAAUCGAGAAACCAGGGACUCAUCCCUCGACUGUUUUUCCUUAAUCUUAUCUACCCAGGUCGGCCUAACUUGCAGUUCUGCUAACAGACUACUGUCAUCAUACAGACUCAAACAAGCAAACAUGGCUCUCAGAUCAGAUACAGUUCUACGACUUAGGGCAUCAGCCACCACAUUAGCUUUGCCUAGGUGAUACUCAAUCCCGCAUUCAUAAUCCUUAAGCAACUCUAUCUAUCUCCGCUGCCUAAGGUUUAGCUCCUUCUAAGUCAUCAAGUACUUAAGACUCUUAUGAUCUGUGUAUAUAAUACACCUUUCUCCGUACAGGUAAUGUCUCUAAAUCUAAAGUGCAAAGAUUAGCGCUGCCAACUCCAGAUCAUGAGUAGGAUAGUUAACUUCAUGUGGUUUAAGCUGUCGCGAUGCAUAAGCAACCACUUUACCCUCUUGCAUCAGCACAUAGCCCAACCCUACAUGUGAUGCAUCACUGCAUACGGUAAAAUCUUUUCUAUACUCCGACUGUAUCAGUACAGGUGCCUUGGUCUGAACAUUCUCCAACUUCUCAAAAGAUUCCUAUUGUUUCUCAGUCCAAACAAACGAUACUCCCUUCCUUAUAAGCUUUGUCAAAGGUGCUGCCAUCAUAGAAAAUCCUUCCACAAACCUUCUAUAGUACCCAGCUAAACCCAAAAAACCUCAAAUUUUUGACACUGACUUCGGUGGCUUCCAUUCCAGAAUCGCUUCAAUCUUUUGAGGGUCCACCUUGGUCCUUUCAGCAGAGACAACAUACCCCAUGAAAGUUACCUCUCUCAACCAGAACUCACAGUUACUGAAUUUUGCAUAAAGCUCCUUCUCCCUCAGCACUUGCAGCACAAUACGAAAAUGCUCAUCAUGCUUCUCUUCAGUUUCAGAAUAAACCAGAAUAUCAUCAAUAAAGACGACCACGAAUCGAUCCAAGUAUGGCUGGAACACUCGAUUCAUCAGUUCCAUAAAUGCCGCAGGUGUUUUCGUCAACCCAAAUGGCAUAACCAAGAACUCAUAGUGACCAUACCGAGUUCUGAAUGCCAUCUUGUGAAUAUCCACCUCUUUAACCCUCAACUGAUGAUACCCAGAUCGAAGGUCAAUCUUGGAAAAUACCGAAGCUCCACUAAGUUGGUCGAAUAAAUCAUCGAUUCUCGGUAGUGGGUACUUGUUCUUAAUCGUCAUUUUGUUCAACUGCCGAUAAUCGAUGCACAUCCGCAUUGACCCAUCUUUCUUCUUUACGAACAACACUGGUGCUCCCCACAGAGACACACUUGGUCUAAUGAAGCCUCUAUCCAAUAACUCUUGAAUUUGGGCUUUCAGCUCCACCAACUCCUUAGUUCCAUCCUAUAAGGUGCAAUGGACACAGGUGCCGUUCCAGGCAACAAGUCAAUUCCUAACUCAACCUCUCGGUUUGGCGGCAAACCCGGAAGCUCCUCUGGAAAAACAUCUUGAAAAUCCUUGACGGUUCUAACUUUAUCCACUGUCAGAUCCUCAGUUUUCGAUUGGCUUCCAAAUCCUAAAUAAGCCUCACAUCCCUUUCGAAUCCACUUUUCGGCUUUCAAUGUUGACACCACAUUAGAUAGAUAUUCCCUACGCUCACCUGUCACGUAAACCUCCUCAUCCUUUGUGGUCUUUAACAUCAUUCGUUUAGCAGCACAAUCCAGAGUAGCCCUAUGCUUAACAAGCCAAUCCAUUCAAAAAACAAGAUCGAAUUCUCCGCUCCAUCAGAUCUCCAGAGAAAACUUUUCCUUGAGUUUCUAUAGGCACAUCUCUAUACAGUUUAUCUACCCUAACCGAGUGACCGAAAGGACUUAGUACCAAUACCCCACUCACGAUCUCCUCAGAGCACACACCCAGCGACCCAGGUAUAGGACAUGCUACAUAUGAAUGGGUUGAUCCAACAUCUAUCAACGCAGUGUAUGGUAUACUGGAAAUCAGAAACGUCCCAGUUAUGACGUCAAGUGCAUCACCCUCGUCUUGGCGAAAAGCUGCAUACACCAACGCCAGCUAAUGAGCCUCAACAAAUCCUGCACCCUUACCAGGCGCUCCUCUUCCUCGAUCAUUUCCAUUACCACCUCUGCCUUGCUCACGGCCUCUCGGAAACUGUGGUCCACCCCUCACUGGUUGAGCGACCGUCUGCUCUAAAAUUUGAACCUGAUCUGGUUCCUGGGGAUAAUCCUUAACCCUAUGCUCCAUAUAUCCGCAUCAGAAACAAGCACCAGAACAUUUCCGACUCUCGCCCAUAUGCAUCUUCCCACAAUUCCUACAACCCUGCGGCCUAAAAGCAUUCAUCGGUACUGCUCGAACUGGAUCCAUUACCUUUCCUCUCUUAACAUUCCUCUUCAUACCACCUGAAAGUUCUGAAUCUCUCCUAAAAAGGUUCCGAUCUUUCUCACGAUUCUGUCUUUCUGUAUGCUUCACUUCCUUAGCUACCUUAACUUUCUCCACUAAAGCAAUGAAGUUACGCUCCCUCUGCAGAGCAAUCAGCACCUUAAGUUCAUUUAUCAGACCAUCCUUGAAGCGUACGCUACGCUCAUACUCUAUAGCGACAAUCCUAGAAGCAUACUGGCUCAGUCCCAGAAACUCAGACUCAUACUCAGCCACUGACUUACUCCCUUGGACCAGGUUCAGAAAUUAUUUCCGGCGAGCGUCCACGUAACUAGCCCCAACAUACUUUUCUUUGAAGGCUGUCUUAAAUAGCUCCCAAGUUACACUGUCAGCAGGAGUUCCAUCUCUCACCGUGAGCCACCACUGAUAAGCCUCAUCCUUGAGUAACGAUAUGGCUCCCUUCAGCUUCUGCUCCACAGAGCAAUCCAGAUCAUCCAUAAUCCACUCUGUGGCUUCUAACCAAUACUCAGCCACAUUCGGAGCUACACCAGAUACGCCCCUAAAUAUCUCUACUCCUUUGGCCCGGAUUCGCUCAGAAAUAGACCCCCGAAUUUUGUUUCUCGUACUUGCCCCAGUAACCCUUUCCAAAACUCGGAGCAUUGCCUGUGAUAGAGCAUCAUCCCCGGCACCUCGAUCAUGAGACUCUACCUUCGUUGCCGGUGUUACUGGUGCAUCUGCUGCCGGCACAUGUCUUGAAGAUGAAGAUUCAACCUGAGCAUUACCUCAGCCACGUCCACGCCCUCUUCCACGAGCUGCUCGUGUACUCAUUUCGUAUUAUCUGAUUAAGAAUUUUAUGAAUCAGUUUAAUAUUUCAGUGUUUAUUACAGAUGUCUUAUGAAUAACAUUAAUUUAGAGUUUGAGUUUGUUUCCUUUUGCGGUAGCCUAGCUACAGUUUCAGUCUACUUAUCAGAGUUUCUAUAGUUCCAGUGUUACCCUAACUAAAGUACCAUGAUAAGGUUUUGUACAAGCAUAUAACAGAUAUUUCAGAAACAAUCAGAAAGGCUCAGAAAACUUACAGACUUGGGCCAGAGAUUUGGUGUGCCACCUUCUAAAAAACCUAAUUUUAGAAAACCGAUUAUAAUCUUUAAAAUCAUCUAUUUGUAAAGAGAAAAUAUUGGAAACAUUCUCGAAAACAAUUUAUAAUCAAGUUUCACAAAAAUGAUUUUCGAAAACCUUUAUUCAGUGUUUCUUUACAAACUCCAGUUUUUAGACCCGUUCCACAGCCGAGUUGUUGCAACUUGGCUCUGAAUCCACUAAAUGUAACACCUCAAACCUGGCCCAGACGUUAUUCCCAGAUCUGACGUGUCACAUGGACUUACGACUUAGCAUGCAUUCGUUGGUUUAAAUGAUUGGGGUAGUCUUUGUAAAAACAGCGGCUGAAUGAAAAGCUGGUUUAUCAAUCUUUAGGCUAUCCAUUUGUUGUACUUGUUGAGUCUUGAAAAUGUUUAUUAAUUUUCAAAACUCGCGCAGCUUAACACUAGCAGUUUCGUCAUAGUAUAAAUAUAAUCAGAAAAUAAAACCAUAGCGGAAAAAAGAAAUUUAAAUAGCGACCUUAUUACAACUUAAAACCCAAAAUUAAAUCAAAAUAUAAAAAUAAUAAAAAUAAACUAACUUAGAAAAACCAACUUUGCAGAUGAUGUGGCCACUCCGAAUCCCUCACAGCUCCAAGCGCACUAUGGUUGGGGAUUUCCUGCAGAGAUGAAAAUAAGGGGUGAGUUCGGUAAACUCAGUGUGUAACAUAACCCAACCAUAGCCCAAAACAGAUCAAACCUCAGAGUCAGACUUAUCUAGGCCUUGGCCCAGUACAGAAAUCAGAAUGAAACCCAAAUGCCCAUAGUAGAUACAGAACAAAUAUAUCAUGAAUGCAGAAAUCCCAACCCAGAGCCAUCCAUAACACCCCCGUACCAGCCUUACACCAUGUGGGGAGACUACUCGACCCAUCCAACCGCUACCCACCACCGAAAUUGCAGCGAGGCUGCCAGAUAUUGUGACGAAGUCACCAGAUACAGAUAUUGUGGCUAGGCCACCAGAACAUAUAUAUAUGUGUGUGUGUGUGUGUGUGUGUGGCGAAGCCAUCAGAUUGCAGCGAGGCUGCCAGAUAUUAUGACGAAGUCACCAGAACAGAUAUAUGUGGCGAGGCCACCAGAUUGUAGCGAGGCUGCCAAAACGCUUCCUCCAUCAAUAUAAACCCAUGUCCCAUGCAACAUAAAUAAUAUGUCAUGGCAUACGUAUACAGAAACAGAACAUCAUGCUUUUCAAAAAAAAAUAACCCUAGGGGUAAAAUCGUAACUUUGCAUGCAUAAGGGUAUUUCAGUAUUUAUUACGUAUUGCUAAGGUUUCAUGCUCAUUCUAACGUUUACCAAGUAAUUAGAAGUACUUACCUCGUCUAUUUAUCAAAGUGGGCCCGUUGGCCCAUUUGCCUAUUUUCGGCCCAUUGAGCCCAAAAAUACCAUUGUGCACGAAAAUGCACACUCUGCACUCUAAUCAUCCAAAUGCACCAUAUUCAUUAACAACUGUCUCACAAGUGCUCACACGCUAGCGAGUUCACAAAAUACCGAUGUUUCGGUAUUUCGACUUUUACCAAUUCAGUCUAAAGGAGGGUGUCGUUUACACACUUGGUUGAUGACGAUUGAUGACAAUAUCUCCCACGCGAUAAUCCUACAAUCGAUCACUAAGACAUUAGACUUACGAAUUAACGAUAACUGACAUAAGUCCACAUCACCUAACCCAAUCAUCACACAAGUUAGUCAUUUACGCACGAGGGGAAAAAUAGCCAUUUAACACCCUAGGGGCAAAAUGGUAAUUUUAGCCCACAAGGGUAUCUCGAUAAUUCUACCCUACAGGGGUAUUUCGGUAUUUCUACCCUACAAGGGUAUUUUGGUAAUUCUAUCCUACAGGGGUAUUUUCAUAAUUCUACCUUACAGGGGUAUUUCGGUAAUUCUACAACUUAUCCACUUGGGCCUACAGACCUAUUGGGACCACAUGCCCAAUUUCAGCCCAUCGCGGCCCAAAAUAGCCGUCCUACUGCUAGAGUAAUGAGAAAUACACACCUGUUGGGAGACUGCAGUUAAUCCGAGCUCCAAACACUCUUAGCUGACGCCCAACCCAAACGAACACGUCACAAAGCGAAAGGGAUUAGCCAAGAAGGGUAUGCCUACUCUCCUCAUGGUUUGAUCUAUUUAAAGCCAGCUCUCCAUCUACUCUUAUGUUAGCUUCCCGAUGUGGGAUCCCUCCAUCACCAAAGUUUAAAACCAACACCACUCUUGCCGUCCCAACAUAGUAAAAUAAUCAACCUUUGCGUGCCAAGGGAUUCGAACCAAAGUCCUUCACAUGCCAACUCACGCCACACCACUAGGCCAUCAACUCAUUUGUAUCAUAAAUCCAACACAUUAAACUUUAAAGCGCACCUACUUGCUUCCAGAUUUAUUGAAAAGAAAAACCAAAAUAUAUUGCAGGAGCCAGGACUUGAACCUUGGACCCCUUGCUUCCUCUAUGGCGUCACUUCCUUGUCCCCUAAGUGGCGCUACCUUGCCACAACACCAUACACCUUUUUGUGUCAUCUUUUAUCCCUUUACUCUUAAAAGCCCAAACGCCAAUUGCAUCAACUGUUCAUAAAAUUAAAAUUUCGAAGACUACCACGGAUUUAACUUAAGUUUGGGCCUUCCAAAGGCCCACUAACCUACUCAAAUAUAUAUUUUAACUAACCAGAACACAUACAAAUUUUAAAAAUCACAGAAACACAGAAAACCCGAAAAUUAGGGCGUUACAACUCUACCCUCCUUAAAGAAUUUCAUCCUCAAAAUUUUACCUGAAUCAAACAGAUGAGGAUAUUGUUGACGCAUCGCCACUUCUGGCUCCCAAGUAGCUUCCUCUCUGCCCAGAUUACGCCACAGCACCUUUACUAGUGGAACUGAUUUCCUCCUCAAAAUCUUAACAUCUCGAUCCAAAAUCUUCACAGGUUCUUCCUCAAAAGUCAAGUCUGUUUGGACCUCGAUCUCUGCAACCGGCACAACAUGAGUAGGGUCAGAACGAUACUGCCUUAACAUGGAGACGUGAAAGACAUCAUGAAUCUUAUUCAACUCUGGAGGUAGCUCCAACUGAUAACCCACUGGACCCACUCGCUUAAGAAUCUGAUAAGAACCGCAGACUUAACUUUUCUUUCCUCCCAAACCUUAAUAUUUUCUUCCAAGGCGAAACCUUUAAGAAGACCAUAUCACCCACAGAGUAUUCAAUUUCCUUGUGCUUCAAAUCUGCAUAUGACUUCUGUCUAUCAGAUGCUUCCUUCAACUGGUCUCUAAUCAACUUGACCUUAUCCUCAGUAUCUGCCACCAACUCAGGUCCGAGAACCUUCGUUCACCCAACUCGGUCCAACAACUAGGUGUACCACAUCUUCGCCCAUACAGUGCCUCAUAAGGAGCCAUUCGAAUACUUGCUUGAUAAUUUUUGUUGUAUGCAAACUCUGCCAAUAGUAAGUAAUCCUCCCAACUGCCUCGAAAGUCGAUAACGCAUUCCCUCAACAUGUCUUCCAGAAUCUAAAUAACCCUUUCUGACUGACCAUCAGUCUGAGAAUGAAAGGCUGUACUAAAGUGCAACCGCGUACCCAAUGCCUCAUGCAACUUUUUCCAAAACUGAGAUGUGAAUCUAGGAUCUCGAUCAGAAAUAAUCGACACUGGCACUCUAUGAAGUCGCACUAUUUCUUCCACAUACAAUUUGGCUAACUUUUGAAGUGAAUAAACAGUGCGGACAGGUAUGAAAUGAGCAGAUUUGGUCAACCAAUCCACAAUUACCCAAAUCGAGUCCUUCUUCGACGGUGUCAAGUGUAACCCACUCACAAAAUCCAUGGUUACUCUCUCCCACUUCCAAAGUGGUACUUUCACUGGCUGCAAAAGUCCGGAAGGUAAUUGAUGUUCAACUUUCACUUGCUGACAAGUCAGACAUUUUCCCACAACUUCUGUUACCUCUCGCUUCAAUCCAGGCCACCAAUACAACUCCUUUAAGUCGCGAUACAUUUUACUCCCUUCAGGAUGCAUAGCACACAGACCUCCAUGAGCUUCUUUCAGAAUUGCUUGCCUUAAGUCAGAGUCCUUCGGAAUAUAAACUCUUCCUCGGUAACACAGAACUCCCUUCCUAUUCAGUCCAAACUCAGAAGUAUCCCCAUUCUUAACCUACUGGAAUCGAGAAACCAGGGACUCAUCCCUCGACUAUUUUUCCUUAAUCUCAUCCACCCAGGUCGGCCUAACUUGUAGUUCUGCUAACAGACUACCGUCGUCAUACAGACUCAAACGAGCAAACAUGGCUCUCAGAUCAGAUACAGUUCUACGACUUAGGGCAUCAGCCACCACAUUAGCUUUGCCUAGGUGAUACUCAAUCGCGCAGUCAUAAUCCUUAAGUAACUCUAUCUAUCUCCGCUGCCUAAGGUUCAGCUGCUUCUGAGUCAGCAAGUACUUAAGACUCUUAUGAUCUGUGUAUAUAAUACACCUUUCUUCGUACAGGUAAUGUCUCCAAAUCUUAAGUGCAAAGAUUACCGCUGCCAACUCCAGAUUAUGAGUAGGAUAGUUAACUUCAUGUGGUUUAAGCUGUCGCGAUGCAUAAGCAACCACUUUACCCUCUUGCAUCAGCACACAGCCCAACCCUACAUGUGAUGCAUCACUGCAUACGGUAAAAUCUUUUCCAGACUCUGACUGUAUCAGUACAGGUGCCUUGGUCAGAACUUUCUCCAGCUUCUCAAAAGAUUCCUAUUGUUUCUCAGUCCAAACAAAUGGUACUCCCUUCCUAAUAAGCUUUGUCAAAGGCGCUGCCAUCACAGAAAAUCCUUCCACAAACCUUCUAUAGUACCUAGCUAAACCCAAAAGACUUCGAAUUUUCGACACUGACCUCGGUGGCUUCCAUUCCAGAAUCGCUUCAAUCUUUCGGGGGUCCAACUUGAUCCCUUCAGCAGAGACAACAUGCCCCAAGAAAGUUACCUCUCUCAACCAGAACUCACACUUAUUGAAUUUCGCAUAAAGCUCCUUCUCCCUCAGUACUUGCAGCACAAUACGAAGAUGCUCAUCAUUCUUCUCCUCAGCUUCAGAAUAAACUAGAAUAUCGUCGAUAAAGACGACCACGAAUCGAUCCAAGUAUGGCUGGAACACUCUAUUCAUCAGAUCCAUAAAUGCCGCAGGUGCUUUCGUCAACCCAAAUGGCAUAACCAAGAACUCAUAGUGACCAUACCAAGUUUUGAAUACUGUCUUGUGAAUAUCCACCUUUUUAACCCUCAACUGAUGAUACCCAGAUCGAAGGUCAAUCUUGGAAAAUAUCGAAGCUCCUCUAAGUUGGUCGAAUAAAUCAUCGAUUCUCGGCAGUGGGUACUUGUUCUUAAUCGUCAUUUUGUUCAACUGCCGAUAAUCAAUGCACAUCCGUAUUGACCCGUCUUUCUUCUUUACGAACAACGCUGGUGCUCCUCACGGAGACACACUUGGUCUAAUGAAGCCUCUAUCCAAUAACUCUUGUAUUUCGGCUUUCAGCUCCACCAACUCCUUCGGUUCCAUCCUAUAAGGUGUAAUGGACAUCGGUGCCGUUCCAGGCAACAAGUCGAUUCCAAACUCAACCUUUCGAUUGGCUUACAAAUCCUAAAUAAGCCUCACAUCCCUUUCGAAUCCACUUCUCGGCUCUCAAUGCCGAAACCACAUUAGACAGUUAAUCCCUACGCUCGCCUAUCACCAAAACCUCCUCACCUUUAUGUUCUUUAACAUCAUUCGCUUAGCAGCACAAUCCAGAGUAGCCCUAUGCUUAACAAGCCAAUCUAUUCCCGAAAGAAGAUCGAAUUCUCCGAAAGGUAGCUCCAUCAAAUCUCCAGAGAAAACUUUUCCUUGAGUUUCUAUAGGCACAUCUCUAUACAGUUUAUCUACCCUAACCGAGAGACCCAAAGGACUUAGUACAGAUACCCCACUCACGAUCUCCUCAGAGCGCACACCCAGCGACCCAGAUAUAGGACAUGCAACAUAUGAAUGGGUAGAUCCAACAUCUAUCAACGCAGUGUAUGGCAUACUGGAAAUCAGAAACAUACUAGUUAUGACGUCAGGUGCAUCACCCUCCUCUCGGUGACGAGCUGCAUACUCCAACGCCGGCUGACGAGCCUCAGCAAAUCCAGCACCUCUGCCAGGCGCUCCUCUUCCUCGAUCGUUUCCAUUACCACCUCUGCCUUGCCCACGUCCUCUCAAAAACUGUGGUCCACCACUCACUGGUUGAGUGACCCUCUGCUCUAAAACUUGAACCUGAUCUGGUUCCUGGGGACAAUCUUAACCCUAUGCUCCAUAGAUCCGCAUCGGAAGCAAGCACCAGAACGUUUCUGACACUCGCCCAUAUGCAUCUUCCCAUAAUUCUUACAACCCUGCGGCCUAACAGAAUUCAUCGGUACUACUUGAACUGGCUCCAUUACCCUUGCUCUCUUAACAUUCCUCUUCAUACCACCUGAAAGUCCUGAAUCUCUCCUAAAAUGGUUCUGAUCUUUCUCACGAUUCUGUUUUUCUGUAUGCUUCACUUCCUCAGCUAUCUUAGCUUUCUCCACUAAAGCAGUGAAGUUAAGCUCCCUAUGCGGAGUAAUCAGCACCCUAAGUUCAUCGCUCAGACCAUCCUCGAAGCGUACGCUACGCUCAUACUCUAUAGCGACAAUCCCAGAAGCAUACUGGCUCAGUCUUAGAAACUCAGACUCAUACUCAGCCACUGACUUACUCUCUUCGACCAGGUUCAGAAAUUCUUUCCGGUGAGUGUCCACGUAACUAGCCCCAACAUACUUUCCUUUGAAGGCUGUCUUAAACAGCUCCCAAGUCACACUGUCAGCAGGAGUUCCAUCUCUCACUAUGAGCCACCACUGAUAAGCCUCGUCCCUGAGUAACGAUAUGGCUCCCUUCAACUUCUGCUCCACAGAGCAAUCCAGAUCAUCCAUAAUCCACUCUGUGGCUUCUAACCAAUACUCAGCCACAUUCAGAGCUACACCAGAUACGCCCCUAAAUAUCCCUGCUCCAUUGGCCUAGAGCCGCUCAGAAAUAGACCCCCGAAUUUUGUUUCUCGUACUUGCCCCAACAACCCUUUCCAAAACUCAGAGCAUUGCCUGGGACAGAGCAUCGUCCUCGGCACCUCGAUCAUGAGACUCUACCUCCGUUGCCGGUGGUACCGGUGCAUCUACUGCCGGUACAUGUCUUGAAGAUGAAGAUUCAGCCUGAGCAUUACCUCGGCCACGUCCACGGCCUCUUGCACGAGCUGCUUGUGUACUCAUUUCUUAUUAUCUGUUUAAGAAUUUUAUGAAUCAGUUUAAUAUUUCAGUGUUUAUUACAGAUGUCUUAUGAAUAACCGUAAUUCAAAGUUUGAGUUUGUUUCUUUUUGCGGUAGCCUAGCUACAGUCUCAGUCUACUUAUCAGAGUUUCUAUAGUUCCAGUGUUACCCUAACUAAAGUACCAUGAUAAGGUUUUGUACAAGCAUAUAACAGAUAUUUCAGAAACAAUUAAAAAGGCUCAGAAAACUUACAGACUUGGGCCGGAGAUUCGGUGUGCCACUUUCUAAAAAACCUAAUUUUAGAAAACCGAUUUUAAUCUUUAAAAUCAUCUAUUUGUAAAGAGAAAAUAUUGGAAACAUUCUUGAAAACAAUUUAUAAUCAAGUUUCAAAAAAACGAUUUUUGAAAACCUUUAUUCAGUGUUUCUUUACAAACUCCCAUUUUUAGACCCGUUCCAUAGUCGAGUUGUUGCAACUUGACUCUGAUACCACUAAAUGUAACACCUCAAACCCGGCCCAGACGUUAUUGCCAGAUCUGACAUGUCACAUGGACUUACAACUUAGCAUGCAUUCGUUGGUUUAAAUGAUUGGGGUGGUCUUUGUAAAAAUAGCGGUUGGAUGAAAAGCUGGUUUAUCAAUCUUUAAGCUAUCCAUUUGUUGUGCUUGUUGAGUCUUGAAAAUGUUCAUUAAUUUUGAAAACUCGCGCAGCCUAACACUAGCAGUUUCGUCAUAGUAUAAAUAUAAUUAGAAAAUAAAACCAUAGCGGAAAAUAGAAAUUUAAAUAGUGACCUUUUUACAACUUAAAACUAAAAAUUAAAUUAGAAUAUAAAAAUAAAAAAAAAUAAACUAACUUAGAAAAACCAACUUUGCAGAUGAUGUAGCCACUCCGAAUCCCUCACAGCUCUAAGCCCAUUAUGGUUCGGGAUUUUCUGCAGAGAUGAAAAUAAGGGGUGAGUUCGGUAAACUCAGUGUGUAACAUAACCCAACCAUAGCCCAAAACAGAUCAAACCUCAGAGUCAGGCUUUAUCAAUGGUAUUAUUGAAUUAUCAAUGGUAUUAUUGAAUUAUAAAAUUAAAAAGACAACAACAAUUCAGCUGUAAUAUCCCGAAUUAGGGCCUACAAAAUUCAUAAUAAAUUGGCUACAAAAUUCAUAGUAACUUUGUCCCAUUUCUUACUCGAUGUCAACAGUAAAUUGGCUACAAAAUUCAUAGUAACUUUGUCCCAUUUCCACUUAGAUAUUAUGAUCGGCUGAAGCAAUCUAGAAGGUACCUAAUGUUCGGCUUGUACUUGCUGACAGACUAAACAUUUCGAAACAAAAUAAGAAAUGUCUCGUUUCAUGCCAUGCCACCAGUAAAACUGUUUUAGAUCAUUAUACAUUUUCGUACUACCCGGCUGAACAGAUAAUCGACUAUUAUGAGCUUCUUUCAAAAAUCAUCUGAAUCAACUCUGGAUUUCUCGAAACACAUAUUCGAUUUCUAAACCUCAUAUAAUAUUCAGUAUCAAGUCGAAACUCUGAAUCAAUAUUCAAAUCACAUUAGCCCCGUUUUGCUAAUAAUUUAUUAUCAACUUUCUAAGCCUCAUAAAUAUGUUGAAUAUAUAACGGUCUUACUUUUAACUUGACUAUAAUUGCACCAUCAUCAGAUGUAGUCAUAUGCGCAUUCAUUGCACGUAAAGCAAACAGUGAUUUUUGGCUUAGAAUAUUUGCAACAACAUUAGCCUUUCCCAGAUGAUAGUCUAUCACAAUCUCGUAAUCUUUUAACAUAAAUUAGAUCUUUCUGAGUCAUCUAAUAUUUCAGGCUUUAGUUAUCAGAAUAAAUGUGUCAUUUUUUUACUGAACAGAUAUUGACGCCAUAUUUUCAUUACAAACACAAUAGCUACCAAUUCCAGGUUGUGUGUCGGAUAUUUCUUUUCAUGCAGCUCUAACUGUCUCGAUGCAUAAGCUAUGACUUUGCCUUCCUGCAUUAAUACACACCCCAAACCAUUUAAAGAUGCAUCACUAUAGAUAACAAUUUUUUUACCCGAUUCUGGCUGAUUUAAUAUUAGAGCUUCGAUUAAAAGGGCUUUCAAGUGAUCAAAACUUUUCUGACCUCUCGAACUUAACGUCUUUAUGUAAUAGCUUUGUCAUCGGGAUUGCAAUCAUAGAGAAACCUUUCACGAACCGUCUAUAAUAACCAGCAAGUCCUAGAAAACUUCAGUCUUUAGAAACAUUUCUCGGAGGUUUCCAAUCAAGUAUAGCUUAAAUUUUACUCGGAUCAACAAGAAUACUUGAUGCUGAUAUAACAUGUCCCAGAAAACAAACUUCACGUAACCAGAACUCACAGUUGCUGAAUUUUGUGUACAAUUGUUUAUCUCGCAAAGUCUGUAAUACAAGUCUCAGAUGUUUGGCAUGUUCAGUUUCAUCACGGAAAUAGAUCAAUAUGUCAUCUAUGAACACAACUAAAAAUCAAUUCAGAUACUGUCUAAAGAUCCAGUUCAUCAAAUCCAUAAAAAUAAGCAGGUGCAUUAGUAAGUCUGAAAGGCAUAACCAAAAACUCAUAGUGUCUGUACCUCAUUUGUAAAGCAGUCUUUGGCACAUCGGAGUUUUUAACUCGCAACUGAUAAUAACUUGAUCUCAAAUCUAUCUUUGAAAACACUGUAGUCCCUUUCAGUUGAUCGAACGGAUUGUCAAUCCAUGGCAACAAAUAUUUAUUCUUUAUAGUCACGUUAUUGUGCUGUCUAUAGUUAAUAUACAUUUUCAUAGUUCCGUCUUUCUUUUUCACAAAUAAAACUGGUGCACCCUAGGGAAAGAAACUCGAUCGCAUGAAACCUUUAUUUGUCAACUAUUGCAGCUGAGCUUUCAAUUCUUUUAAUUCAGUAGGUGCCAUUCUAUACGGAGCUAUCGAUAUCGGACUCGUCCUCAGCACUAAUUGAAUACCAAGCUCUACUUCUCGGAUAGGUGGCAAACCUGGUAAUUCUUUAGGAAACACAUCCAGAUACUCGCACACAACUGGUACUAAUUCAAUCUUUCUUUCGAUCACUUUACUAUCAAGCACAUAGCAAAGUAAGCUUUACAACCUUUUCUCACAUACUUCUAAGCUAACAUCGAAGAUAUCAUUGCCGGUAAACCAUUCAAAUCAUUAAACUCAAUCUAGUUAAUCUCAUCAUUUAGGUAUCUCAAAUCAAUAGCCUCUCGUUUGCAAUUUACAACAACAUAAUGCAAAAUCAACCAAUCCAUACUCAGAAUUAUAUCGAAAUCGUAAUGGUAACAACAUCAAAUCAACCAAAAAAUAUGAAUCUCGAACUAUCAACAAACAAUUCUUACACAUUUUAUCAACCAGAACACACCGACCCAAAGGGUUCGAUAUUCUAAUCACAAACUUAGCAGACUCUACAAGCAAAGUCUUACUGGAUACUAAGGUUUCAUGUACAUAAGAAUGAGUCGAACUAGAAUCAAUCAAUGCAAUUACACUAGUAUUAUAGAGAGUUAAUAAACCAGUAAUAACAUCUGGGGUUGAAACCUCCUCACAAACGUGAAUAGCAUAAUUUCUGACAGGUGCACGAGCCUUAGAUCUAACUACUGUGUCUUUAGCUCCUCUCUAACUACUACUUACAUUUCCCGCAUUUCUAGGAAAUCUACUCUUGGCUGAAGUGUUACUUAAUCUCAAAUUUUGCACAAUCUCUUGCUCAACCGACUUGGGACAAUCUCAGAUAAAGUGAUCAAAGGAUCUACAUCUAAAACAAUCUUGAUUAUUCAAUCUACAAAUACCCGGAUGUAUUUUACCACAAUGUUUGCACUUAGGUUGAUCAGAUCUAACAUUUUCAACACUAGUGAUCGAAGUAGUUGGAGUUCUAAAGCUCAAAUGUGAUCUAUCACAAUCUCUACUCGAGUGUUUGACAUUAGCCUUUGUGCGGCUAAAAUCAUCUCAGAAUUUCUUUGUUGCAGACUAAAAUGAUUUGCCCGAUGAUCUCUCACGGGAAUCAUUGGCUUCAAAAUCAACUUUUCUUUUCUUUUCUUUUUGUAUAACUUGGGAAGUUACAGGAACUUCAGGGGUGGAGGUUGUUGAGCAGUUGGAUUCAUUCGAACGAACUCCGUGAACCACUCAUUCAUUAACUGGAAGAAGGCUUGCUUAGCCUCUCCCUCUAUACUACUCGAAAUCGGCCUAGAAUCAACCGGCGCAGCCCUCUGAGUAGGAGCAAGCACAUUAUCUUCCAUGUCAUCCGUUACAGCUCGAUCGGGAUCCAUUUCUAUAAGAAAAGACAUUUUUAACUGUUAUGAAUCAUCACACUAUCGCAGUUUAUAAUUAUGGCAUGUAUAGCUAAACUCACACGUGCUACGUUAGUGCUAGAACCGACUAAACUGUAGCUCUAAUACCAAUCAAAUGUAACACCCCUAACCCGUGUCCAUCGUCGGAAUGAGAUUAAGAGCCAUUACUAGAAAGAUACAACUUUCAUACAUUCUUACAGUCACUCAAAUCAUAUUCGAAGGUAUACAUUUGUAACUUCAGUUAACAAUUCUUGAAUCAUUUACACAUAAUACAAAACAAUUUUUAUUAAACUCACAUAUAAUCAACUUGUUAGCUUAUAACCUAAAUUACUAUUCAUAUGGUCAAUUUCCAAUACAUUAACUGAAUAUUAAAACAUACUAUAUACAUAUGCAUUGGUCAAUGUCAACUUUCAUUUUUCUUUAUUACUAUAUAUGCAUAUAACAUUUUUUUAUAAUCAAACCACUAUGUCAAUCUUCACAUAUUUAACAAUCCACAAACCAAUUCAAAGCAUAAUUACCAAAUCAAACAUACCAAAAUUUAAAUGCCAACAUCAUGAAAAAAUUACAAAUACAUGAUCAAUUCAUUUGCUCACCUAUUCGGCCACCAAGAUUAAUCAUAUAUGUAAUACAAAUUAUGCCAUUCAACCACAAGCUUAAAUAAACCAUUUUCUAAUCAAAACAAAGUUGAUCAUUUCACAACCAAUGAUUUCAUAAGCCUAAUUUAUAACUAAACCUAUGACCACUCGAAUAUAAUCCUGCAUUAAUUCACUUAGUAACUAGUCAUAUAACCAUUACAACAUGUUUAUAAUAUAAUCAUGAAAUCAAAUCAAUUCAAACUAAUUUAUAAGUACAAAUGUCGAAUCCAAACAUGCUAAUUAUACAUACUAUGCAUUAUACCAAAAUUUAACCCAAUACCAACUUACUUUAUAUCAAUUCGGGUAGUAAAGUUAACCACAAAAAUCAUACAAAUUUUUUAUACUUUAUAAUAAACCAAAACAUCACCUAAUAAGCUAAUAUAUAAAUAUACAACAUAUUGGGCAUUUCUAAUUGUCGAAUCAUAUGAUCAACACUACCACAUAUAUGCCAUAUAUUAAAUUUAUCAGUAUGACUAAUUUAUAAGUCAUACAUAUCAAUACUCGACUUAAUCAUAUAACCAAAACACCAUUCAAUCAUGCCAUGGAGUAUACUUAUCAUUAUAUAUAUUUAUUUUAUGUCAAUUUACUAAAUCAUCAAUAAGCCUAAUAAACAAGUAGAACCAUAUAACUUAAUAUCACAUAUAUAUAUACACCAUGAAAUACACUUCCAUGUUGAAAUAAGGCAUAGCCACAAACACACAAACUUUAACCUUAUCAAACCCAAAUAUCCACAGCUCACUUAUUAUAAAUUCAAAUACAUGAAUCAUAAUUUCAAUUUCAGAAAUAAUUAUACCUGAUUAAUCAUGUAUCAUAAAAGAGCACAUUUCAAAAUUCCAUCUAAUUCAAUUCGAACAUACAUCAAAACCCAAUUGAACAUGUUUCAUAAUUGCUAAUUUCGAGCCUAACAUACAAUAAUAAUAUUUUUAUAAUAAAACCAUUACUAUCAAAUACAAGACAUAACCAAAACAUUUUAACCAUGAAUAACAUAAUAAGCAUAAUUCAUACUGAUGUAUAUACCAUGGCCAAUUCCAAACAAACCACAUCCAAAAUCACAAUCAAACAUAACCAUAAUUCAAUCAAAACUUGAAACCGGACUUAACAAUUAAACAAGCCAUUUUUGUAUGGCUUAUAUAUAUACACAUACCAAAAUCAUCAUAUCCAAAAAAAUAAUCUAGCCUAUACAUGCCAUAACUUUGAAAUUCAACUUAUAAAAUACCAAAAACAAUCGAUAGUGUGAUAAGCUUCUUUGAUGAUCCUCGAGUCCGUAACUAAUCUCCAAAAUCUGUAAGACAGAAGCAAACACACACAGAGAGUAAGCUAACAUAGCUUAGUAAGUCAUAAGCAAAUAAGACAUUUAAUCACAUUUAUAAUUUAAUUUAACGAAUAUUAUAAAUUCACAUACAACAUAUACUUUUAUAUAUAAACUUUAUGUUGGUCGAAUAUACAAAUAUUUAUUAUCAAAAUAUCAUUCAAUUUUAAAGCCAUAAUAUUAUUAUAUAACCGAAUAUAUAUAGAUUUAUAUGCAUAUACUCAUUAAUCAUCUCAUAAGUAUUCACAUUUUAAAAUCACAACAUCGAAAAUAACCAUUCAUAUAUGUUUGCACAUAGAUCACAAAUAUGAUAUCUAUUAUAUGUAACCUUUUUUCGAAUAUACUUUUCAUAUACACGUAUAUUUUCAUUUGCAUCAUAUAUAAUUUGUAUCAAAUAUCAAAUAACCAACUUACCUUAUUUUCAAAUAGAUAAUCAACUAUCUCAUACCCGAUCACUUUAGCUCGAUUUACACAUUCAAUUACAACUUAUCAUUGCCCAUUGAACUAUUCAGAAUUGAAUAGGAUACUCGGAUAAUCACACAUAUCGUACAAUGCCAACGUUCCAGACGUGGUCUUACAUGUUAUCACAUAUCGAUGCCACUGUCCCAGACAGGGUCUUACUCGUACACACAUAUCAGAAUCACAUAUCGAUGCCAACAUAUUAAACGUGGUCUUACUCGCACACAUAUAUCGAUGCCAACGUAUUAAAUGUGGUCUUACUCGCACACAUAUAUCAAUGCCAUGGUCUUACUAGCACAUCACAUAUCAGAAUCCUAUGUCAUGACAUAUGCAUCCUAGCUAUUCCCAAGGUUCAUAUGGGGCUUUCGGACGUCGUAACACUGUCGAAACGAACUUGUAAACAUAGUUCCCAAGUAUAAACACAUUCGUCUAUCAUAUAUAUACAAGCUCAUAAAAUUUAAAUCAGCAUUCUACAUUCACAUAUAUUCAAAAUUUUAUAGCAUUUAUUUACUUAAAAACUUACCUCAGACAACGAUAAUCGAAACAGAAUGACUAAUCGACAUCUUUAGUUUUCCCCCAAUCCAAAUCCGAUUUCUUUAGUUCUUGAUCUAAACAUAUUCAAAUUAAACUCAUUCAAACAUAAUUCUAUUCAGUUCAGUCCAAAAACACAUAAAUGGGAAAAUUACCAUUUUACCCCUGACCUUGUACACUUUUUACAAUUUAGUCCAAAUUGCACAAAACACAAAACAUGCAAAAUUUGAAUACACUAUCUUAGGUAGAAUAUUCCUUAUGUUCAUACAAGUCCAUACAUUUGAAUAAACUAUUUAGUCCUAAUUACUCAAAAUUAUCAAAAAUUCCAAUACAAAACAUGUUAAUCCAAAACAUAUAUUUCAUAUUUCAUCAACUAACAUCACAAAACUCAAAUAUUGAUCAAUGGAAUAGCUCAAAAUAUUCAUCAAAAUAAAAAAUUCAAACAUGGGCUUUGUACAUUACACUACAACGAUCUCAAAAACAUAAAAAAUAUCAAAAACCGAGCUAAAACUCACAUUGAAUGAAGCUUGCUAAUGGAUGAAUAACUUAAGCUUUGUUUCUUUUCUUUCUUUCUCAAUUUCAGUCAAGUGUAUGAGUAAAAUGCAUGACUUUUAAUUUUUUGUUUUAUAUUAAUAUAAUUUAUUAAUCAUUUUACCAAUAUAACCUUUAUAAUUUAAUAAUUAAAACUUAUACAUUAAGGCUAUAACCGUCCAUCACUUUAUCAAUGGUAUUAUUGAAUUAUAAAUACCUCAAAUUAAAAAGAGAACAACAAUUCAUCCCUUUCACAUUUAACCAUUAAAUUUUUAUUUUAUGCGAUUAAGCCCUUUUUAUUAAAUCGGCACUCAAACGACAAAAUUAAAACACAAAAAUUUCAUAGAUAUAAAUUCACACAUAAUAAACACAGAAAAUAAUUUUAAAAUAUUUUUUUGACUUGGAUUCAUGGUCCCAAAACCACCAUUCUGAAUAGGGUCUAAAUCGGGCCGUUACACUCUGAAUCAACUUUCCUCUUUUCUCGGCUAGAGGCUUCGGCUUUGCAAGCUUGGCCAACUAACACAACAAAUUCUUUCAAAUCCAAAAUCCUGACCAGAAUUUUAAUAUCCUCGUUUAACCCAUCAAAAAAUCGCUUGCACAUAAUCUCUUCAGUAGAAACAUACUCCUGAGCAUAUUUAUUCAACUGUACAAAUUCUCUCUCGUACUCGGUUACGGUCAUAUGGCCCUGUUUCAGUUCUAGAAACUCUUUAUGUUUUUUAUCCAGAAAUCAUUGGCUUAUAUAUUUCUUCCCAAACUCAGUUUGAAAGAAAUCCCAAAUGACUCUCUCUCUUGGCACCACUGAUACUAGCAUAUUCCACCACUGAUAUACGGUGUGUCUCAAUAGUGAUAUAGCACAUUUUAAACAUUCAGCCGGUGCGCAAGAAAGUUGAUCAAAUACUUUGAUAGUGUUUUCAAGCCAAAACUUAGCUCUCUCAGAAUCAUCGUCAACAUUAACUUUGAACUAUUCAGCCCUGUGUUUACGAAUCUUAUCAAUUGGGGUCUUAUUCAAUCUUAAAAGCUCGACUCCUUAAGGAGCUAUGGAAACUAGUUGGGGAUUAGGAGGGGGUGGAGGUUGUUGAGCAGCUGGGUUCAUUUGAAUAUAUUGUGUGAACCACUUAUUCAUCAUUUAGAAGAAGGCUUCUCUACCCUCUCCUACCUGGCUACCCAACACGGGUCUAGAAUCAGACGAUGUUGUCCCUUGAGUGGGAGCGGACACAUUACUUUUAACCUCAUCAGCUAUAGCUCGACUGGGAUCCAUUCACUAUAUGAAAACACAUUUUAAAAUGUCAGAAGUCAUCAAACUAUCACAGUGUAUAUAUGGAAUGUAUAGCUAGACUCUCAUAUACGCUACAUUAGUCCUAGAAUCGAGUAAACCGUAGCUCUGAUACCAAUAAAUGUAACACCCUUCACUCGUAUUCAACACCAGAAUGGGGUUAUAGAGCGUUACCUAACUUAUAAAACAAUUAAACAAUCAUGUCGCAAACAUUUUCUGAAUUCAACCAUUCACCAUUCAAUCUUAAUCAAUUUGUCCUUAAUACGAGCCUACGAGGCCGUAAACAUACCUUGGGAGUGGUUCGGGACUAAACCGAUAACUUAUGAAACUUUACGAAACUUAAAAAAAUUUUCCUCAAAAAAUGGGACACACCCCCGUGUGGCCAGGCUGUAUGUCUCACACGGCCACUAGACACGCCCGUGUCAUAGGCCGUGUAGACAUUCAAAACAGGAGCACAUGGCCGUGUCCCAGCCUAUGUCUAACCCUUUGUAACUCUCUGACUUGGAUCGCACGGCCAACACACACGCCUGUGUGCCCUAAAAAUGGUCACACACGCCCGUGUGGUAAGCCGUGCCAAACUUAUAAGGUAUACUGACUUAUGCCACACGGCCAAGUAACACGCCCGUGUAUAAGGUUGUGUGGAACAUAAUGACUUGUUUUCAGAUUCAAUACCAGGGGACACACCGCCGUGUACUUGAUCGUGUGUUACACACGGCUGAGACACACGCUCGUGUAGAAAAAAAUAGGCUAUUUACCAAGCCAAUUUGCCACCCAAAUAUGCAUAUACCUACACAACCAAAAUGGCAUCAAAUCAUAGCAUAAUUGAACAUCUCAUUUAGCAAUAAUCAAGGCUAAUUCAUACCAUUUUCAAUGCUAACAACCAACAUGCUUAUAAACUCAUGUUUUACUCAUUCAAAACAUACCAAAUACCAAUUACUUCAACAUCAAUAUAUCUAAACUCAAAUAUGCAUUAUUUGGUCUAAUUUCAAUAGCAUACCAAUUCACAAAUCAUCACCUAUUGACAUUCAAUUUACCUAUUCACAACAAGCAUCAUGAAUAAAACUUCAAUCACGCAAUAUAAGUCAUUUACCAACUCAAAACAAAAGUCAUUUGCACACUGAUAUACAUCAUCAAAUUCACCAUCCUAGGCCAACUUAUAUGAUUAUAUAUACAAACCAAAAUAUGUACAUUUACAAGCCAAUUCAUUUGGCCAAUGUCAUUACCAAAACAUAACCAAAAUGACCAAAGUCCCUAUACAUGUCAUAUACUUAAAAUUCCAAGUUCAUAGGUACCAAAAGAUAGGUGGAUAGUGUGAUGCGAUCUCCGACAGUCCCCGAAUAUGAGCUACCUUUGAUACCGCAAUAAAACAAAGGAAAAUAAACAAUGUAAGCUAUAAAUCUUAGUAAGAUCGUAUGAAAUAAACUCUAUGCAAUCACAUAAACAUAAAUUGAUAAUUUGAAUACAACAAUAUAUAGCUUUCCUUAACUAUGAAACCUUUCAAAUGCUCAUUCACAAAACUAUAUACUUCCAUUCUCAUUUCUUUGAUUCAACACUAAAAUAGUUUAUACACAUACCUGUAUCAUCUCGUACCAACCUCAUAUCCAUUCUCAUCUUUCAUUUACCUGUUGAACCAUUCAAAAUAGAAGUCGGAUACUCAAGGGUCUCACACGACAAGUACCUAUACCAUGGCCAUAAGCUAAAUCAAGGUAACUUAUCCGAAAAACUGAUAUCAUGGCCCAAAGGCAAAUCAGCUGAUAUGCAUGGCCCGAAGCCAAAUCGGUUUAUCUUGCACCCAAAGUGCUAUAUCAUGGCCCGAAGCCAACUCAAAGUAUCCCUAAUGACAUGUCACUAGCAUCAUAAACUAUUCCUAAGGUUCAACCGAGCUUCUAAUUAUCAAAUCAUCGUCGAAUCAUUCCCAGACUUGUCUGAAGUCACAUAAUCACAAUUUAUGCUAUAUCAAAGCAUAUAGAAUACAUUUGAAAUGAAAUUAUAACAUACGAACUUACCUUGGAUGCUAAAAUGGCGAAUCGAGUCUACUAUUCCGUAACUUUAUUCAUUCCCUAAUCUAAGCCCGUAUUUCUCCUUUCUUGAUUUAAAUAUAUUCAAAAUUAACUCAUUUAAUCAUCUAUUCAUUCAAUUUAGUCCAAAACACACUUUAAACCACAUUUACACUUUUGCCCUUAAUAUUUCACUUUUUUUACAAUUUAGUCCUCAUUUCAUAAAAUCACAAAUUAAUGAAAUUUCAAUUAAACCCAUGCUAGCUGAAUUACUAUUAUGCCCUUAGCAGCCCAUUUUUUUCAUUUAUUUCACAUUUUAACUACUAACUUUCCACAUUUCACAAUUUAAUCCCUAUUUUACAUUUUUACUAAAAAUCACUUAACAAAACUUGUUUAACUAUCAACAACUAUUCAAAAUCAAUCAUCAAACAUCAAAAUACUCAUGUAUUAGUCAAUGACAUCAAUCAAAACCUUUAAUAGUUUUGCAAAUUAGUCCAUGGGCUAGCUAGUACUAGUUGCAACGAUCACAAAAAUAUAAAAUCAUUAAAAAACCGAGCAAAAAUGAACUUACAAUUGAACGUUGAAGUAGUCAAAAUUUUCAAGCCCUAAAAUGGAUUUCUCCAUGCUUCAUUCAGCCAAGAAGAUCAAUGAAACAAAAACCUUUAUGUUUUGUUUUAAUUAAUAUUAAUCUUUAAUUAUUACUUUACCUUUUUAACCAUAAAAUAAAACCAUUAAAAUCACAUAAUAGUUGUCCAUAAUUGUCCAAUCAUGCCAUUAGUGGUAUAAUUACAACAUAAGGACCUGAAAUUUAAGGUUCUGUAUCUAUUAAACACUUUUAGCUAAUAGAACUCCACUUUUACACUUUACGCAAUUUAGUCCUUUUUACCGAAUUAAGCAUUCAAACAAUAAAAUUACUUCACGAAAUUUUCACACAAUCAUAUAUUCAUGUUGUAGACCUUAAAUUAAUAAUAAAAUAAAUAUUUCAGCCUCGAAUUUGUGGUCCCGAAACCACUGUUCUAAUUUGACUAAAAACAGGCUAUUACAUUUAAAUUAUGUAAUUUUUUAUGAAAUGGUUUAUCAUGUAACACCCCAAACCCGACUUAGAUGUUAUGGCCGAAUCCGGAUGUGUCACAUGAAAUGGGUUGGAAAAUCGUUGUCGUUAAGUUAAAAUCUUUCCAGUGCAUUAGCCUUUCUCGCUCUUAUUAAUUUCAAAGCUCUCUUUCAUUUGAUCAUUUAGAGAUAAAAAAGUGUUUUUAGCAGAAGCUUAUAAAAUCGUUAAGUUUAGGAAAAAUCGUUUGAUAUUUUUAGAAAACAUGUCUUAGAUAAAAACCAUUAUAAUGAAAAGUAAGUUAAAUCCAAACCCAAAAACCCAAUAAAGCAGUUUAAAAUAGUUCAGAGAGUCCUAAAAAAUACAACUCUCAUCAAUGCCAAGAUUGAAUAAAAACUGUAAACAUAAUAAAAUAAGACAGUUAUGGCGAGUGGUCACCAUUGAGUCCUCCGCUAUACCAAUCCGCCUAACUCUAUGGAUUACUAAACAAAAUAAGCAGAAAGGAGUGAGUUAACGUAAACUUAGUGUAAGUCAGAGUCAAUUAGAGACAAAUCUGGGCCUGAUCCCAUCACAGAUACAAAUGCAUAUUCGGGCUUAAGCCCAUUUCAGAUACAGAUACAUAUUUGGGCCUAAGCCUAUUUCAAAUACAGAUAUAGAUAUACACAUUAGAAUCAGAAAGCAAUAUCCUACCCCCAUUCUCUACACACCAUCUCCAACCAACCUUACAAACCAUGUGCGGUGUAAAACACCCACCCAGCCCUACACACUAUGAUGUAUCGAUGUGGCACAUAUCAGAAAUAGUAGAUAUAUUGCAGCCAUGCUGCUAGAUAUUAGGCAUAAUCUGCCUUUCAGACACUUCCUCCAAAAAUAUAUCAUCCCAACCACCAAAUUCAGAUAUCAGAACAUACAUAAAUAACUUAUAGGUAGUCAUGCUUUCGAAAACAAAUAACAGACAAUCAUACCAAUCAAUCAUCAAACAUGCUCAGAAUAGCAUAUCAGUUAAUUAGAUCAUACAAUUUAUGGUUUAGUUAGAUCUUACCGAGCCUAUAGUAGGUCCAUAGUCGUUUGACGACCCGUGCAACCCUGGGAAAAACUCAAAUAAACAGGCCCACAUGCCUGUGUGGGCCCACACGCCCAGAUUGUCCUUGCCGAUGUAGCCCACAUAGCCCAUCUUGGCCUAGCCUGUAUGGCCCACAUGUCCACACUUGAGCCACCACAUGGCCAUGCGCUACGCAGUGCCAUGCCUUCAUCGAUCAUACGGUCGUGUUGUCUCACAUGGCCUACCACACUGGUGACCACACACCCGUGUGGCGUCAAUAGUGGGAUUUUUUGGCUUUUGUCGAGACCUCAUUUUUUGCAUUUUGGGUACACACCUGGUUCGUUUAAGAUGCUACAGCAAUCCCAACGCUCAAAAUUAGACUUAAUACACGAUUAAUUUAUAACUACGAAACCAAUAUCAACACAAAAACUUACUCUAACACCCCAAAUGAUUCGAUUACGAUUCUGAACUAAGUGAGCCCCUUUCCUCUCGAUUUGAUACCGCCAAAAUAGACAGUGAGGUUCUAAACGGAUGCUUUCGAAACAUAAACAGAAAUAGAUUUAAGGAACCUCUAAUCAAGCAAUUCAUUCUAUGCCCAUAUACCUUAACCGAACAAAGAAUCCCCAAAAUUACAAGAACAACAAUGAAAACUUAAAAGUGAUGAGCAAAAUUGAAGAAACAAUAAGAGUCAAAACUUUACCUGGAAAGGGAAAAAAGUCAAAAAGAAAAAGAUAAAGAGAUUUUUAGGGAAAAAACAAAAAGAAAUAAAUAUAUAUGAUAGCAUAUCCCUAGAUUCUCCCGCCACUAACUCAACUUCCUUAGACUUCCCACUCGAUCAAAACUCUAUCAGAUUACGAAACAAAAUAUCACCUAGGGAUUCGAACUUAGGACCUCCAGCACAACACAUAGACUCCCUUACCAUUCGAACCAGUACACUCAUUCUGAGAUGGUUUUACAAAAAAAUUAAUAUAAGCCCACUCCCCAAACGCCAGGCUUAAAUCAAAAAAAUAUCAAAAUUUGCCAAAAGUAGGGCUUGAACUUGGUACCUCCCACACAUACCUAAAACACUUAACCUCUGAAGUCGAUACACAUUUGUGUCACAUUUUCACAAAAGCAGAAGUAAGAAUUUUGGGGCGUUACAAUUCUUCCCUUAAAUGAACUUUUGACCACGAAAUUUAGCUGAUCAGAAUAGAUGAGGAUACUGUUGACACAUCAAUCCUGAAGUUCCUACGUGGCCUCCUUAGUGCUAUGAUUUUUGCACAGAACCUUCACUAAUGGACUGGGAUUCCUCCUUAAAACCUUAACAUCUCGAUCCGAGAUCUGAACCAGCUCAUUCUCAAAUUUCAAGUUCGGCCUAACCUCUAUCUCCUCAACUGAGAUGACAUGGGAUGGGUCAGAACAGUACUGCCUCAACAUCGAGAUGUGUUUUGUGAAACACAUCAUGAAUACAGUCCAGUUCAGGGGGUAACUCCAACUGAUAAACAACUGGUCCCACGCAUUUUAGAAUCUAGUACGAUCCAAUAAACCUAAGGCUCAGCUUGCCCUUACGACCAAACCUCAGAACCUUCUUCCACGAAGACACCUUAAGAAAAAAAAAGUCCCCCACAGAGUACUCAAUCUCACGUCUCUUCAGAUCCGCUUAGGAUUUCUAUCUAUCAAAAGCCACUUUUAGAUGAUCUCGAAUCAGUCAAACCUUAUCCUCUGUCUCAGAAACCAGCUCAGGACCCAAAAGCUGAAGUUCACCUAACACAGUCCAACAUAGUGAAGUACAACACUUAGGACCAUACAGAGCCUCGUAAGGUGCCAUCUGGAUACUAGACUAGAAACUAUUAUUAUAGGCGAACUCAGCCAGCGAUAGAUAAUCCUCCCAACUACCUCGAAAAUCAAUCACACAACUCCGAAGCAUAUCCUCCAGUAUCUAAAUCACCCUCUCAGAUUGACCAUUGGUCUAAGGAUGGAACACAGUACUGAUGUACAAUCUUGAACCCAGAGCCUCCUGCAAUUUCUUCCAGAAUUGAGAAGUAAAGUGAGGAUCUCUAUCAGAAAUGAUCGAGAUCAGAAUUCCAAGUAGUCUUACUAUCUCAAAAAUGUACAACUUUACUAGCUUUUGCAUAAAAUAAUCAGUCUAAACCAGUAUAAAGUGAGUAGACUUGGUCAAUCGAUCUACGAUGGGUCAAACAGAAUCCUUCUUUAUGGGUGUCAAGGGCAACCCACUAACAAAAUCCAUCGUCACUCAUUCCCACUUCCAUUGGGGAAUCUUAACCGGCUAUAACAAACUUGAAGGCAACUGGUGUUCAGCCUUAACCUGCUGACACGUCAAACAUUGAGCCAUAGAAUCUGUGACCUCUCGUUUCAAACCCAGCCACCAAUAUAACUGUAACACCCCGUACCCGAGUCCGUCGCCGGAGUUAGACACGAGGGGUUUGCAGACUUAAAUCACUUCUUUGCACAAUCCAUUUUAAAUUUUCUAGGCAAGCUGGCUAACUGCAUCACUGUCACCUUAAAAAUCAUAUCUUGAGUUUAACAACUCAAAAAUCAGUUUCGUGAUUUUUCUCUGAAACGAGACUCAUAUAUGCAUCUAAAAAUUUUUUUCUAGAAUUUUUGGUUGGGCCAAUUAGUACAGUUUAUUAGUCAAAGUCUCCCAUGCUACAGGGAUCGACUACACUGACCUUUUCGCAUUACGACUUGAAUAUCUCCCUGUACAGGGCUUCAAUACUGAUUCUGUUUGUUUCUAUGGAAACUAGACUCAAAAAGGAAUCUAUGCAUAUAUGGCAUGACUUCUAAUUAUCUCGGGUUAAUUUAUAAUGAGUUUCCAAAGUCGGAACAGGGAAUCCAGAAACCGUUCUGGCCCUGUCUCACGAGAACCUGAAUAUCUCUUAACAUACUGUUCAUAUUAUCGUUUCAUUACUUUCCAAUGAAAAUAGAUUCAUCAAGGUUCGUUUACAUAAUUUAUUCACUAUUUAAUUCCAUUCCUACUAUUUUUAGUGAUUUUCCAAAUCUACAUCACUGCUGCUGUCAGCAUCUGCCUUUAAGGUAGACUUUACCUAUUUCAUAGUUUCCAUGAUUCAACUAGCCCUUUUAGCAUAAAUAGCACAAAUUAUGAUACUGAUUAACCAUUCCCAUGGCCAAUCCUUGUUAAGCAUAUCUACACCUCUCAAUAACCAUAUCCAUACCAAAUGAUUAUAACAUUAUGCUCAAACAUAUAUAAGCCAUUUUCGCAUGGCUAUCCAAAAUUAUACAAAUCCAAAGGGUCCAUGACCCACAACAAAAAGGGUAGUCCUAUACAUGCCAUUUCAAAGUUCAACCAAAAGUGUACCAAAAGGGGCUUUGAUAGUGUGGGCGACUUCGACUUCAAAAUUCCCGAGUCCGAUAGCUGACGAACCAAAAUCUAUAAAAUAGAGAAUCAAAGAAAUGGAGUAAACAUUUAGUGCUUAGUAAGUUUGAGCAAAGAAAUUAAGCACGACUGAAAUAUAGCAUUCAUAUAACUAAACGGAUAAUUUCAUAUGCACAAAUUCUCAAUAUCAUAAUUACUUCACAUUACCAACCCUUAUAUUCACACACAAAAUAUCAACUUAGCCAAGGCCAGAAACUCAUAAAUUUACUAAGCGAAUAUUAUUCGAAGGGAAUCAACUAUUCCAAUGCACACACAAAACAUACCUCAUUGUUGGGAUUUUACAAGCGUAUUAACUGAAACUUUUACAGCAAGAUUGCUCAUUCCCGAAUCACGUACCUUCGGAAUUUAACUGGAUAUAGCAACUCGUUCAAAUGCCAUCGGGACAUAGCCCUGUUACAGUAACUCGCACAAAUGCCUUCGGGACUUAACCCGGAUUUAGUAACUCGUAACAAUGCCUUCGGGCUUAGCCCAGAAUUAGUAACUCGCACAAAUGCUUUCGGAUCUUAGUCCGAACAUAGUCACUUAGCACAAAGCCUUCGGGUCUUAGCCCGGACAUCAUUUGAAUAACCAUGCACAUUUAUCAAUAAAUCAUGACACAUCCGUAUUUCAUUUUCAUUACCAAAGCUCAAACACAAGACACUUAUCACACUUGCAAUUUCGGCUCAAUAGCCACAUACAAAGAGCAUGAUUUUGAUUCGCUUAAAAUAUGAUCUAAUCAAUCCACCAUCACAUGUAUCAUUAACAAGCUUCACAUUUAGCAUGCAAUGACAUUAACACAAAAUCCACCUUGGCCAAAUAUCAUCUCCAUGACAUAGCAAAGAUUUGAACCAUGGCUAAUUAGAACUCAAGCUAGCAACUAAAAACAUGCAUGAAUCUCAUGGCACAACAUCAACAUACCUUAAUCUAGAUACAAGUAUGGCCGAACCUCCUCCUAAUCCUCUUCCAAACCAAACAUGAAGCAAGAACUCCUUCCUUCUUCCUUAGAAUUUUCGGCCAAGGAUGAACCAAAGGAUGAACACUUUUUUUUUGUUUUCUUUUCUUCCACUCACGGCAAUAGGGGGACAAUCACACACAUUCUUUCCUUUUUUUUUUCCAUUUCUUUAUUACCCAUACUCCUUAUUUUAUUUUUUCUAACAUACAUCACUAACAUAACAUGUUUGUGACAUGUUUCCACUCAUAGCAUGGCCGGCCACUAAGCUUAAAUUUGGUUUAAUUGACAUGCAAACCCAUCAUUUUCACAACAUGCAUUAAUAGGCCAUUUCACAUUUGCCUAGCACAUUUCUAAAUUUUCUCACAUAAGUCCUAUUUGACAAAAUUCACUUACAAUUGACAAAAUUCAAACAUGAAAUUUUCACACAUGCAUAUAUACAUAUAAUAAGCAUCAAAUAUGACAGCUAAUUAUUUUUAUGACUCGGUUUUGUGGCCCCGAAACCACUUCCCGACUAGGGUCACUUUAGGGCUAUCACAACUCUCCCCCACUUAAGAAAUUUUCGUCCCCGAAAAUCUUGCCGGUAAAUAGUUUUGGGUAUCGUUCUUUCAUAGAAUUCUUGGUUUCCCAAGUAGCUUCUUCGAUACCGUGUUUGAGCCAUAACACUUUUACUAACGGAACCCUUUUGUUUCGCAACUCUUUCACUUCACGAGCUAGGAUACGAUCGGUUCUUCUUCAUAACUCAAGUCAGAUUGAAUUUCAACUUCUGAUGGAUUAAUCACGUGUGACGGAUCGGAUCUAUAACGUCGAAGCAUCGAAACAUGAAAGACGUCGUGAAUCUUUUCAAGUUCAGGGGGCAAAAUCAAUCUAUACGCAACUGGACCAACUCGUUCGGAGAUUUCGUACGGCUCAAUGAAUCUCGGGCUCAACUUGCCCUUACGGCCAAAUCUGAGUAUCUUUUUCCAAGGCGAAACUUUAAGAAACACUUUAUCUCCCACCUGAUACUCAAUGUCUUUUCGUUUCAAGUCCGCGUACGACUUCUGGCGAUCUGUGGCUGCCUUCAGACUCUCACGAAUUAUUUUUACUUUCUGUUCAGCAUCUUUAAUCAAAUCAACUCUGAAAAUUUUACUUUCACCGAGCUCGGUCCAAAACAAUGGUGUACGGCAUUUACGACCGUACAAAGCCUCGAAAGGUGCCAUCUUAAUACUUGAUUGAAAACUGUUGUUGUAAGCGAAUUCAAUCAAAGGUAAAUACCGUUCCCAUGAACCACUGAACUCGAGGAUGCAACAUCUCAACAUAUCCUCAAGUAUCUGAAUUAUCCGCUCGGAUUGACCAUUGGUUUGGGGGUGAAAAGCGGUGCUAAAGUGCAGCUUGGUACCCAAAGCUUCUUGCAAUUUCUUCCAAAAUCGCGAGGUGAAUCUCGGAUCUCUAUCCGACACAAUAGAAAUCGGUACCCCGUGUAAUCUCACAAUCUGAGAAACAUACAAUUCAGCUAGUUUAUCCAAUGAAAAAUCUGUACGUACGGGGAUAAAAUGAGCCGACUUAGUCAUUCUAUCAACAACAACCCAAAUCGCAUCUUUCUUACUUGUCGACGGUGGCAACCCAGACACAAAAUCCAUCGUGACUCGAUCCCAUUUCCAUUCAGGUAUCAUAAUCGGCUGAAGUAAACCCGUAGGCACUUGAUGUUCCGCCUUUACUUGCUGACAUAUUAAACACUUCGAAACAAAAUCGGAAUGUCUCGUUUCAUACCAUGCCACCAAAACUAACGUCUCAGAUCGUUGUACAUUUUCGUACUCCCCGGGUGAAUCAACAUUCGGCUACAAUGAGCGUCGUUCAGAAUCAUCGAAAUAAGUUCUGAAUUUCUUGGAACACACAAAUGAUUUCUGAACCUCAAGAUAUCGUCAUCAUCAACUUGAAACUCUGAUUCCACAUUCGGAACACAUUCAGCCUAUUUUGCAACCAAUUCAUCAUCGACUUUCUGAGCCUCACGAAUUUGAGGAAUCAAUAAUGGUUUGGCUUUUAAUUCAGCUACUAACACAUUGUCGGGUAGAACAGACAAGUGUACAUUCGUCGCUCGUAAAGCGAACAGUGAUUUACGACUUAAGGCAUCCGCAACCACAUUAGCUUUUCCCGGGUGAUAGUCAAUGACAAGCUCAUAAUCCUUUAACAACUCGAGCCAACAUCUUUGUUCUAGAUUUAAGUCUCUUUGAGUCAUCAAAUAUUUGAGACUUUUGUGAUCCGAAAAUACAUGGCACUUUUCACCAAAUAAGUAAUGUCGCCAUAUUUUUAAAGCGAAUACGAUGGCAGCUAGUUCGAGAUCAUGGGUCGGAUAAUUUUUCUCAUGUGGCUUUAAUUGUCUCGACGCAUAGGCCACAACUCGACCUUCUUGCAUCAAUAUGCAACCUAACCCAAGUAGGGACGCAUCACUAUAAAUGACAAACUCUUUGCCUGAUUCGGGCUGCACUAGAAUUGGAGCUUCGGUCAAAUAAGUUUUCAGUUGAUCAAAACUUUUCUGACAUUUUUCCGUCCAUUCGAACUUAACAUAUUUUUGAAGUAGCUUCGUCAUCGGUGUGGCUAUCAUCGAGAAACCUUUUACAAACCGUCGGUAGUAACCGGCAAGCCCCAAAAAGGUCCAAACCUCAGUAAUAUUUCUCAGAGGCUUCCAGUUAAGUAUGACUGAAAUUUUGUUCGGGUCAACUCGAAUACCCGAUGCGGAUACCACGUGGCCCAAGAAGCUAACCUCUCUUAACCAGAACUCACACUUACUAAACUUAGCAUAUAACUGCUUAUCCCGUAAAAUUUGCAACACUAAUCUCAGGUGCUCAGCAUGUUCGGUCUCAUCUCUUGAAUAGACCAAGAUGUCAUCAAUAAACACAACUACGAACCGGCCCAAAUACUGUCUGAAGAUCCGAUUCAUCAGAUCCAUAACUACCGCAGGGGCAUUAGUGAGCCCAAACGGCAUCACUAAGAACUCGUAGUGGCCGUAUCUCAUUCUGAAAGCAGUUUUGGGUAUAUCCGAAUCUCGAAUUCGCAACUGAUAAUAACCCGAUCUCAAAUCUAUCUUUGAAAACACUGAGGCUCCCUUUAAUUGAUCAAACAAAUCAUCAAUACGCGGUAUCGGAUAUUUAUUCUUUAUUGUCACUUUAUUCAGCUGACGAUAGUCGAUGCACAACCACAUGGUUCCGUCCUUCUUCUUCAAGAACAAUACUGAUGCACCCCAAGGUGAGAAACUUGGUCGAGCGAAACCUCAUCAGUCAACUCUUGCAACUGAGCUUUCAACUCCUUUAACUCGGUUGGUGCCAUACGAUACAGAGCUAUCAAAAUCGGCGUAGUCCCCGGUACAAGCUCAAUACCAAACUUUACCUCCCGCACAGGUGGUAAACCCGGUAAUUCUUCGGGAAAAACAUCCGGGUAUUCACAAACCACCGGCACAGAUUCGGGUUUCUUUUCUAACUCUUUGUCAUCAAGUACAUACGCAAGGUAUGCUUCGCACCCUUUUUUUACAUAUUUCUGAGCCGACAUUGAUGAUAUUACAGCUGGCAACCCCUUUAAGUCCGUAGACUCAACUCGGAUUAUCUCGUUACUUGCGCACCUCAAAUCAAUAGUCUUACUUUUGCAAUUCACAACCGCAUCAUGCACGGUCAACCAAUCCAAACCAAGAAUAACAUCAACUUCAUCAAACGGCAAAAGCAUCAAGUCCGCCGGAAAACAGGAACCUCGAAUUACUAGGGGGCAUUUCUUACACACUUUGUCGACAAGCACGUAACGACCCAAGGGAUUUGAUACCCGAAUUACGAACUCAGUAGACUCAAUAGGUAAAGUCUUUCUGGAUGCUAAGGUUUCGCAUAUAUAAGAAUGAGUAGAACCAGGGUCAAUCAAAGCAAUCACUUUAGUAUCAAAGAGAGUAAAAGUACCCGUAAUAACAUCUGGCGAGGAAGCAUCUUCGCGUGCGCGUAUAGCAUAAGUCCUAGCAGGAGCACGAGCCUCAAAUCUGGUCGUAGCAUCUCUAGAUCCUCUCUGACCACCACUAGCAUUGCCCGUAUUUCUGGAUGGUCUACCUCGAGCAGUGGUAGCACCCGGUUUCCCGCUCUGAUUUAUAUUCUGUUCAGACAACCUCGGGCAAUCUUUAAUGAAGUGGUCAACUGAUCCGCACUUGUAACAGGAGCGAUCAUGGAAUCUACAACUCCCCGAAUGCCAUUUACCACAAACUGGCACUCCGCUCUGUCCCGACGAUCAUUUCCAACACUAGCGACCGAAGUGACUUGUGCACUCAUAGGGGGUCGAUCGCGAUCUCGUCUAGAAAAGCCUGAAGUGUCUCCAGACCGGCCUAAGCCAUCUCUAAAUUUCUUCGAUGACUGUGGGAAGGGCUUCCCCGAAGACCUCUUACGAAACUCCCUUGCUCCCACCUCAGCUUUUCUUUUCUCCAUACUGAGCUCCUCGGCUUUACAAGCUCGCUCGACAAGUACCACAAAUUCUCAGAUUUCUAACAUGCCAACAUACAGCUUUAUGUCAUCAUUCAGUCCAUCUUCGAAACGUUUACACAUCACAGCUUCUGAAGAAAUGCAUUCUCACGCAUACCGGCUAAGCCUCACGAAUUUUCGUUCAUAGUCGGUAACCGACAUGGAACCUUGUUUGAGUUCAAGAAAUUCCUUUCGUUUUUGGUCAAUGAAUCUCUGACUGAUAUACUUCUUUCGAAACUCAGUUUGGAAGAAUUCCCAAGUUACUUGCUCUCUAGGCACAACAGAAGUCAAUGUAUUCCACCAAUAGUAGGCAGAAUCACGUAGCAAAGAGAUAGUACACUUUAGGCACUCAUCGGGUGUGCAAGAUAGCUCGUCGAGUACCUGGAUAGUGUUGUCCAACCAAAAUUCAGCUUGCUCGGCAUCAUCGCUGUCCGUAGCUUUAAAUUCAGUAGCCCCGUGUUUUCGGAUUCUGUCAACUAGGGGCUUAUUUGACCUUAUUUGGUCCAUUACCGGAGGUAUUGUAGGUGCGGGGGUGGUAUUUGUCGGGAAUGGAGGUUGUGGAACAGCCGUAUUAGUUCGAAUGUAUUGGUUGAACCAAUCAUUCAUCACGCUAUAGAAAGCUUGUCUAGCCUCAUCAUUCGGAUUACUAGCAAUAGGAUGAGAGUCCGCCGGAGCUGUCCCUUGUGCGGGAGAAGGCGCUACACUCUCAAGAUCAUCAGCUACCGCUCGGUCAGGAUCGGGAUCCAUUACUAUAAAUAAACACAUUUGCAAAUGUCAGAAAUCACCACACUAUCAAAUAAUCACAUAAAAUGGCAUGUAUAGCUAGACCCAACGCAUUACAGUAGUCCUAGAAUCGACUAAACCGUAGCUCUGAUACCAAUAAAAUUGUAACACCCCGUACCCGAGUCCGUCGCCGGAGUCGGACACGAGGGGUUUGCAGACUUAAAUCACUUCUUUGCACAAUCCAUUUUAAACUUUCCAGGCAAGCUGGCUAACUGCGUCACUGUCACCUUAAAAAUCAUAUCUUGAGUUUCACAACUCGAAAAUCAGUUUCGUGAUUUUUUCCUGAAACUAGACUCAUAUAUGCAUCUACAAAUUUUUUCCUAGAAUUUUUUGUCUGGUCAAUUAGUACAGUUUAUUAGUCAAAGUCUCCCAUGUAACAGGGAUCGACUACACUGACCUUUGCGCAUUACGACUUGGAUAUCUCCCUGUACAGGGCUUCAAUACUGAUGCCGUUUAUUUCUAUAGAAACUAGACUAAAAAAUGAAUCUAUUCAUAUAUGGCAUGACUUCUAAUUAUCUCUGGUUAAUUUAUAAUGAGUUUCCAAAGUUGGAACAGGGAAUCCAGAAACCGUUCUGGCCCUAUCUCACGAGAACCUGAAUAUCUGUUAACAUACUGUUUAUAUGAUCGUUUCAUUACUUUCCUAUGAAAAUAGAUUCAUCAAGGUUCGUUUAAAUAAUUUAUUCACUAUUUAAUUCCAUUCCUACUAUUUUUAGUGAUUUUCCAAAUCUACAUCACUGCUGCUGUCAGCAUCUGCCUUUAAGGUAGACUUUCCCUAUUUCUUAGUUUCCAUGAUUCAACUAGCCCUUUUAGCAUAAAUAGCACAAAUUAUGAUAGUGAUUAACCAUUCCCAUGGCCAAUCCUUGUUAAGCAUAUCCACACCUCUCAAUAACCAUAUCCAUACCAAAUGAUUAUAACAUUAUGCUCAAACAUAUAUAAGCCAUUUUCGCAUAGCUAUCAAAAUUAUACAAAUCCAAAGGGUCCAUGACCCACAACAAAAAGGGUAGUCCUAUACAUGCCAUUUCAAAGUUCAACCAAAAGUGUACCAAAAGGGGCUUUGAUAGUGUGGGCGACUUCGACUUCAAAAUUCCUGAGUCCGAUAGCUGACGAACCAAAAUCUAUAAAACAGAGAAUCAAAGAAACGGAGUAAACAUUUAGUGCUUAGUAAGUUUGAGCAAAGAAAUUAAGCACAACUGAAAUAUAGCAUUCAUAUAACUAAACGGAUAAUUUCAUAUGCACAAAUUCUCAAUAUCAUAAUUACUUCACAUUACCAACCCUUAUAUUCACACACAAAAGAUCAACUUAGCCAAGGCCGGAAACUCAUAAAUUUACUAAGCGAAUAUUAUUCGAAGGGAAUCAACUAUUCCAAUGCACACACGAAACAUACCUCAUUGUUGGGAUUUUACAAGCGUAUUAACUGAAACUUUUACAUCAAGAUCGCUCAUUCCCAAAUCACGUACCUUCGGAAUUUAACCGGAUAUAGCAACUCGUUCAAAUGCCUUCGGGACAUAGCCCGGUUAUAGUAACUCGCACAAAUGCCUUCGAGACUUAACCCGGAUUUAGUAACUCGCACCAAUGCCUUCGGGCUUAGCCCGGAAUUAGUAACUCGCACAAAUGCCUUCGGAUCUUAGUCCGGAUAUAGUCACUUAGCACAAAGCCUUCAGGACUUAGCCCGGACAUCAUUUGAAUAACCAUGCACAUUUAUCAAUAAAUCAUGACACAUCCGUAUUUCAUUUUCAUUACCAAAGCUCAAACACAAGACACUUAUCACACUUGCAAUUUCGGCUCAAUAGCCACAUACAAAGAGCACGAUUUUGAUUCGCUUAAAAUAUGAUCUAAUCAAAUCAUAAUCUAAGUUCCAUUACUCGAAAACUUACCUCGGAUGUUGUCGAACGAUUUCGAUGGCUAUUCGACCACUUUUUCCUUCCCUUUAUCGGAUUUAGUUCCCCUUUGGUCUUGAGCUUAAUUUAACAAAUAAAUUGAUUUAAUCAUUUGAGCAUCGAAAAGAGGAACUCAAGGUACUUAGCCCAUAUAUAAUUCAUUAGACAUCAAAGUCACAUAUGUACGGAAUCAUGAAUCAAACUCAACACAUUAGUUAGUAUUCUCCUUAGCCGAAUUUUCUAAGUCAAGAUAAAUCCUUAAUAUGCUUACCUAUGGCCGAACAAACACAUCAACCUAUGUACUCAUUCAUGUGGCCGAAUAUGCAUGUUUAUGUUGAGGCCAAUUAUAUACUUAAUACCACACACAAAUGGCAUACAUUUUACUAACUAAUGCAUUACAUAUUAUAACUCAAUACGCAUCCAUCAUUUACUCCAUAACUGAAACACCAUCAUAUGAAAAUAUAUACCUUGAGAUAUUAUAUAUGUCAUGCCAAUACAUCAUGUGCAAACAUAUAUAUAUGUGUAAGAGCCGAAUCACAAGGUUGAUUAUAACCAAACAUAAACAUAAAUCCAAAACACAAAUCUUACCUACCAUGCAAUAAGCAUAACUCAUACUUAUGGAUAUACCAUGGCCGUAUACAUCACAACACCUUACCAUUUCAAUUUUGAUCAUGGUUAAACAAAGAACUUAAUGUCUCACUCAAAAAUGCUAAAAAGAAAAUCCAAGAGUUAAUCAAUCCACCAUCACAUGUAUCAUUAACAAGCUUCACAUUUAGCAUGCAAUGACAUUAACACAAAAUCCACCUUGGCUGAAUAUCAUCCCCAUGACAUAGCAAAGAUUUGAACCAUGACUAAUUAGAACUCAAGCUAGCAACUAAAAACAUGCAUGAAUCUCAUGGCACAACAUCAACAUACCUUAAUCUAGAUACAAGUAUGGCCGAACCUCCUCCUGAUCCUCUUCCAAACCAAACAUGAAGCAAGAACUCCUUCCUUCUUCCUUAGAAUUUUCAGCCAAGGAUGAACCAAAGGAUGAACACUUUUUUUUUGUUUUCUUUUCUUCCACUCACGGCAAUAGGGGGGACAAUCACACACAUUCUUUCCUUUUUUUUUCCAUUUCUUUAUUACCCAUACUCCUUAUUUUAUUUUUCCUAACAUACAUCACUAACAUAACAUGUUUGUGACAUGUUUCCACUCAUAGCAUGGCCGGCCACUAAGCUUAAAUUUGGGUAAAUUGACAUGCAAACCCAUCAUUUUCACAACAUGCAUUAAUAGGCCAUUUCACAUUUUCCUAGCACAUUUCUAAAUUUUCUCACAUAAGUCCUAUUUGAUAAAAUUCACUUACAAUUUACAAAAUUCAAACAUGAAAUUUUCACACAUGCAUAUAUACAUAUAAUAAGCAUCAAAUAUGACAGCUAAUUAUUUUUAUGACUCGGUUUUGUGGCCCCGAAACCACUUCCCGACUAGGGUCACUUUAGGGCUGUCACAAUAACUCACGAAGAUCACGAUACAUCUUAUUACCACCGGGAUGUAUAGCAUAAGAGCUAUUAUGUGCCUCCCUCAAAAUAGACUGCCUCAACUCCACAUCGUUUGGAACACAAAUCUGACCAUGGAAACAGAGUACCCCAUCAUUAUUCAGUCCAAAAUUAGAAGUGUUGGCACUCUCAACAUGACGGAACUGCAAACCCAAUGACUCAUUCCCAACCUAUUUAUCUCGAAUCUGAUUAAUCCAAGUAGGCUUAACUUGCAACUCGGCCAACAGACUCCCAUCAUCAAACAAACUGAGACGAGCAAACAUCACCCUUAAAUCAGUCAUCGCUCUAUGGCUUAGAGUAUCGGCCACCACAUUGGCCUUUCUAGGAUGGUACUAAAUGGUGCAGUCAUAAUCCUUCAGCAGCUCAAUCCAACAAUGCUGCCUAAGAUUCAGCUCCGUCUGAGUGAGGAGAUACUUAAGGCUCGUAUGAUCAGUAUUGAUGAUACACCUCUCACCAUACAAAUAGUGCCUCCAAAUUUUCAGUGCAAAGACCACAGCAACCAACUUGAGAUCAUGUGUCGGAUAGUUCCCCAGACUAACAUGUGAAGCAUCACUAUACACUACAAACUCCUUUCCAAACUCAGGCUGUAUCAGAACUGGAGCCUGAGUAAGAAUAGACUUGAGCUUCUCAAAGCUCGGUUGCUACACAUCAGUCCAAACAAAUGGUACAGCCUUACGCAGAAGCUUAGUCAAGAAAGCUGCAAUCAGAGAGAAUCCCUCAACAAACCGUUGAUAAUAAUCGGUAAAACCUAGAAAGCUGCGGAUCUCAGACACAUCCUUAGGCUGUUUCCAAUCCAGAAUAGCUUCAAUCUUUUGAGGAUCAACUUGAAUCCCUGUAACACCCCGUACCCGAGACCGUUGCUGGAGUCGGACACGAGGGGGUUCACAGACUAAUUUCGCUUACUAUCGUAGUCCAUUUUAAAAAUUUCCAGGCAGUUGGCUAACUGCGUCACUGUCACCUUAAAAAUCAUAUCUUGAUUUUCACAACUCGAAAAUCAGUUUUGUAAUUUUUUCCUGAAACUAGACUCAUAUACCCAUCUACAUAUUUUUUUCUAUAAUUUUUGGUCAGGCCAAUUAGUACAGUUUAUUAGUAAAAUUCUCCCAUGUUACAGGGAUCGACUACACUGACCUUUCUGCAUUACGACUUGGAUAUCUCCCUUCACAAAGCUUCAAUACUGAUUCUGUUUGUUUCUAUAGAAAAUAGACUCAGAGAGGAAUCUAUACAUAUAUGGAAUGACUCCUAACUAUCUCUGGUUAAUUUAUAAUGAAUUUCCAAAGUCGGAACAUGGAAUCCAGAAACCGUUCUGGCCGUGUCUCACGAGAACCUGAAUAUCUCUUAACAUACUGUCCAUAUGAUCAUUUCGUUACUUUCCUAUGAAAAUAGAUUCAUCAAGGUUCGUUUACAUAAUUUAUUCACUAUUUAAUUCCAUUCCUACUAAUUUUAGUGAUUUUCCAAAUCUACAUCACUGCUGCUGUCAGCAUCUGCCUUUAAGGUAGACUUUACCUAUUUCAUAGUUUCCAUGAUUCAACUAGCCCUUUUAGCAUAAAUAGCACAAAUUAUGAUAGUGAUUAACCAUUCCCAUGGCCAAUCCUUGUUAAGCAUAUCCACACCUCUCAAUAACCAUAUCCAUACCAAAUGAUUAUAACAUUAUGCUCAAACAUAUAUAAGCCAUUUUCGCAUGGCUAUCCAAAAUUAUACAAAUCCAAAGGGUCCAUGACCCACAACAAAAAGGGUAGUCCUAUACAUGCCAUUUCGAAGUUCAACCAAAAUUGUACCAAAAAGGGGGGGGCUUUGAUAGUGUGGGCGACUUCGACUUCAAAAUCCCGAGUCCGAUAGCUGAAGAACCAAAAUCUAUAAAACAGAGAAUCAAAGAAACGGAGUAAGCAAUUUAUGCUUAGUAAGUUUUGAGCAAGAGAUUCCAGCACAACAAAAGUAUAGCAUUCAUAUAGCUAAACGGAUAAUUUCAUAUACACAAAUUUUCGAUAUCAUACUUACUUUACAUUACCAACCCUUAUGUUCAUACAUAAAAGAUCAACUUAGCCAAAGGCCGGUAGCUCAUUUAUCAAUUGAGCGAAUACUUAUUUGUAAGGGCUCAACGAAUUCAAAACACAUACGAAACAUACCUCAAUGUUGGGAUGUUACAAGCGUAUUAACUGAAAUUUUUACAGCAAGAUCAUUCAUUCCCAAAUCACGUACCUUCAGAAUUUAACCGGAUAUAGCUACUCGUUCAAAUGCCUUCGGGACAUAGCCCUGUUAUAGUAACUCGCACAAAUGCCUUCGGAUCUUAGUCCGGUUAUAGUAACUCGCACAAAUGCCCUCGGAUCUUAGUCUGGAUAUGUAACUCGCAAAAAUGCCUUCGGAUCUUAGUCCGGAUAUGGUCACUUAGCACAAAGCCUUCGGGACUUAGCCCGGACAUCAUUCAAAUAACCAUGCACAUUUAACAAUAAAUCAUGGCACAUUCGUAUUUCAUUUACGUCAGCAAAACUCAAACACAAGACACUUAUCAUUCUUGCAAUUUCGGCUCAAUAGCCACACACAAAGAGCAUGAUUUUGAUUUGCUUAAAACAUGAUCUAAUCAAAUCAUAAUUUAAGCUCUAUUACUCAAGAACUUACCUCGGAUGUUGUCGAACGAUUCCGAUGGCUAUUCGACCACUUUUUCCUUCCCUUUAUCGGAUUUAGAUCCCCUUUGCUCUUGAGCUUAAUUAAACAAAUAAAUUGAUUUAAUCAUUUGAGCAUCGAAAAGAGGAACACAAGGCACUUAGCCCAUAUUUAUACAUUAGACAUUAAAGUCACAUACAUGUGAAAUCAUGCAUCAACUCAACAUAUUAUCCCACACUUCCUUUUAGCCGAUUGUCUAAGCCAAGAUAAAAACAUCAAUAUGCUUGCCUCUAACCGAAUACAUGCAACGCCAAUCCAUCUCAUGUGGCCGAAUAUGCAUGUCUACGUUGAGGCCAAUUAUAUACUUAGUACCACAUAUAAAUGACAUACAUUUUACUAACUAAUGCAUUACAUAUUAUAACUCAAUAUGCAACCAUCAUUUACUCCAUAACUAAACCACCACCAUAUAUAAACAUAUACCUUGGGAUGAUAUAUAUAUGUAUCAUACCAAUACAUCAUGUGCAAAUAUAUAUAUAUAUAUAUGCAAGAGCCGAAUCACAAGGCUGAUUAUAGCCAUCUCAUAUAUUUUCAUCCCAUACCCGAAUGCACAAGUACAUUAUAAUAGCUUCCAACUUAAUUCAUCAUAAAUUUCCCUUUUUUUUUUCAUGGCCGAGUGCUUCUUCUACACCAUUUACCUUCACAAAGCAUGAAUUUCAUCAUCCAACUUACAAGCUUACAAUCUCAUGAAGUUUAACCUCAUAGUACCUAUCAAACUCUCACUCAUUAGCUUCUAUCAUAAACCUCCAACAACACCAAAUAAACAUAUACUUCGUGGGUCUAUGGUAGAACCAAGAAAGGAACUCAUAGAUAUCAAGAUGUAAGCAACUACCAUUAUUCAUCUAAGUUUAGCAUGAAACACAAUCAUCACCCUUAUUAAUCUUUUAUAGCCGAAAACCAUACUCACCCCCAAAAUCAAAAUUUCAACAUGGUUUACAAAAAUCACUUGAUAACUCACUCAAUAUCAACUAAAAUUUCAAAAGCUAGUACAAACUUCCUUACCUUAAUAGUGACCUAAGAUGACCGAUUGCUUCACUCCCUUCUUCUUCCUUUCAAUUCGGCCAAGAAGAACCAAAGAACACAACUUGUUUUUCUUUCUUCCUUAGAACAUUCGGCCAAGAGAAAUGAAGAAAGAUGGACACUUUUUUUUUGUUUUCUUUCUUACAUUCACGGCAAUGGGGAGGGGAAGAAACAAUCACACAUUCUUUCCCUUUUCCAUUUCUUUAUUACCCAUACUCCUUAUUUUAUUGUUCCUAACAUACAUCACUAACAUAACAUGUUUGUGACAUGUUUCCACUCAUAGCAUGGCCGGCCACUAGCUCAAAUAUUGGGCAAUUUGACAUGCAAACCCACCAUUUCUAUAACAUGCAUUAAUAAGCCACUUUACAUUUGCCUAGCACAUUUCUAAAUUUUUUCACAUAAGUCCCAUUUACUAAAAUUCACCUACAAUUAAACAAAAUUCAAAUAUGAAGUUUUCACACAUGCAUAUAUACAUACAAUAAGCAUCAAAUGUGACAGCUAAUUAUUUUUAUGACUCGGUUUAGCGGUCCCGAAACCACUUCCUGACUAGGGUCAAUUUUGGGCUAUCACAACUCUCCCCCACUUAAGAAAUUUUCGUCCCCGAAAAUCUUACCGAUAAAUAAGUUUGGGUAUCAUUCUUUCAUGGCAUUCUCGGUUUCCCAAGUAGCUUCUUCGACUCCGUGUUUGAGCCAUAAUACCUUUACUAACGGAACCCUUUUGUUUCGCAACUCCUUCACUUCACGAGCUAGGAUACGCAUCGGUUCUUCUUCAUAACUCAUAUCGGCUUGAAUUUCAACCUCUGAAGGGCUAAUUAUGUGCGAUGGAUCAAAUCUAUAGCGUCGAAGCAUCGAAACUUGAAAGACGUCGUGAAUCUUUUCAAGUUCAGGGGGCAAAAUCAAUCGAUACGCAACUGGACCAACUCGUUCGGAGAUUUCGUACGGCCCAAUGAAUCUCGGACUCAACUUGCCCUUACGGCCAAAUCUGAGUACCUUUUUCCAAGGCAAAACUUUAAGAAACACUUUAUCUCCCACCUGAUAUUAAUGUCUUUUCGUUUCAAAUCCGCAUACGAUUUCUGACGAUCUGUGGCUGCCUUCAGACUUUCACGGAUUACCUUUACUUUCUGUUCGGCAUCUUUAAUCAAAUCAACUCCGAAAAUUUUACUUUCACCGAGCUCGGUCCAAAACAAUGGUGUACGGCAUUUACGACCGUACAAAGCCUCGUAAGGUGCCAUCUUAAUACUUGAUUGAAAACUAUUGUUGUAAGUGAAUUCAAUCAAAGGUAAAUACCGUUCCCAUGAACUACUGAACUCGAGGAUGCAACAUCUCAACAUAUCCUCAAGUAUUUGAAUUAUCUGCUCGGAUUGACCAUCGGUUUGGGGGUGAAAAGCAGUGCUAAAAUGUAGCUUGGUACCCAAAGCUUCUUGCAAUUUCUUCCAAAAUCGUGAGGUGAAUCUCGGAUCUCUAUCCGACACGAUAGAAAUAGGUACCCCGUGUAAUCUCACAAUCUGAGAAACGUACAAUUCAGCUAGUUUAUCCAAUGAAAAAUCCGUACGCACGGGGAUAAAGUGAGCCGACUUAGUCAGUCUAUCAACAACAACCCAAAUCGCAUCCUUCUUACUUGCUGACAAUGGCAGUCUGGACACAAGGUCCAUUGUGACUCGAUCCCAUUUUCACUCAGGUAUCAUGAUCGGCUGAAGUAAUCCUGAAGGCACUUGAUGUUCCGCUUUCACUUGUUGACAUAUUAAACAUCUCGAAACAAAGUCGGAGAUGUCUCGUUUCAUACAAUGCCACCAAAAUCGACGUUUCAAAUCGUUGUACAUUUUCGUACUCCCCGGGUGAAUUGACAUUCGGCUACAAUGGGCUUCGUUCAGAAUCAUCGAAAUGAGUUCUGAAUUUCUUGGAACACACAACCGACUUCUGAACCUCAAACAAUCGUCAUCAUCAAUUUGAAAUUCAGAUUCCAUAUUCGAAACACAUUCAGCCCGUUUUGCAACCAAUUCAUCGUCGACUUUCUGAGCUUCACGAAUUUGACGAAUCAAUAAUGGUUUGGCCUUUAAUUUAGCUACUAACACAUUGUCGGGUAGAACAGACAAGUGCACAUUCAUCGCUCGUAAAGCAAACAAUGAUUUCUGGCUUAAGGCGUCCGCAACCACAUUAGCCUUUCCCAGGUGGUAAUCAAUGACAAGCUCGUAAUCUUUCAACAACUCAAGCCAACGUCUUUGUCGCAGAUUUAAGUCUUUUUGAGUCAUCAAAUAUUUGAGACUUUUGUGAUCCGAAAAUACAUGGCACUUUUCACCAAAUAAGUAAUGUCGCCAUAUUUUUAAAGCGAAUACGAUGGCAGCUAGUUCGAGAUCAUGGGUUGGAUAAUUUUUCUCAUGUGGCUUUAAUUGUCUCGACGCAUAGGCCACCACUCGACCUUCUUGCAUCAAUACGCAACCUAACCCAAGUAGGGAUGCGUCACUAUAAAUGACAAACUCUUUGCCUGAUUCGGGUUGCACAAAAAUUGGAGCUUCAGUCAAAUAAGUUUUCAGUUGAUCGAAACUUUUCUGACAUUUCUCCGUCCAUUCGAACUUAACAUCCUUUUGAAGUAGCUUCGUCAUUGGUGUGGCUAUCAUCGAGAAACCUUUGACAAAUCGUCGGUAAUAACCGGUGAGUCCCAAAAAGCUCCGAACCUCAGUAAUAUUUCUCGGAGGCUUCCAGUUAAGUAUGGCUGAAAUUUUGUUCGGGUCAACUCGAAUACCCGAUGAGGAUACCACAUGACCCAAGAAGCUAACCUCUCUUAACCAGAACUCACACUUACUGAACUUAGCAUAUAACUGCUUAUCCCGCAAAAUUUGCAACACUAGUCUCAGGUGCUCAGCAUGUUCGGUCUCAUCUCUUGAAUAGACCAAGAUGUCAUCAAUGAACACAACUACAAACCGAUCCAAAUAUGGUCUGAAGAUCUGAUUCAUCAAAUCCAUAAAUACCGCAGGGGCAUUAGUGAGUCCAAACGGCAUCACUAAGAACUCGUAGUGACCAUAUCUCAUUCUGAAGGCAGUUUUGGGUAUGUCUGAAUCUCGAAUUCGCAACUGAUAAUAGCCCGAUCUCAAAUCUAUUUUUGAGAACACUAAGGCUCCCUUCAGUUGGUCGAACAAAUCAUCGAUACGCGGUAACGGAUAUUUGUUCUUUAUUGUCACUUUAUUCAGCUGACGAUAGUCAAUGCACAACCUCAUGGUUCCGUCCUUCUUUUUCACGAACAAUACUGGUGCACCCCAAGGUGAUAAACUUGGUCGAGCGAAACCUCUAUCCGUCAAUUCUUGCAACUGAGCUUUCAACUCUUUUAACUCGGUUGGUCCCAUACGAUACGGAGCUAUCGAAAUCGGCGUAGUCCCAGGUACAAGCUCAAUACCAAACUCUAUCUCCCGAACAGGUGGUAAACCCGGUAAAUCUUCAGGAAAAACAUCCGGGUAUUCACAAACCACCGGCACAGAUUCGGGUUUCUUUUCUAAUUCUUUGUCAUCAAGUACAUACGCAAGGUAUGCUUCGCACCCUUUUCUUAGAUAUUUCUGGGCCAACAUUGAGGAUAUUACAACUGGCAACCCCUUUAAGUCCGUAGACUCAACUCGGAUUAUCUCGUUAUUUGUGCACCUCAAAUCAAUAGUUUUGCUUUUGCAAUUCACAACCGCAUCAUGCGCGGUCAACCAAUCCAAACCAAGAAUAACAUCAAAUUCAUCAAAUGGCAAAAGCAUCAAGUCCGCCGAAAAAUAGGAACCUCGAAUUACUAGGGGACAUUUCUUACACACUUUGUCGACAAGCACGUAACGACCCAAGGGAUUUGACACCCGAAUUAUGAACUCAGUAGACUCAAUAGGUAAAGUCUUACUGGAUGCUAAGGUUUCACAUAUGUAAGAAUGAGUAGAACCGAGGUCAAUCAAAGCAAUUACAUUAGUAUCAAAGAGAGUAAAAGUACCGAUAAUAACAUCAGGCGAAGAAGCAUCCUCGCGGGCACGUAUAGCAAAAGCUCUAGCAGGCGCACAAGCCUCGGAUCUGGUCGUAGCAUCUCUAGAUCCUCUCUGACCACCACUAGCAUUGCCCGUAUUUCUAGAUGGUCUACCUCGAGCAGUGGUAGCACCCGGUUUCCCACUCUGAUUUACAUUCUGUUCAGACGACCUCGGGCAAUCUUUAAUGAAGUGGUCAACUGAUCCGCAGUUGUUACAGGAGCGGUCAUGGAAUCUACAACUCCCUGAAUGCCAUUUACCGCAAUAUCGACAUUCCGUUCUGUCUCGACGUUCAUUCCCAACACUGGCGACCGAAGUGCCUCGUGUACCCACAGGGGGUCGAUCACGAUCUCGUCUAAAAAGGCCCGAAGUGCCUCUAGACUGGCCCACAUCAUCUCGAAAUUUCUUCGAUGCCUGUUGAAGAGACUUUCCCGAGGAUCUUUUACGAAACUCUCCAGUUCCCACAUCAACUUUUUGUUUUUCUUUUCUAAGCUCUUCGGCUUUACAAGCUCGCUCGAUAAGUACUACGAACUCUCGUAUUUCAAGAAUGCCAACGAACAUUUUUAUAUCUUCAUUCAGCCCAUCCUCGAACCGUUUACACAUGAUAGCCUCGGACGAAACACAUUCCCGAGCGUAUCUACUAAGUCUAACAAAUUUUUGCUCGUAAUCAGUAACCGACAUAGAACCUUGCUUAAGCUCAAGAAAUUCCUUCCGUUUUUGAUCAACAAAUCUCUGACUGAUAUACUUUUUCCGAAACUCAGUUUGGAAAAACUCCCAAGUUACUUGUUCUCGGGGCACAAAAGAAGUCAGAGUACUCCACCAAUAGUAGGCAGAAUCACGUAGCAAGGAGAUAGUACACUUUAGGCACUCAUCAGGUGUGCAGGAUAGCUCGUUGAGUACCCGGAUAGUGUUGUCCAACCAAAAUUCAGCUUGCUCGGCAUCAUCGCUGUCCGUAGCUUUAAAUUCAGUAGCCCCAUGUUUUCGGAUUCUGUCAACUGGGGGCUUAUUUGACCUUAUUUGGUCAGUUUCCGGAGGUAUUGUAGGUGCGGGGGUUGUAUUAGUCGGGAGUGGAGGUUGUGGAACAGCCGUAUUAGUUCGAAUGUAUUGGUUGAGCCAAUCAUUCAUCACGCUAUAGAAAGCUUGUCUAGCUUCAUCAUUCGGAUUACUAGCAUUAGGUUGAGAGUCCGCCGGCGCUGUCCCUUGUGCGGGAGCAGGCGCUACACUCUCCAGAUCAUCAGCUACCGCUCGGUCGGGAUCGGGAUCCAUUACUAUAAAUAAACACAUUUGCAAAUGUCAGAAAUCACCACACUAUCAAAUAAUCACAUAAAAUGGCAUGUAUAGCUAGACCCAACGCAUUACGGUAGUCCUAGAAUCGACUAAACCGUAGCUCUGAUACCAAUAAAAUUGUAACACCCCGUACCCGAGACCGUUGCCGGAGUCGGACACGAGGGGGUUCACAGACUAAUUUCGCUUACUAUCGCAGUCCAUUUUAAAAAUUUCCAGGCAGUUGGCUAACUGCAUCACUGUCACCUUAAAAAUCCUAUCUUGAGUUUCACAACUCGAAAAUCAGUUUCGUGAUUUUUCCCUGAAACUAGACUCAUAUGCCCAUCUACUUCUUUUUUCCUAGAAUUUUUGGUCAAGCCAAUUAAUACAAUUUAUUAGUAAAAGUCUCCCAUGUUACAGGGAUCGACUACACUGACCUUUGCGCAUUACGACUUGGAUAUCUCCCUUCACAGAGUUUCAAUACUGAUGCCGUUUGUUUCUAUAGAAACUAGACUCAGAGAGGAAUCUAUAAAUAUAUGGCAUGACUCCUAACUAUCUCUGGUUAAUUUAUAAUGAAUUUCCAAAGUCAGAACAGGGAAUCCAGAAACCGUUCUGGCCCUGUCUCACGAGAACCUGAAUAUCUCUUAACAUACUGUCAAUAUGAUCGUUUCGUUACUUUCCUAUGAAAGUAGAUUCAUCAAGGUUCGUUUACAUAAUUUAUUCACUAUUUAAUUCCAUUCCUACUAUUUUUACUAAUUUUCCAAAUCUACAUCACUGCUGCUGUCAGCAUCUGCCUUUAAGGUAGACUUUACCUAUUUCAUAGUUUCCAUGAUUCAACUAGCCCUUUUAGCAUAAAUAGCACAAAUUAUGAUAGUGAUUAACCAUUCCCAUGGCCAAUCCUUGUUAAGCAUAUCCACACCUCUCAAUAACCAUAUCCAUACCAAAUGAUUAUAACAUUAUGCUCAAACAUAUAUAAGCCAUUUUCGCAUGGCUAUCCAAAAUUAUACAAAUCCAAAGGGUCCAUGACCCGCAACAAAAAGGGUAGUCCUAUACAUGCCAUUUCGAAGUUCAACCAAAAUUGUACCAAAAAGGGGGGGGCUUUGAUAGUGUGGGCGACUUCGACUUCAAAAUCCCGAGUCCGAUAGCUGAAGAACCAAAAUCUAUAAAACAGAGAAUCAAAGAAACGGAGUAAGCAAUUUAUGCUUAGUAAGUUUUGAGCAAGGGAUUCCAGCACAACAAAAGUAUAGCAUUCAUAUAGCUAAACGGAUAAUUUCAUAUACACAAAUUUUCGAUAUCAUACUUACUUCACAUUACCAACCCUUAUGUUCAUACACAAAAGAUCAACUUAGCCAAAGGCCGGUAGCUCAUUUAUCAACUGAGCAAAUACUUAUUUGUAAGGGCUCAACGAAUUCAAAACACAUACGAAACAUACCUCAUUGUUUGGAUGUUACAAGCGUAUUAACUGAAAUUUUUACAGCAAGAUCAUUCAUUCCCAAAUCACGUACCUUCGGAAUUUAACCGGAUAUAGCUACUCGUUCAAAUGCCUUCGGGACAUAGCCCGGUUAUAGUAACUCGCACAAAUGCCUUCGGAUCUUAGUCCGGUUAUAGUAACUCGCACAAAUGCCUUUGGAUCUUAGUCCGGAUAUGUAACUCGCACAAAUGCCUUCGGAUCUUAGUCCGGAUAUGGUCACUUAGCACAAAGCCUUCGGGAAUAAGCCCGGACAUUAUUCAAAUAACCAUGCACAUUUAACAAUAAAUCUUGGCACAUUCAUAUUUAAUUUUCGUCAGCAAAACUCAAACACAAGACACUUAUCAUUCUUGCAAUUUCGGCUCAAUAGCCACACACAAAGAGCAUGAUUUUGAUUUGCUUAAAACAUGAUCUAAUCAAAUCAUAAUUUAAGCUUUAUUACUAAAGAACUUACCUCGGAUGUUGUCGAACGAUUCCGAUGGCUAUUCGACCACUUUUUCCUUCCCUUUAUCGGAUUUAGAUCCCCUUUGCUCUUGAGCUUAAUUAAACAAAUAAAUUGAUUUAAUCAUUUGAGCAUCGAAAAGAGGAACACAAGGAACUUAGCCCAUAUUUAUACAUUAGACAUUAAAGUCACAUACAUGUGAAAUCAUGCAUCAACUCAACAUAUUAUCCCACACUUCCUUUUAGCCGAUUGUUUAAGCCAAGAUAAAAGCAUCAAUAUGCUUGCCUCUAACCAAAUACAUGCAACGCCAAUCCAUCUCAUGUGGCCGAAUAUGCAUGUCUACGUUGAGGCCAAUUAUAUACUUAGUACCACAUAUAAAUGACAUACAUUUUACUAACUAAUGCAUUACAUAUUAUAACUCAAUAUGCAUCCAUCAUUUACUCCAUAACUAAACCACCACCAUAUAUAAACAUAUACCUUGGGAUGAUAUAUAUGUAUCAUACCAAUACAUCAUGUGCAAAUAUAUAUAUAUGCAAGAGCCGAAUCACAAGGCUGAUUAUAGCCAUCUCAUAUAUUUUCAUCCCAUACCCGAAUGCACAAGUACAUUAUAAUAGCUUCCAACUUAAUUCAUCAUAAAUUUCCUUUUUUUUUUCAUGGCCGAAUGCUCCUUCUACACCAUUUACCUUCACAAAGCUUGAAUUUCAUCAUCCAACUUACAAGCUUACAAUCUCAUGAAGUUUAACCUCAUAGUACCUAUCAAACUCUCACUCAUUAGCUUCUAUCAUAAACCUCCAACAACACCAAAUAAACAUAUACUUCGUGGGUCUAUGGUAGAACCAAGAAAGGAACUCAUAGAUAUCAAGAUGUAAGCAACUACCAUUAUUCAUCUAAGUUUAGCAUGAAACACAAUCAUCACCCUUAUUAAUCUUUUAUAGCCGAAAACCAUACUCACCCCCAAAAUCAAAAUUUCAACAUGGUUUACAAAAAUCACUUGAUAACUCACUCAAUAUCAACUAAAAUUUCAAAAGCUAGUACAAACUUCAUUACCUUAAUAGUGACCUAAGAUGACCGAUUGCUUCACUCCCUUCUUCUUCCUUUCAAUUCGGCCAAGAAGAACCAAAGAACACAACUUGUUUUUCUUUCUUCCUUAGAACAUUCGGCCAAGAGAAAUGAAGAAAGAUGGACACUUUUUUUUUGUUUUCUUUCUUACAUUCACGGCAAUGGGGAGGGGAAGAAACAAUCACACACAUUCUUUCCUUUUUCCAUUUCUUUAUUACCCAUACUCCUUAUUUUAUUGUUCCUAACAUACAUCACUAACAUAACAUGUUUGUGACAUGUUUCCACUCAUAGCAUGGCCGGCCACUAGCUCAAAUAUUGGGCAAUUUGACAUGCAAACCCACCAUUUCUAUAACAUGCAUUAAUAAGCCACUUUACAUUUGCCUAGCACAUUUCUAAAUUUUUUCACAUAAGUCCCAUUUACUAAAAUUCACCUACAAUUAAACAAAAUUCAAAUAUGAAGUUUUCACACAUGCAUAUAUACAUACAAUAAGCAUCAAAUAUGACAGCUAUUUAUUUUUAUGACUCGGUUUAGAGGUCCCGAAACCACUUCCCGACUAGGGUCAAUUUUGGGCUGUCACAAUCCCCUUACCAGAAACCACAUGCCCUAGAAAAGUUACUUCAUGGAACCAAAAUUCACACUUACUUAGCUUAGUGUAAUGCUGCUUCUCACGCAAAAUCUGAAGCACUACUCUAAGAUGCUCAUCUUGAUCAUCCUCAGUCUUAAAAAGUAAACCAAAAUGUCGUCGAUGAUGACCAUGAUGAACUGAUCCAGAUAGGGCUAAAAUACUCGGUUCAUCGGAUUCAUAAAUGCAGCUGGUGCAUUUGUUAACUCAAAAGGCAUAACUAGGAACUCGUAAUGUCCAUAACGAGCCUAAACAUUGUCUUAUGCACAUCCACCUCCGUAACCCUUAAUUGAUGAUACCCAGAACGUAGAUCAAUUUUUGAAAACACAACAGUCCCUCUGAACUGAUCAAACAAGUCAUCAAUCUUUGGAAGCAGAUACUUGUUCUUCACAGUUAACUUAUUCAACUGUCGAUAAUCAAUGCACAUACUCAUUGUCACAUCCUUCUUCUUAACAAAUAGAACUGGUGCUUCCCACGGAGACACACCAGGACGAAUGAAACCACGAUCCAACAACUCUUGUAGUUGAGACUUAAGCUCUAUAAACUUUUUCAGUGCCAUACAAUAGGGAGCGAUUGACACCGGAGUUGGACUCGAAAAAAGUUCAAUCCAAAACUCAACCUCUCGAUUAAGGGGUAAUCCCGGUAGCUCUUCAGGAAAGACAUCUGGAAACUCCCUUACAUUUCUGAUAUCCCCAAUCGAAGAGUCCUAGAAGCAAAAACACUAACAUACGCCAAGUACGCCUCACACCCUUUUCGAACCAAUUUCUUAGCCACAAGCGCGGAGACCACAUUAGACAAAUAAACCCGACGCUCUUCGAUCACAACCACCUCAUCAUCCAUCUUAGUUCUCAGAACGACCCUCUUAGUCGCGCAAUCCAGACUAACCCAGUGCUUGACCAACCAGUCCAUUCCCAGAAUUAUAUCAAACUCCUCAAAGCCAGAAAAAUAAUUCCUUGCACCACUAGAGGUACAUCCUUAUAGAGUUUACUAACCCAAAUCGAUUGCCCCAAUGGACUCAGUACAGUGACCUCACUUGUAGUGCUCUCCACAAAAAUCCCCAAAGUCUUAGAUCCAUUACUAGCUAUGUAUGAGCGAAUACACCCUAUGUCUAUCAAAGCAAGGUAAGGUACAUCAAAAUAGAUAACGUACCGAUGAUAACGUCAAGAGUAUCUCUGUCCUCUCGGCGACGUGCAGCUUAAACCAAAGUAGGCUGUCUCACCUUAGUCUGACCAGCACCUCUGCCUAGUGUUUUCUGUCCAUGGCCUAUACCAUUACCACCCCUAGCCUCACCACGGCCCUGAGGUGGCUGUUGAACUACACUCUGCGACUGCACAGAACCUGAUAUCAGAGCUUGCACCUGAUUAGUCCUCAAUGGACACUUCUGAAUGCAAUGCUCAAGAGACCCACAUCUUAGACAGGCCUCAAUCCUCAUUCAACAGUUUCUCGGAUGGCGUCUACCACAACCAUUACACGAUUGUAACCCAAUUAGAGGAACAAAAAAAAUGGGCACCACUCUAACUAGCCCGUUAGGUCUAACCUUGUUUUUGGCCUCUGUAGAGAACUUGAGGGCUCCGAACCCUCUUGUUCUUGCCUCUCUUACUGUCUCUAUUUUGGUGCUCAACACACUUAACAUCCUCAGCAAUCUUUGCCUUCUCUACCAGAAUCGCGAACUCACUCUCCCUCUGUGGAACUAUUAGAACCCUCUUAUUAUCCCCUAAGUCAUCCUCAAACCUAACACGUCUCUCAUACUCCUGUGCCACCAUACCUCGAGCAUAGCGGCUCAGCCUCAAAAAUUCAGCCUCAUAUUCAGCUACAAAUCGAUCACCUUGCGUGAGGUUCAGAAACUCACGCCUAUGAGCAUCAACAUAGCUGGAUCCCACAUAUUUACCCUAAAAUGUAGUCUUAAAGAACUCCUAAGUCAAACAGUCAAGCUGAGUGCCCUCUUUAACAGUAAACCACCACUGAUAUGCUACGUUGAAACGCAAGGAGACUACACCCUUCAACUUCUACUGAGGGGUACAGUCCAAGUCAUCCAUAAUUCUCUCAGUGGCCUUGAACCAAUACUCAGCCACAUUAGGGGUGACUCCUAUGACACCCCUAAAUAGCUUAGCUCCAUUAACCGGAGUCGCUCAGUUACCGACCUUCGGACCUCAGAUCCAAAAUUGGGCCCACGACCCUCUCUAAUAUCCUUAGUAUAGCUUGAGAAAGUACGUCGUCUCCAGCCGAUCGACUUUGAGACCCAAUCUCAGUAGCAGGUGACACAGGUGUCUCACUAGUGUCUAGAUUUUGCAUGCUACCCAAAGAUGAGGACUCUACUCGAGCCUCCUAUGGCCUCUAUCUCGGCCUCUAGUACCAUGUCCACGGAUACCUCAUGCGCUCAUUGUGAUUUAGAAGUUUUAUCUGCAUUAGAAAUUUUAUGCAUCAGUUUCGAUAUUUAUUAACAGAUGUUUUAUGCAUAAAGUAUCAAAAGUUUAGAGUUGUUUUCAAAAUUUUUAGUUUCUGUUAGUUUCACUUACAGUUUCAGAGUGUACUAACUAUAGUGUUUUCAAGUAGACUAUCAAUAAUGUUUCCAGACUUUUCUAUCAGAAAUCAGAAAUACUUACAGGAUCGGCGUCAGAGACUCAGUGUACCACAUACUUAGUUUAGAAUGUUUAAAAUCUGUUGAAAACAAAUUUUGAACCCAAAAUUCAAAACUAGUUUUACAACUUGGGUCUGAUACCAUUAAAUGUAACACCCCAAACCUGACCUAGACGUUAUGGCCGAAUCCGGAGGUGUCACAUGAAAUGGGUUGGAAAACCGUUGUCAUUAAGUUAAAAUCUUUCUAGUUCAUUAGCCUUUCUCACUCUUAUUAAUUUCAAAGCUCUUUUUCAUUUGAUCAUUUAGAGAUAAAAAUGUUUUAUAGCAUAAGCUUAUAAAAUCGUUAAGUUUGGGAAAAACCAUUCGAUAUUUUUAGAAAACAUGUUUUAGAUAAAAACUGUUAUGGUGAAAAGUAAGUUAAGUCCAAACCUAAAAACCCAACCAAGUAGUUUUAAACAGUCCAGAGAGUCCCAAAAAAUAAACUCUCAAAUCUCAAAGCCAAGAUUAAAUAAAAACUAUAAACAUAAUAAAAUAAGACAGUUAUGGCGAGUGGUCACCGUCGAGUCCUCCGUUGCACCGAUCCACCUAACUCUGUGGAUUAUCUGAACAAAAUAAAUAGAAAGGAGUGAUUUUACAUAAACUCAGUGUGUAACCCCACAGAACUAAGCACGCACACAACAGUGAGUCAGAUUCAAUUAGAUACAAAUUCGGGCCUGAGCCCAUCACAAAUACAUAUGCAUAUUCGGGCCUAAGCCUAUUUUAGAUACGUAUACAUAUUUGUGCCUAAGCCUAUCUCAAAUACAAAUAUAGAUAUACACAUCAGAAUCAGAAAUAAAUAUCCUACCCCCAUCCUCCACACACCAUCUUUGAGCAUCCCUACACACCAUGUGAGGGUUAAAACACCCACCCAACCCUACACACCAUGAUGUACCGAUGCAGCACAUAUCAGAAAUAACAGAUAUGUUGUAGCCAUGUUGCCAGAUAUUAGGCAUAAUCUUUCUUUCAGAGUCUUCCUUCAAAAAUAUAUCAUCCUAACCCCCAAAAUCAGAUUUCAGAACAUACAUACAUAAUUUAUAGGUAGUCAUGCUUUCAAUAACAGAUAACAGACAAUCAUACCAGUCAAUCAUCAAACAUGUUCAGAAUAGCAAAACAGUCAAUCAAAUCAUACAAUUUAGGGUUUAGUCAACCCUUACCAAGCCUACAGUAGGUUCACAGUCAUUUGGGAUGACCCGUUCAACCCUGGGGAAAAACUCAGAUAAAUGGGCCCACAUGCCUAUGUGGGCCCACACGUCCAGAUUGGCCUUACCCGUGUGGCCCAUAUGGCCUGGCCCAACAAGCGACACGUCCGUAUAGGCCUACACACUCGUGUGGGCCUACACACUCAUGUGGCUCACACGGCCUAUCUUGGCCUAGCCUGUAUGGCCCACACGUCCACACUCGAGCCACCGCACUAUUCUGUACUGUACACAGCCAUGCCUUCAUUGAUCACACAGUCGUGUCCUCUUACACGUCCUACCAUACGAGUGACCACUCGCCCUUGUGGCAUUGAAAAUGGCCUUUUUUGGCUUUUGAUGAAACCUCAUUUUUUACGUUUCGGGUACACAUCUGGUUCAUUUAAGAUGCUACAGUAACCUCGAGCCCACCAGAACCUAAACAUCAACAUACCAACGCUCAGAAUCAGAUUAACACAUGAUUAAUGUGUAAAUACAAAGUCAAUAUUAACACCAAAACUUACUCUAACACUCUAAAUGAUUCGAUUACGAUUCUAAACGAAGAGAGCCCAUUUUCUCUCAAUUUGCUACUACCAAAAUAGACAGUGAGGUUCCACACAGAUUCUUUCAAAAUGUAAACAAAAACGGAUUUAAAGAACCUCUAAUCAAGCUAUUCAUUCUAUGCCUACAUACCUUAACCGAGCGAAGAAUCCCCAAAAUUCCAAGAACAACAGUGAAAACUUAAAAGUGAUUAGCAAAAUUGAAGAAACAAUAAAAGUUGAAACUUUACCAAGAAAGGGAAAAUAAUGUUAAAAAGAAAAAGGUAAAGAGAUUUUUAGAGAAGAAAUAAAAAGAAAUAAACAAAUAUGAUAGCAUAUCCCUAGAUUCUCUCCCUACUAACUCAAAUUUCUCAGACUUCCCACUCAAUUGAAACUCUAUUAGAUUACGGAGAAAAAUAUCACCCACACUCACGCAGGGAUUUGAACUCAGGACCUUCAACACAACAACAAACUCCAUUACCAUUGGUACCAGCUGGCUCAUUCUGAUAUGGUUUUACAAAAAAAUUAAUAUAAGCCCACUCCCCAAAUGCAAGGCUUAAAUCAGAAAAAUAUCAAAUUUUUCCAAAGGUAGGGCUUGAACUUGGGACCUCCCGCACACACCCAAAACACUUAACCAUUGAAGUAGAUACACAUUUGUGUCACAUUUUCACAAAAGCAGAAAUAAGAAUUUUGGAAAGUUACAUAUCAUGUGGUUAAUUCCAAAAUAGCUAUGUUUAAAUGCACUAGCUUGUGGCUAUGAUUGAUGAUAUGCUUAUGUCUUAUGUGUUAUGCAUAUGAAAUUGGUGUUGAAAGGUAAUGAAAAAAGAAGUUCAUACUUGAAGUGUAAAAUGAUGAAAAAGGGAAUAAUGAGUUGAAUUAAUGUUGUUUUUUAAGCUAAAGAAAGUAAAUGUAAUGGAAAGUAAUGAAAUGCAAAUGAAAAUAAGAAAAUUUGAAAAGGUUUAAAGUUUUAUAAAAUUCUAUGUUAUGGAUGAUAAGUUUAUGUGAUGCUGUGGUUUUAUUCACUUUGUGAGUUGUUGAUUAUGGUUUCAUGAAUCUUGUGGUACUUAUAUAGGAUUAUUCUUGAUAUGUAUAAAUUUCAUAUUUGAAAUGGAUUGAUAUGAUUAAAGUUAUACAAGCUUACUAAGCAUUCAUUGCUUAUGUAGUUGUUUUUCUUUACUUUUUAAAUUAUUGAAAGCUUGAUCAGGUUGGAAGCUAGCCGGAGAUCCAUCACACUAUCCAUCGAUUAUAUCGAUAGAUUUUGAUGACUUGGUUAAGGUUAUAAUGGCAUGUAUAGGUGGACUUAUGGUUGAUGGUUAGUUGAAUGUUAGUUGAUGAGUUUCGCAUGUAUAGGUCAUUUUGGGUGAUGAAGCCUUGGUACAUUUGGUGCCUUGUCGAUAUGUGUUAACUUUAUAAUGUGUUAAAGUAUGUUUGAAUGACCAAAGUGACAUAAUGAAUUCACCUCAACAUGGUCAAGAUAUGGUAUGCUUUAUGUAAUAGCUUAUUUUUAGUCAAAUCAAAAUAGUGAUUUUGAGACCACAAAUCUGAGGUCAAAAAAUUUAUUUUAUUAUUAUUUCAAUCUCUACAUCAUGAUAGUAUAAUUGUGUGAAUUUUUCGUUAAGAAAUCUUAUCAUUUAAAUGCUUAAUUUGAUAAAAAUGACUAAAUCGCGUAAAGUGCAAAAGUGUUGUUCUAAUAGCUAAAGGUAUUAAAUAGCUAUAGAACUUUAAAGUAAGAGUCCUUAAGUGGUAAUUAUACCAUUUGAAUUGUGUGUGGAAAAUUAUGGGCAUAUAUUAAGUGUUAUUAAUAGUUUAUAAUUAAGAUUAAAUAAGUAAAUGAAUAAAUAAGUUUGUAAAUAAUAAAGGAAACAAAGAAAACAUCUUUAUUUUCUCAUCUCCCCCAAUUGAAUAUUGACAAAGAAAACACCAUUGGAGAACUCUGAAGUUUCAGCCAAGCACUCCCUUGCCUGUAGUUCAUUUUCGUCCCGUUUUUAAUAAUUUCUACGUUUUAAGAUCGUUGCAGCUUAGUCUAGCUAGCUAAGGGAUUAAUUUGCAAAAAUUCAAAGAUUUAGGGUUAUGCCAUUGUUGAAUCUGUGUGUUUUAAGGUUUCUUGAUAUAUUAUGAAUGGUUGAUGUGAAUUAUACAAGUUUUGUUAAGUGAUUUUUAGUGAAAAUGCAAAUUAGGGAUUAAAUUAAGAAAUGUGGAAAGUUUGUGGGUAAAUUGCAAAAUAAAUGAAAAAUAUGGGCUGAUAUGUGUACUAAGAAAAUUUGGCUAACAUGGAUUGGUAUCAAAUUGCAUUAAUUUGUGUUUUUAUGAAAUAAGGACGAAUAUGUAAAAGUUGUGAAAUACUUGGGGCAAAAGUGUAAAUAUGAUUUAAUGAGUUUGUUUGGAUUAAAUUGAAUAGAGUGAUAAUUAAAUAAGCCAAAUUUGAUUACAUAUAGAUCAAGAAAAGCAAAAUUAGGAUUUAGAUUUGGGGAAAAACAAAGCACUCGACCAAUCAACCUGUUUAGUCAUUUUUACGAUCGAGGUAAGUCUGUAUGAUUAAUAAGCUUAAUGUUAUAUGUGUUUAUAUGCUUAACUAUUAUAAUUGUGAUAUUACAGUAUUGCGGUAUCUUUCGACAAAGCAUUGAGACAGUGAGAAUCCUGGUUGAACCUUAGAAAUAGAUAGGAUACUAGUGGCAUGUAAUUAGGGCUUAUUGUGAUUAUGUGAUCCGAGUGCUGGUCUUGUACAUCCUACCGGUGGCUAAGUAUACCGGCAUGUGUUGCGGUUACUUGAUAGCUUGUGUGAGCAGCACCGUGUAGCUACGUCUUGACUAACAGCUUGUGUGAGUAGGCUCGUUGAUAGCUCGAGAGUGAGCAUAUAUGUGAUAUGAGAUUGAGAUAGCUUUGGCUAUAUAUGUGGCACUUUGGUGCGAGGUUCCUGAGUAUCCGAUAUUAUUCCAAAUGUUUCAAUGGGAAAAGAUGACAGUAUGAGGAUGUAAGCAAUGAUACAGAUCAGUUUAGGUACUCGUGUUAAGUUUGGCAAGUAAGUGAUAAUUGAUAAGUUUAUAUGAAAAGUAAAUGAAAGUUGGUGAAACAAUACAUGAUACAUAGAAUUACAGUAAUGUGUAAAUUGUUGAAUUGAAUGUAUUACUUAUAUUUGCUUAUGUUCUUUAAAUUGUGAAUGAGUUGGCAAAUUAUACUUAUUAAUCAUAUGAGCUUACUAAGCUAUAAAGCUUACUCUACUUAUUUUUACGUGUUUAAUAGUGAUUUCAAGGCUAGCUCGGAUUUGGGGAUCAUCGGAGACUUCAUCACACUAUCAAGCUAUUGUUUUGGUAUUCUUGAAUCUAUGUUUUUGGAAUAAAUGGCAUGUAUAGGAACUUUGGUAAUUUUGGUAUAUAAUUUGAUGAUCAAUUUAGCCUUUUGAAUUGGCUUAUAAAUGUUUAAAGUUUGGUCUUAUGUAUAUAUAGCCAUAAAAGUUGGCUUAAUUUGGUUAGUUUGGUUGUGUAUAUUUAUAUGUGUGCAUAUGGCUUAUGUUAUGUGAUGGAGGUUGGCUUUGUGAUGCUUAUUGAUAGUAGGUAUUUUGGUUUUCAAAUGGUUGAUAUUUGAGAAGAUAUAUGCUUGUAAAAUUGAGUAUAAUGAUGCAUGAUUGAGAUUGUCUAAUUAGUUGGAUUGUAUAUGUGAAUUUGGUGUAAAUGGAUUGGCUGCUUUUGUGGCUUGUGUGUAUUGUGGAUAAUGAUAUUGAGUUAGCAUGAUUUAGGCCUGAUUUAUUUGGUUUGAAUGCCUAUAAAUGCUAUGUUUUGGUACCAUUUGGUUUGAAGUAGGUGCAUACAAAUUUGGGUGGCAAAAUGGCUUAGUAAAAAGCCUAUUUUUUUCCACACAGGCAGAGACACAGGUGUGUGUCUCAGCCGUGUAUGAUACACGGUCAGGUUGCACGACUGUGUGUCAUUUGGUGUUGAAAUUAAAAUAAACUUAGUAUGCUUAACACGGCCUCACACACAGGUGUGUGACUUUGUAACAGCCCGAUUUUGGCCCUAUCGGAAUGGUGGUUUUGGGACCACGAAUCCAAGUCAGAAUUUUUUUUAAAAUUUUUUUUUGGUGUUUAUAAUGUGUGAAUUUGUGUGUGCUAAAUUUGUAUUUUAAAAUUUUAUCUUUUGGAUGCCCGGUUUAAAAAAAGGGCUUAAACACGUAAAAUGAAAAUUUGAUGGUUUAAUAGAAAAUGGCCGAAUGGAAUAUGUCUUUUUAAUAUGGAGUAUUUAUGUCGCAAAUUUACCAUGGCUAUUAAUAAUGGACGGCAUUAACCUUGUUUUAUAAUGAUUUCAAAUUAUUAUAUAAAGUUUAUUUAGGUAAUUUAAUAAAAUAAUAUAAGUUAUAAUAUAAUAAAACAUUAAAAAAAACAUGCAUGUGUUCAUCAUUUUUUACCAAAACUAGUAAAAGAAAAGAAAAAGAGAAAGCAAAUGACAUUCAGCCAUUGUUGAUUCAAAUUCAAUGUUAGUUUGGUUUCGAUUUUUGAUAAUUUUUACGUUUUUGAGAUCGUUGUUUCAAAUACUAUCUGACCCAUGCUAGAAUUUCUGAUUUUGAUGAAUAUUUUGAGUUAUGCCAUUGAUGAAUAUUUGUGUUUUAUGAUGUUUGAUGAUGAAUUAUGAAAUAUAUGUUUUGGAUUAAUAUGUUCUGCAUUGGAAUUUUUUAUGAAUUCGAGUAAGUAGGGCUAAAUUGAAAAAAUUAUAAAUUGAGGGACUAAAAUGUGAAAUAAAUGAAAUGUAUGGACUUUUAUGAGCAUAAGGAAGAUUUAGCCUAGGCACAGUGUGAUCAAAUUUUGUAUAUUUUGUGUUUUGUGCAAUUUGGACUAAAAUGUAAAAAGUGUAAAAUGUUAGGGGCAAAAUGAUAAUUUUCCCAUUUAUGUGUUUUUGGAAUAAAUUGAAUGAAAUUAUAUUGAAUUAUUUUAUUUUGAAUAUAUUUAGAUCAAGAACCAAAGAAAUCAGACUUGGAUCGAGGGAAAACAAAAAUAGUUGAAUAGUCGUUUUAUACCGUUCGCAGAUAUUCGAGGUAAGUUUAUAAGCAUAUAAACAUCGUUAAUUUUGACUGUAAAUUAACUUGCUAUGCUGAUUUGAAUAUUAUUGAUUUAUAAUUGAGAUUGCCGAAUGUGAUUAUGCAUAGAAAUUAUGUGUUCAAGUCCGAUUCGAUAGAGUUACGACAUCCAAAAAGCCCCGUACGAACCUUAGGAAUAGCUAGGAUACAUAUGUCAUGACAUAGGAUUUACGAUAUGUGAUUACGUGUAAGACCAUGUCUGGGACAUCGGCAUCGUAUAUGUGAUUACAUGUAAGACCACGUCUGGGAUGUUGGCAUUGUAUGAUAUGUGUGAUUAUUCGAGUAUCCUAUUCAAUUCCAAACGGCUCAACAAGCAAUGAUAAAUUAUGAACGAGUGUGUUUAACGAGCUAAAACGAUCAAGUAUGUGAUGUUUGGUUACCUGUUUGACAAUAAGAUAAGUUAGUUAAUUUAUAUGUAAUAAAAAUAAUUCAAAAUGCUAUUAUAAGUAUAUGUGUGAAUAUGAAAUACAUAUUCAGCCUUAUGAUAGGUAUAAGUGUGUGAUUUAAAAGCUUGAUCUAUGAGUACUUGUUUAGAUGAAUACAUGUGAAUAAUCGGAUAUAUAUGCCAACAUGACUUUGAAAUUGGAGAAUGUAUUUGUAAUGUAUAUACAAGUGUAUAUUCAGCUAUGUUAAGUUGUUUAUGAAAGUAUAUGUUAUUUAUAAAAUUAUAAGUGAUUACAAUUGCAUAAAUUGGUUUGGUUAAUUAAGUUGAUUAUUUUAUUAAAUCUUUUAUUUGCUUAUGACUUACUAAGCUUUGAUAGCUUACUGUGUGUAUGUUUAUUUUCUAUUUCAUAGAUUUUAGAAGCUAGUUAGAAGCUCGGGGAUCGUCAGUGAAGUCUAUCACACCAUCGUUUGUUUUCGGUACUUAUAUAAAGUUGAACUUUAACCUCUGGCAUGUAUAGGCUGGUUUGUGUUUUGUUUGAUUUUGGAGUAUAUAUAUGAUAGCCAUGUAAAAAUGGCUUAAUUAUGAAAUUGUUGUGUAUAUCUGGUUGUGUUUUAACUCAUUUUAAAGGUAUGUUUUAUAAUGAUCAUGCUUGUGAUGUUUGGUGAUGAAGAUAGCUUAAUUGAAUAGAUAAUUAUAAAGUUAUGCUUGGUGUUAUGUAUAGAUUUAUAAUUUGGCUUGGAAACGAGUUAAAAUUUGGAUGUAUGUUAGGUAUUUGGUAUGCGUUAAAUGGGUUAAGUGAUACUUGUAUCAUUGUUAAAAUUUGACCAAUAGGUACAGCUAGAGAUAGAUAAUUUGAACUUAGUUAUAAAAAUGCAUUUGAUAUGUUUAUAUGAAGUAUGGUUUGAAAUGGCUAAGUUAAUGGUUGUGUAUGUGUUUAUUAAAUUAUGGCUUAUGUUAUGUUUAGAAGUAAUUAUUUAUAAAAUGUAAUGAGUUGAUAUAUUAAGUAUGUUUUGAAGAUGAAUUUUAAUUUCAUAAACUUGGUUGAUGAGAGCUACUUGUGGUAAUGUAUUGAUUUAAUUAUUAUAGCCAAACAUGUAUUGAAUAGAUUGGUUUAGGGUAUAACAUUUUGGUACAUUACAAAUAGGUGAAAUAAACAUGUAUUGAUUCGGCAGUUGUAAUUUAUAUUAAGAUAGAUUUGUUGAUUUAUAUGAUUAUAAAAUGAGUUUGAGAUUCGGUGUUAUGAUUUUUGAUAGGCCAUUUGAUUUAGCUUUGAAGUUAUACAUAUUUGGAUAUAAUAUAUAUAUGAAUGAUGCAUUUUUUUAUAUAAAGUGCAAAUUAUAUUAUGUUUAUGUAUGCUUCCAUGUGUAAUUGAAUAUUGUUUAGUAAUAAAAUAAGUUAGAAAUGAUAUGAUAAUAAGUAAUUGCAUAUUCGGCUAAAGCAAUUAAAAAUUACCAUUUGAAUAGUAGUUUUGCUUAUGUUGAAAUGGUUAAUUGCAUUCUGCAAAUAGUAAUUAACAUGUCGAUUUAUGUUGUUUAAAAUGUCAUGUAUAUGAAUUUGUAUAUUUAAUAGGCUUCAUGGAUGAAAUAUUUGAUUGAGUUAUUUACAUUAAAUUUGACAUGCACUCAUAUUAUGUGUAAUUGAUAUAUGCGGCAAUAUUGUUUGUGAACCUUUUGCUUGGCCGAGUUUUUAAAAUGGCUUAUGAUAUGAAAUGAAAAGCUAAUAGUUAUAUUAGCCUUUUGUUUUAAAAUAUGGUUGGUUUAAGAGUUUGAAAAUGUGUAUGACUAUGUUUUGUUCGGUAAUGCUUCAUAACCCUAAUCUGGCGACGAAUACGAGUAGGGGUGUUACAUUUUAUUGGUAUCAGAGCUACGGUUUAGUUGAUUCUAGGACUAACGUAACGAGUGUAAGUCUAGCUAUACAUGCCUAUUUUAUACUGUGAUAGUGUGAUGACUCCUAACAUUUGGAAAUGUGUUUUCGUAUAGUAAAUGGAUCUCGAUCGAGCCGUAGCUGACAAUGUUAAGAGUAUAGUGCUUGCUCCUAUGCAAGGGACAGUGUCGGUUGAUUCUCGAUUGACUUUGAGUAACCAAGAGGGAGAGGCUAAACAAGCCUUUUACCAAAUGAUGAAUGACUGGUUUACUCAGUAUAUCCGGAUGAAUCUGACUGCACAACAACCUCCACCGCUGACUAAUCCUCCUACGAUACGUGUUAUACCUUAAGUGAGCAAUCUGUUGAGAUUACAUAAGCCUCCUGUUGAUAAAAUUAGAAAACACAGGGCUGAAGAAUUCAGAGCUAUUGAUGAUGAUGAUGCUGAGCGAGCUGAAUUCUGACUUGAUAAUACUAUCUGUGUGUUUGAUGUGUUAUCUUGUACCCCGGAUGAGUGCUUAAAAUGUGCCAUAUCUUUACUACGAGACACUACAUAUCACUGGUGGAAUACACUAGUAUUGGUGGUUCUAAAAGAACGAGUGACUUAGGACUUCUUUUAGAUUGAGUUCCGUAAGAAAUACAUCAGCCAAAGAUUUAUCGAUCAGAAACACAAAGAAUUUCUGGAAUUAAAACAAGGUCGCAUGACUGUGAUAGAAUAUGAGCGGAAAUUUGUGAGACUCAGUCGAUAUGCCCGCGAGUGUGUUUCGACCGAAGCUAUCAUGUGUAAAAGAUUUAAAGACGAGUUGAGCGAAGAUAUUAAACUGCUAGUUGGCAUACUUGAAAUAAAAGAGUUCGUACUACUGGUUGAGCGAGAGUGUAAAGCCGAAAAGCUCGCAAAAGAGAAAAGAAAAACUGACUUUGAUACUAGAGACUCACGAAAGAGAUCAUCGAGUAAGUCAUUUCAAUUAGCAUCAAAGAGGUUCUGAGAUGAUUUUAGCUGUUCUAAGGCUACUUCAGGUUAUUCUAGACGGAAUCAGGAUAGACCACUUGUGAGCUUGAGAGCUACCUCAGUAGCUAGUGUUGGUAAUAUUAGAUCGAAUCAACCCAAGUGUAAACAUUGUGGUAAAUGACAUCCUGGUAGUUGUAGAUUUCAUGAUCGGGCUUGUUUUAAAUGCGGAUCGACGGAUCAUUUUGUUUGUGAAUGCCCUGAGUUAGCUGAACAAAAUCUAGUACAAAAUGCGAGACCGGGUAGUGUGUCAGUGCGAGGCAGACCGCCCAGACAUACGGGUAAUGUGAAUGGCUGUCAUAGAGGGACAAAAGAUAUAGUACUCAUAUCUGAGGCUCGUGCACCAGUAGAACCUAUGCUAUUUGCGUACGAGAGGUGCCUUCAUCUCCAGAUGUUAUUACCGGUACAUUUACUCUUUAUGGUACUAGUGUUAUUACAUUGAUUGAUCUUGGUUCGACUCAUUCUUAAGUGUGUGAGACCUUAGUAUCCAGUAAGACUAUACUUGUUGAGUCUACUGAAUUUGUAAUUAAAGUAUCAAACCCUUUGGGCUGGUGUGUUCUGGUUGACAAAGUGUGUAAGAAUUGUUCAUUGAUGAUUCGAGAUUCGUGUUUCCCAGCUGAUUUAAUGUUUCUACCUUUCGACGAGUUUGAUAUAAUUCUGGGUAUAGAAUGAUUGACUUUGCACGACAUUGUAGUUAACUGUAAAAGAAAGACUAUUGAUUUACAGUGCCAGAAUGAUGAAGUUAUUCAGAUUGAAUCUAAUGAUCUAAAUGGUUUACUGGCAGUGAUAUCCUCAAUGUUAGCUCAGAAAUAUGUGAGAAAAGGUUGUGAAGCUUACUUAGCAUAUGUGCUUGAUAGUAAAGUGACCGAAAAGAAGAUUGAAUUAGUACAAGUUGUGUGUGAGUACCCGGAUGUGUUUCCAGAAGAAUUGUUGGGUUUGUCACCUGUUCGAGAGGUAGAGUUUUGUAUUGAAUUAGUGCCUGGGAUGACUCUGAUUUUGAUAGCUCCAUACAGAAUGGCACCUAUUGAAUUAAAAGAAUUGACAACACAAUUAACAGAUAGAGGCUUUGCGCGACCUAGUUUCUGUCCUUGGGGUGCGCCAGUUCUAUUUGUGAAAAAGAAAGACGGAACUAUGAGAAUAUACAUUGACUACUGUCAGCUGAAUAAGGUGACUAUAAAGAAUAAAUACCCGUUGCCAUGUAUUGAUGACCUGUUUGAUCAGCUGAAAGGGGCUACAGUGUUUUCGAAAAUAGAUUUGAGAUCAGGCUACUAUCAGUUGCGAGUUAAAGACUCUGAUGUGCUGAAAACUGUCUUUCGAAUGAGGUACGGACAUUAUGAGUUUCUGGUUAUGCCUUUCGGACUUACUAAUGCACCUGUUGUUUUCAUGGACUUGGUGAAUCGGAUCUUCAGACAGUAUUUGGAUCGGUUUGUGGUUGUGUUCAUUAAUGAUAUAUUGAUCUACUCCCGUGAUGAAACCGAACAUGCCGAGCAU
rnacentral:lncRNA from 1 species